rnacentral:lncRNA from 1 species
UAUUUUCCUGUAUUGAAGCGCAUUAUCCUCCUAUUCAAGGGUUGAGGAAAAACUAUAAGUAGUUCUAAAUAUCGUAUCAAAAAGAACAUAUAUUAUAAUAACCUAUAAUAAAAUUUUUGUUUAAAAAGAUAUAAAUAUUUAUCAUUUUAUAUAUAAAUUCUAUCAUCAUUUACAAGAUAAAGUUUAUUUUCGUGAAAUCUGAUUAAAUUCUUAAUUGAAUAUAAUAUAUUUACAUUAACAUAUGAGAUUUAAUAUUUUUAAAAUAUUUUUUAAUUCCCAAACCCCUAAUUAAUGCAAACUCCAAGAGUUUUCGAGAAAAAACUUGAUUUUCCAAUUUUUUUUAAUAUAGUUUGUCGAAACCAUUUUUAUUUUGAAAAACGGGGAUCGACUUUAAAAACGAAAUAUGGAGUUGCCACCAAUCCUUUUUUGUUUUGGGUGUGAUCGGAUCACCUUAUAAAAUAUUUUGUUUUAUUAAAACAUCGAUUUUGGCCUACGAAAUUCAAGAAAACGGGUUCGGGAGUCGGUUACGUACGAGGAAGGAUUAGCACCAUCAUAACGCCCAAAAUUAGUACCUAAUUGAUUAAUUAAUGUCCUAAUAUCGAAAAUUUGAAAAGAUUUUGAAAUACAAUUCCUUUUAAAAAUAUUUGAAUAAUUCGAAUUGGAUGUUAAGAUUCUCUUGUCCCGAAGGAAUAAAAUAUCACAUCCAGUACGUUAGGAUACGACAUUUUAAACCCUCGAAACCAAUAUCGUCUCUCGAUUUUUAAAACUUAUGCAUUGAAAUUUCAAAAGGAUAUUUGGUUAUUUGGUCAAACGAAAAAAAUCGAAACUUAGCAUGUUAGGGCAUGAUUUCUCGAAUUUUCAAACACGAAAUAUUGCCUUAUUUUUUAAUUUAAGAAAACACGGAUUUUUGAAAUAUGAAGGGAUAUUUGGCUACUUAGGUUUAACGAGAAAAUCGAUACCCGUAAGUUAAGGUACGAUCUCUCGAAUUUCUAAAGCGCGAAAUAUCGCCUUAUUUUGAGAAAAUUUCAAAGAAGAGCGAUUAUAAAACCGACUCAAAAUGCGUUUAUUCGGUUUGUUUGGGAUAAAAAUGAAACAACUAAAAUCGGCCUAAAUACGUUGGAAUUUAAAUCACGAUACAAUAAUAAGAAACAAAAGCAUAGUAUCGAGCAUGAAAUAAUAAUAUGUGAGUUCAAUAUUAUACAAAUGAAUGACAAUGAUAAAAAUACGGAUAUACAAAUCGAAAUACACAAUAGCAAUAAUCUCACAACAUACCUAUUUAAAUACUAACAUUUAUAAUCUAAGACUAAUGAAUAAAAAAAAUAUAACGAUUUUAAAAAAUAUAAAACAAAAUAAAAAAAAUAAAAUGUACCAAACUUUCAAAUAAUAAUCAACAAUGUUAAAACAAAUAAUGUAAAAGAAAAUCAAAUUGAAAUUGACAAUAUAAAGAACAAUUUAAAAAAUAAAUCAUAUGUAUAAAAAUUUUAAAGUGAGUAAUACAUGUAAAAGUUUGAAAUAAAUCAUAAAAAUAAGAAUAAAAAUAAAUAAUAUGUAAAAUAAUAAUAUAUAAAUUAAUUUUAAAAUAAGUAUUAUGUAAGAAGAAAGUUAAAGUAAGUAAUAAACAAAUAUAUAUAUCAAUCUAAAAUAGAUAAUAUACAUAAAAUAAAAGUAGUUUAAUAUAAAUAAUAUAUAUAUAUAUAUAUAUAAAAUAAUGCAAUAGAGUGUUUAAAAUGAACAUCAUAUAAAUCUUUAAAACAAAGAAUAUACAUAAAAGAGAAUUUUAAAAUAAAUAAAUUAUAUAAUAAAAUAAUUCAAAAAAAUAUAAAAAAGAAAAUAAAAAAACAACUAAAACAAUGUGAAAUUAAUAAUAUAGUUCAAAAUAAUAUGUUAAAACAAUUUUUAAAAAAUGAAUAAUUAAUAAAUUAUAAAGAAUAAAAAAAACAUAAACUGAAACUUUAAAAAACUCAAUUGAAAUAAAAACAAAAUCAAAAGGAUACUUUAUAAACAAAUCAAAUUAUUAAAACAAAGUCAAGGACCAAAAUAAAAUGUGCACAAAUAAACGAGGAUUAAAAAUGAAAAUGUCCCAAAUUCCAAAACGCGGCGUUUAAAUGCGGACUAAGUUGAAAUGGCGCACAAAUUCCAGGGAAAAAUGAAAAAUACAAAAGAAAUAGAAAUAGGGCUCAAUUAGAUGGAAGUGAAAAAAAGAGGGACCAAUAACAAAAAUUACCCCUUUAGGACAAAAAUGCGUGGACCCUACCUGCGGGUCGGGUCAACGUGCGGACCUUUAGCUUUCAAAACGGUGCCGUUUUUUUUAUUUAUAAAAACUAAUUUUUAACCUUAAAAAUCAUUUUUACCGAAACCAAAAAUUUAAAAAUGGGGGCAAGCCAUUUUCCUUGCUAGGUUUUCGGUGAUGUGCCGAUUGACCACCGCCGCACCACCACUAUAUCUGGUGGUCGGCCAUGUGCGAAGAGGGUCCUUAACUCUGCUUAAACCAUGCUCGAAGGCUUAACCAUUUUUUAGCAUUAGAGAAAUAAAAAAGAGGAGACCCAACCCUUUUUAGAUUCGAUUUCGGAGGAGACGAGGCUCCAACAAUGAACCCACAGGUGAGUCCCUUCCAUCUUUUUGUUUUUUACAUGCAAAGGAAACAAAAUGAAAAACUAAGGAAAAGAAAAGAAAUCGAAAGAAACAAAAUUGAAAUCUCAGAUCACCUUCAGUUCUUUGAGUGAUUUGUAUUCGUAUGUAUGCGUAAAAAAUGUGAAAAAAAGUCCCCGUACACUCUUUACGAUCGGCUUUAUAUAGCCGAAAUAAAAAAUAAAAUUUACAAAUUUCUCAUUUUCUGCUCUAUUUGUUACUGUUAUUUUUUUACUGUUUGUUAUCCUCACUGUUAUUUGCUGUCAAUCUGUGUUGCCGUUGUUCUAUUUCGCAGGUAUGUGCGGCGUGGAGAAGCCGUUCGUGGGCAGCGGCGUAAGGCCCCUUGCUAGGGUUCUCAGCAGUCGAAAUUGCUUGGGUCGCCUAGGCUUGUUUUGCGUAUUGGGCCAUUGGGCCCGGGUCUUGUAUUUUGUUAGGGUAGUCUCAAUUCGAGUUUGGGUUAAAAUUGGGCUUAAGGGGUUUAUUUAGUAAUUUGGGUUAUAAGUAUAAAUGUGAUUUGGGCUAGUAUGUAAAUGGACUGGACUAAUUUAUUUAAUUUUAUAAUUUUUGGUUUUUUUGUUUUUUUUUAUAUGGACCCGGAAAAAAUUUGGGCCUUACAUAGUUGGUACAUGAAUUUGUAUUCUGUCAAUUAGGUUGAUACUUUUGUAAUAAUACUAUUAGUUUAUAUUAACGUAGCAUUGUUAGCCAAUCCGGUGUUGCCAUGUGACAACAUAAAUAAAAAUAGAAAAUCUUUAAAAAUAUAUAAAUUAAUAAAAAAGUGUAACUUUUUUUCACAUCAAGAAUAAACUGAACAAAUAUUUGUCCAAAUGUGCUUUUAGUACUUUUAUGUUUUUAUAAAAUAUUAGUUUUUAAGUUAUUAUUUUGAAAUAUAUAUAAAUUAUAAAUAUAUAUUAAAAACCUAUAAUAUUUUAAAUAUAUAUAAUUAUAAUGUAUAAUAUAAAAAUUUAUAAAAAAAUUUAAAACUCAUAAAAAAUAUAAAUAUAUAAAAAUAACUAAAAAUUUAUAAAUGUAUAUAUAUUUAUAAAUGUAUAAUAUAAAUGGUUGUUUACACUUCUUGAUGUAAAAUUUUUUUAUGCCUUUAUUGAUUUAUAUAUAUAUUAUUUUUUAAAAAUUAUAUAUAUUUUUAAUUUCGAAGUAAUAAUUGUAGGGCCCAAUUUAGCCUAGAGCCCAUAAACCAAAAACCAAAUAAGAACAAAACCCUAAAACCUCAACCCAAACCAUAAAUACUCAUUUACAACGCAGCCCAAUUAGCCUACGAACCUAAAACAUUUCAGCAAGGGAAACCCUAACAGCCCCUUUGCGCAGUUUCAGCAAACAGCGUGCCCCCUCACGCACCAGGCACCACCAUCCCGUGACGUGCGUUGAUCCACCACGCCACGUCAGAGACGUGUUCAAUCACGCACCUGCAAACAAACACAAAAAAGGGACAGCAGCAAAAAGUUGUUUUUCUCCCCGCUUUCCGUUCGGCUAUAAAAUUGAAGAGGAUCGAAUGUAAAAAGGGACUUUUUUUUUUCGGUUUUUUACGAAUACAGUAACAGAUAUACACACCAAAAAUCAAUAGAAAAGAUUUUAGGGCAAAAGAAAUCCAAAAGGUGAUUUUAGAUUCAACUGUCCUUGAUUUUACGUUUUCUUUUGAUUCUAUUUCUUUUAUUUUUUCCAUUUGAAUUUUAAAACAUUUGAAAAUAUAAAAAGGGAAAGAUUUAUCUUACGAAUAGGCUGUGGAGUUCCGUUUGCUUCGCUGAAGUCGGAGCUUUGAGGGGGUUUUAUAGUCAAGAAUGUCGGCCCUCGAAACUUGAAUCUGCUGGACGUCGUUUAGGGUGGCAGAUCGGCAUUCAAAGAGAGGGAUUAAAGUCGGCUAAGGGGAAAAAUUAAGAGAGAAAUAAAAAGGGGCUAGGGUUUCUUUUAAAAAAAAUGGCAGGAUGCCAUUCAAUUGUUUUUUUUUUAGUUUUUUAAAUGGCAAACAAAACGGCGCCGUUUGGGAGGGAUGGGAUCCGCGCUUUUGUGCUUUGAAGGGGAAAUUUAUACGGCUGGUCAUCCCCUUUUGCUCCGACUUUCGAUUUGACCCAGUUUGAAUUUCAUUUGUUUUUUAAAAAUUGCCCGUGGAUUUUGCACGUAGAUUCAAUGUGGUCCGCGUUGAAACGUCGCGUUUGGAGGGCUUGGGAUAUUUUCUCUAUCAGUCCUUCCCCUUUACACGCGCGUCUACUUUGAUCCCAGUUCAUGAUUUGUUAUUUCUUUGCAUUUUAUAAUUUGCACCCCAUGUUUCGUUUUGAUUAUAAUUAAAUCCCAAGCCUUUUACAACUCAAAUUACUUUUAGUUUUUUUUUUGUUUUUUAAAUAUUUUAUUUACUUAUUGUAUUAUUCUCAUUGUUAUUAUUUUGUUUUUUGUUUAUUAUUUUACAUCUGUACAUACUUUUCAAUAUUGGAUUGCUAAUUAAUAUUAUCAUUGUUAUUAUUAUUCUUACUAUUAUAUAUUAUUGUUAUUAUUCUUACUAUUAUAUGUUAUUAUUAUCGUUACUAUUAUUUAUAUACAUCAUUAUUAUUACUAUUAUUUUUCACUAUUAUUAUUUUACUAUUAUUUUUAUAUACUAUAGUGGUUCAUUAAUAUUACUAUUAUUUUUCGUUAUUCUUAUUGUUUUUUUUUUUAAAAACCUUUCAUAUAAUGUAGUUUUAAAAUUAUGUAUGAUAUUUAAUUAGAUCAGCUUUAUCUAUUACUAUAUACACAAAAUUUAUAUUAGCUUUAUCUACGUACAUUAUAAAUCUCAUGUUGUUUUAUAUUUGAUUUUCUUAAUAAUUUACUUAUAUACAAUUUAUUUCUUUUAAAGAUCCUAUUUUACCAUAUUUUUUAAAACAUUCUCAUCAAUUAUUAUUUUCUAUAUAUUAUUUUUAUUUUCAUUCAUUUUAUAACCACCCGCAUUUCGAAAAUUCUCUCAAUAUAAGGAAAUAUUUCGUGUUUGGGAGUCCGAGAAAUCGUGCCCUAACGUGCUGGGUUUCAAUUUUUCGUUCAACCGAAUAACUAAAUAUCCUUUUGAAAUUUCACUCAUCUUUUCUUAAGUUAAAAAACAAGGCAAUGUUUCGUGUUUGGAAAUUCGAGGAAUCGUGCCCUAACGUGUUGGGUUUCGAUUUAUGGUUGGUCCAAAUAACCUAAUACCCUUUUAAAAUUUCGUUGCGUGUUUUGGAAAUCAUGAGAUGAUCUCAGUUUUUGAGGGCUUGAAAUAUCGUGUCCUAACGUGCUGGAUAUGGUAUUUUAUUCCUUCAGAAUGAGUGAAUCUUAAAAUCCAGCUCGCGUUGUUCUCACAUUUUUAAAGGGAUCGUUUUUUAAGAGCUAUUCUAAAUUUUCAACAUUAGGACAUUAAUUAAUCGAUUAGGUACCAAUUUUGGGCGUUGCGGGGGUGCUAAUCCUUCCUCGUACGUAAACGACUCCCGAACCUGUUUUCUUGAAUUACGUAGGCCAAAAUCGAUGUUUUAAUAAAAUAAAAUGUUUUACAAGGUGAUCCGAUCACACCUCGAAAAAAGAUCGGUGGCAACUCCAUUUUUGUUUUUAAGUCGAAUCCCAUUUUUUAAAUAAAAAAUGGUAUUGACAGCUUGGCGACUCCACUAGGGACAAAUAAGAGAGUUAAGCCGUAAAAUUGAUUGUUUUCUGUCCUUUUGUUGAAAAUUUAAAAUUUGGUUUUUAACAUAUCAUUCUUUUAUUACAUUUCAUGGGUUUUAUGGUUUUGGUCAUUUUAUUCGUGUUUUGCAUUUUGAGUUUUUUAUGUCUCCUCGCAUUAUCUUACAUGACCAUUGUGGUCGCACCUUUUUCAGUGGGAGUAAGAAACUAUGCCUUCGUGAGGCUUUCACCUCCGCAUGGGCUAGUGGACUGCUUCCGGGAUACAUCUGUACCUAUGUCUUUGUGAGGUUUUCACCUCCGCAUGGCCAUAGGGAAAUUUAUUCCCCUGAACUGAACUCAAUCCACAUGAGCCUGUAAUGGGUGAGGGUUGAGGAAUCUGCUGGUUUAGGUACCCCUUUCUUAGAAACGAGCCACAUAUAGUGAACUCUAAAAGCCAGCCCUAGAUAGAGCUAUGUUGAACCGUAGCGAUUAUUCAGAUAGGUGUUUGAUUGUUUUUUAUUUUCUUUGUUUUUUAUUUUUCGAUACUAACUUGCUGUGUUUUGUUGUGGUUAUGUUUGCAUGUCAUUUCAUAUUAAAGAGGUGUCGAUUUCUGUUCGGUUACUAAAUUAUAAAGUUGGUUAUGGAAAGCGAAUUCCUUGAUAAAGUAGAGGAUAAUACGGCUGCCCGUAUGUGGUCAGAGAAGAUGCAACUUGAGAAAGGGGAUAGCCUAGCAGCGGGCUAUAUAUCAAAGCUUUGUAACUUCACUCGCAUCAAUGUGACCCAAAACAAGUUCUAGGAAUUGAGGGAUAUAUGGGCCCAUUGGGAUGACGAGACUAAGCAGCUGUUCUAUCAGAAUUAUGGUGACUUACCCUACCUGCUCGAUAUCAAGGUGGACAAGUACUUGUUCUGGGAAAUGGCUCAGUUUUGGAACCCGGCAUAUAGUUGUUUCACCUUUGGGAAGGUGGAUUUGGUGCCUACUGUGGAGUAGUAUACAACUUUGCUUCGUUUUCCAAAGGUUCAAGUCAACAAAAUUUAUUCCAAGCUGCUAAUACCCCAGUUUUUAUAAAGAAAUUAAUGAGUAUCACCGGGAUGAGUGAACAGUGGAUUACAGCCCGAAUUCAGCAAAAGGGUGAUGGUAAGUACAUUACUUGGGUGAGUUUGAGGGACUUGAUCGUAGCACAUCCAGAUACAAAGAGGAAAAUUGACAUCUUCGUCUUGAGCAUCUAUGGUUUGGUAAUUUUCCCAAAAGCUUUAAGGCAUAUAGAUGAAGCAGUUGCCGACUUUUUUAAUCGACUUGACAAAUGGGUCACACUAGUAUCGACAAUUCUAGCCAAGACAUUCAAAUCUUUGGGUGCAUGUCGGAGGGCAGGUGAAGGUAGAUUUAUAGGGUGCGCGCAGUUAUUGCUAGCAUGGAUCCACAGUCAUUUUUGGAAAGUGGAUAAGGUUUUCUUAUCGGGUUUUUUCUGAGAAUUACUCCCCAUUAAAGGAGAUAACAGCCACGCCCAGGAAAUAUGACAUAUCAGAAGAGAAUUGGAUUGCGCUCCUCCGAAACCCACAAGAGGAGGACGUUGAGUGGAGAGCUCAUUGGUUGGUUCCUGAUGAGAUCCCCUAUCGGUGUUAGAGUUUUGAUUGGGUACCUUUGCCUGGAAUUUGGGGAGCUGGUUGAUAUGCCCCUUUGCUCGUUUUAAGAUAGUAUAGAUCAAGACAGUUUAUACCGAUGACACAUGGACUAGCCUAGAGUGAGUUCUCGUAUAGGGAAAACAAUUAUAAAAAGAAAGUUCGAGAGCUUUCUGAUGCUUGGAAACAGACACGCCGAAUGAAGGGAUUGGCUGUAGGUUCAAUGACGACUCCGGAAUACAAUAGAUAGUUGAAUAAAAUGGUCAAUGAUAACAUCUCUGGGCUGAGUUUAGAGGGAGUUCGGUCGAUGGAAGAAUACUUGCAAGUAAUCCCUUCCGAGCUAGAAAUCAUCAAACAAGACUUCAAAAAGAGAAAUUCGGAGUUAGGGAAGAAGAUAGAGCAAUUGGAGGAGGAAAAGUUGCAUUUGAGGUUAGACGCCGAUGUCUAGAAACUCAAGCCGAGAAUUUAAUAAAUGGAAAGAGAAAGGUUGAGGAAGACUUGGAUAGUUUGAAGACUGAUUGUAAGAAGUUGCAGAUGUCGAUGAGAACUGCUAGAUUGGGAAAGACAUCAGAGCAGUGGCGACAAGAAGUUCAAGAUGAAAAAGCUAGAGCUAAUCAGUGGCAGAAGAGGUUCCAUGAUUCUCGAGCACGUGAAAAUGCCUUAAAGAAAAGUUUGGUUGAGGGCUAAGAUGAGAAGGAGAUGUGAGUAGAUCGGGUAGCGGAGCUAAAGAAGGCACUGCAUCAGUACCGUGGUCGUAACUCCGACAUUAAAUUAAGAGCCAUCCUGAGCAGGAUCGAGGAUUUGAAAGGGAAGGUAGAAGAACUCGAGUCUGCAUUAUAGAACUGUGAACUUCGAAUCGAAUUCCUUGAGUCGAAUAAUGAGCAGUGAAAGGAACAGCUCCGUCGAUCGCAGGACCAGGUCAGGGAUAGAGAUUAUAUCAUGGGCGAAGCAGUGGCUCAGAUUCGAGAAGUGGCCGAUCAUCUACAAACCUUAGCGGUUCAGACUGAUGUGCUAAGUGUGAAGUAUGAGUUAGAGUCAGAUCGGGGUAGUGAGCUGGCUUGCCUUCUUAAAAAAGUUAAAACUUUGAGCAUUAGGGCAAAGUCGUAUAUAUGAUUUAUUUUAUGUAAAGGAUUUUACUUUCUAAUAAAGUUUUUUGAAUAGAAUUGAAUCAAAAUCGACGUCUCUUUAGUCUUGCAUUCAUCUCAUACAUUUGCAUUACAUCGCAUCAUGUGCAUUAAACUUCAUAAAAUAACCCUAAUUAAUUAGAAAUCGUGUGUAAUACCCCGAAAAUUUUUACAGUAAAAUAUUACCCGUGAUAUAGUAAAAUAAGGAAAUAAAGUGACAAAAAGGGAAAUUUUGAGUUAUGUCAAUAUUGGGAAGUAUUUUAUGAUAUAUUAAUUCAAGAAAGGACUAAAUUGCAAAGAUGAGAAAAGUCUUGUUGCACAAGAGUAAAUACUCAAAAUUUAAGGGGUUGAAGUGUAAAUAUAAAAAAGUUGAAGGACUAAUGAUGCAAAUAUUUUAAGGGUGGAAUAAUCUAGAAACCAAGAAAAAUUGAUGAAUUAGGACCAAAUUGAAUAGGUGAAAAUUUAUGAGAGACUAAAUCAUAAUUUUACCAAAUUAAGUAAUGACUUAAGGAUGGAAUUCUAAAAUAUCAUGAAGGGCAAAAUGGUCAAUUAGUAAGAGAGAGAAUUCUAGAAUGUAAUGAUUAUGUUGAUGAUAUUUUAAAUUAAUAAAUUAGAUAAAUAUUAUUUUAUUAAUAUUUUUAUGAGAUAUUUAUUAUUAUAUUAUUAUUUAUUUAGUAUAAAAGGAAGAAAAGGUGAAGAAUUAUCAUCACCUUUCCUUUCCCAUGCAAGCCAUCGUAAGAGAAGAAGAAGAAAAGAAGUUUUCUUUCUUUACAAUUUAGUUCUUCCACCAAAAAUUUAUUAUUUUCACCUAAAAAUUGAAAGAAUUUCCAUAGCCAUCAAGAGAGAAAGAUAGCAAGGAGAUGAUGGGGAGUAAGAAUAUCAAGUUGGAUUCAAGAAAUAGAAGUUGGAGGAGAGAGAAAAAUCAAGUUAAAGAUUGAAGUCAAUAAGAAAAAGGUAAAAACAUCAAGAUUUCAAUAUAUUUUUAAGUUUAAUAUUAUUGAAAAAGCAUGGAAUUGAUGUUGAUUUAGAGUUUUCUUAUAUAUGGUCUUAUGUUCUUGUCAUGUUAGUGAAGAGAAAAUAAGAGAAAGUGAUGAGAAAUAGCGUAGAAAAAGAAAAUAAGGGUGUUAUAAACAUGAUAAUUAAUAUCUUGCACUAAAAUAGUUCUGGACAGCAGCAGUAGUCUAACUUUGAAAAAUCACCAAAAAUUUUAGAAAUCGAAUUAUAGGAUGAAUAAAAUAUGAAAUUAAAUCUUAUUUAUUCUAGUUUCUUAUAGAAGAAAUUAUGUAAUCAAUGGAAUUUUAAAUCAUCAGAUAUAAUAAAUUUUGCGAGACAAGGUCAGAAUGAUUUCGGGUUCCCCUGUUCUGACUUUGAAAAAUCAUAAAAAAUUGGAAAAAAAUAAUUAUGGGCUUAAAUUUAUAUUUUUAGAAUCUUGAAUGAGUCUAGUUUCAAGAGAAAUAAACAAGAACAUCAUUAUAAUUCUUUACAAGGAGAUAAUUAAUUUUUAGUGAAGAAUGGUCACAGCUGUCAGACAGCAGAAUAGGGGUAAUUUUAAAGAAUAAACUGUACUUAUUUAUUAAACCAAAAAUUAUGAAAAUUUUAUGGUAAGAAUAUAUAUGAGUCUAAUUUCAUGGAAAAUUAUCAGAUAUUAAUUUUGAGUUCUAGAGCUCCAGAUAUAAAUAAUUUAGUGACUAUGACACAGAUGGACAGCUUGAAUAUUCAUAAAAGUAAAUAAUAAAGAUUAUAGAUAAUGUUACUUACAAGUGUGUUAUAUGCAUUAAGGAUGUGGAAUGGAGAGGAAGAGGAGGAAAAUAUAUAUGAAUAUUCAGCUAGUAUGGCUAAUUUGCAUGUUUUAGGCUUAAGGACUAAAUUGAAUAAAAGAAAAUCUUCAGUAGGCAAUUUUGUAAAAAUGUCAAAAUGAGCAAAUUGAAGGGAAUGAAUUUUUUUAUUAUCUAAAUUAAUAAAUUGAAUGAAAUUUUCAAUUUAAGAUCGGGUGAAAAUUGGGAAAAUAGUAAAUUACCAAAAUGUCUCUGAAUCUUGAUAUUUCUGCAAUUUCGCUAGGUAAGUUCGUAUAACUUGAAUUAUAUUCUUAAAUGCUUGAAAUGUAUGUUUUUGAUAUGAAUAUUAUUUGAAUGUUCAUUGUAUGAAAAUUGAUGAAACAUUAACAUAUUUGAUAAAAAGGGGAAGAUAUCUCGGUUGAAUGAAAGGAAAAUUCGAUGGAUCUCUGAGAAGGAAUUGACGGUAAAAAGGAUCUAGCCCUAACGGGUGAUCCUAUCCUAGUAUAACCCUCUCGAAGAAUACGUGUAAAUAGAUUUAGCCCGGAAGGGUAAUUCGAAUUAGGGUCUGAAUUUAGCCUGGACUGGUAAUUCAGAUCCAAGUUUAUUAGAGUAAUUGUCGUUGCAGGGGAUUUAGCCUGGAUUGGUAAUCCAAACAAUACUCUAUGAGCUUAUAUUACAGGGGAUUUAGCCUGGACUGGUAAUCCCACUGUAAGGAUGAGGUUCGCGGGAGUGCUCUCUGAUAUGAAAUGUGUAAGACCAUGGUUGAAAGAUACCAUGACAACCUGAUAUGAAAUGUGUAAGACCAUGGUUGAAAGAUACCAUGGCAACGUGAUAUGAAAUGAAUAAGACCAUGGUUGAAAGAUACCAUGGCAACAUAACGGGAAAUGAAUAAGACCAUGGUUGAAAGAUACCAUGGUAGCGUGACAUGAAAUGAAUAAGACCAUGGUUGAAAGAUACCAUGGCAACAUGACAGAAAAUGAGUAAGACCAUAGUUGAAAGACACUAUGGCAUCAUGUCAAAGAUAAAUAAGACCGUGGAUGGGAGACGCGAUGACAUCUAUUGAACAAUUGAUAUUCAGGUAAUAUGUAUCAGAUGACGAAUGGUUAUAUGAAAUGGUUGUGUGAAUUGUUUACAAGAACUGGUCAUAUGGAAAUAUAUGUACAAAAUAGUUGUAUGAAAUAAUGAUGAAGAUAGAUAAACGAAAUAAGAAUUAAAUACACGGAAUAUAAUUUAUGUUAAGUUUGAUAUAAACUUUAACGGAAUAAAUAUACAUAAAAUAUAUGGAAAUAAUGGAGCAUGAAAUAUUGAUAUAAUGAAAUGAUUGAUAUAUACUUAUGAAGAAUGGUAAGAGAAUGAUAUGUUUCAUGACAUGUACAUAUAUGAUUAUCUUUGAUAUGUUGAUACAAGGAAAUUAUGUAAGUAAAGACAAUUAUUAAACUCAAGUGUGACAUGUCGAGAAAAUAAGUAUAUGAAUGUUGAAUUUAUAUAAAUAUGUGCAAGUAUACUAACAAUGAUGUUGUUUGACGCUUAGACAAGCGUCAAACUAUUGAUUGAAUGGUAACAUUUUUAAUUAUAAGAAGCAUUGAAAUGGUAAGUACUUAGAUGAAAAUAAAAUUUAAAUUGCGAAAAUUUUUUUAUGAUCCUGAUUUAAUUCCGAUUGGCUUUUAAUGUAUGUUUGGGGCUUCGAGGGCCCAAUAGAGAGACGUUAUGAUUAUUUUCAAAAUAUGAAUAAUAAAUGACUCAGAAUUAUCUGAAAAUGUUCAGUAAACUCCGGUAAUGCCUCGUACCUAUUCUGGCAAUGGAUACGAGUAGGGGGUGUUACAUCGUGUUAUAGUUAUCCUGGAACAUCACUACUACACACGGAGAAAAACUAAAGUUAUGGAUCAAAAGUUGGAAAAACUGGAACAAAUGCAGAAAGAGAUGCAGGAGCGGCUGCAAGCACAGAUGCAAGAGCAACUAGCCAAGAUUCAACAAGAUAUGAAAGAUCAGAUGCUAGAAUCGCAGAAGAACAUGAUGAAUCAGCUAACUCAGUUACUGCUCGGAGGGCUAGGAAAAGGGAAGAGCCCUAUGGUCAACCAUGGGGAUGUCAAUGAGGACCUUGUCUACCCACCGGGUUUUGCCCCAGCAAAUACCCUAAUGCGGCCCAACGCAUAUCCACCUAGGGUGUCUGUCAAUAUCUGUCCACAGCAUCAAGCCAGUAUCUCGGCAUUAAUGCACUUCCCGAUAGGUUCAGGCACCGGAGACAAUCCGACAAAUCCUGGUGUCCUUGAUCUGGAUAACAUGGCAGAAGUAGAAAGGGCAAAAUGAGAAUUUCCAAAGUAGCUGGAAGACCGAUACAAAUGGCUGGAAGAGAAGUUCAAGGCACUGGAAAAUGCUGAUUAUCAGUGUAGUAUGGUUGCUAAAGAGUUGAGUUUGGUUUCGAAUCUAUUGCUCCCUCCAAAGUUUAAAAUGCUGGAGCUUGAGAAUACAAUGGAACCAGCUACCCUGAGGCCCACAUCAUGAUGUUUUGUCAGAGGAUGACUAGUAAUGUCAACAAUUAUCAGUUAUUAGUUCACUGCUUCUAGGAUAGUUUAACUGGGGUUGCGACCAAAUGGUACAAUUAGCUGAAUCGCACCCAAAUCAAAUCAUGGAGGGACUUAACAUAAGCCUUCAUGAAGCAGUAUAGUCAUGUGACAGAAAUAGCACUUGACAGGAUCACAUUACAGAAUAUGGAGAAAAGGUCGAGUGAAAGUUUCAGGCAAUAUGCCCAGAGGUAGAGGGAAGUUGCUACACAAGUCCAACCACUACUGCUGAAAAAAGAAACAACUAUGCUCUUCAUUAAUACUUUGAAAACACCUUUCAUUAAUCACAAGCUGGGCAGCGCAACUAAAAGUUUCACGGACAUAAUGAUGUCUGGUGAAAUGAUAGAGAAUGCAAUAAGGUGCGGGAAGAUAGAGGCUGGGGAAAGCACCAGGAAGUCAGCCCCGAAGAAGAGAGAAAAUGACGUCAGUAAUGUGAACAUGGGUUAUGUAAAACCAGACACGGUUAAUCAAUCGAGAAUGAUGGCUACGGGCUAACAAGCCUCACCAAGACAGAAGCCCAAUACCAAACAAAGCACGGAGAAGCUUCAGUUUAUUCCCAUUCCAAUAACGUGUCAAGAGCUGUACAAUAGCCUAUUUGAUGCGCACGUUGUAGCCCUUUUCUACUUAAAACUGUUGCAACCUCCAUAUCCCAAAUGGUACGAUGUAAUUACUCAAUGUGAAUACCAUGUGGGAACAGUGAGACACUCGAUAGAGAACUACCUCUUUUUCAAAAGGUUAGUCGAAAGGCUCAUCAAUAUGGGCGUUGUGAAGUUCGACGAGGCACCUGGUGUAGGAAAUCUGUUACCCAAUCAUACUAAUAAUAAGGUGAACGCAAUAAUUGACAAUGCGGGGAAAAUAAUCAAGUUGAGUGUUACAGAAGUAAGACCCCUGUUGAAAGAGGUCUGGAGAAGAAUGGUGGAAAGAUGUCUAAUACAAGACGUGGGGAGCAAACCUCGAGAAGCGAGGAACUAUUGUGAGUUCCACGAUGAUGAGAACUAUGAGAUUCAGAGAUACAGUGAAUUCAGGGCCCUGGUGCAGGGUCUAAUGGACAAUAAUGAGCUAGAGUUCUUUAAGUUCGUUGAAGGAGAGGACGUGCGCACCGCAGGAGGAGAGUCAGUAGAGAAGGUCACUGAGGUCAAUCAGCCGAUGGUGAUCAUCUCACAACCAAGAAUCAACGAAGCCGGAGCAAAAAUUACACUGAAAGUUGUAAUUCAGAAAACCGCAGCUUUUCCUUAUAAGGAUAGCAAAAGGGUACCUUGAAAUUAUAACUGUAAUGUGACAUAUUUGAGAAAGGAAAGUCUGGUCAGCAUGCCAAAUACGAAAAUUAAGCCCAACAAAGGGAAGUCCCUGAUGAUUCAACAAGGGGAAGAAAGGUCAGAGCCAUUGGUUAAUGAACCGGUAACUGAUAAUAAAGCCAAAGAUUUUUAAAAUUCCUCAAACAUAGUGAGUAUAGUGUUGUAGAGCUGCAUAAGCAACCGACACACACAUCAGUUUUGACUUUACUUUUAAACUCGCCGAUACACCGUAACGCGCUGAUAAAGGUUUUGAAUGAAACCUUUGUCGCUGAAGACAUUUCGGUGAACAAGCUAGACCGUCUUGUCAGCAACAUAAGUGUCGAUAACUUCAUUUUAUUAAGCGACAAUGAGAUACCACCAAGGGGCAUAGGGUCCUCCAAGGCUCUGUACAUCACUACCCGGUGCAAAGGGUAUACACUACCGGGGGUAUUAUUUGACAAUGGGUCGGCACUGAAUGUCUUGGCCUUGUCCACAUUGAACAAGAUACCUAUAGAUAGCUCUCAUAUGAAGACAUGCCAGAACAUAGUGAGAGUAUUUGAUGGCACCGAAAGGAAAGUAAUGGGAAGGAUUGAGAUUUCCCUUUUGAUCAGACCCAAUACAUACGAGGUAGACUUCCUCGUGAUGGAUAUCAAGCCCUCUUAUAAUUGUUUAUUGGUGAGGCCCUAGAUUCACUCAGUAGGAGCAGUACCAUCAUCAUUGCACCAAAAGUUAAAGUUGGUGACGGAAGGUCGGCUGAUAACCCUAAAUGCAGAGGAGGACAUUAUCGUAUUCGUUACUAGUGAUGCGCCAUACAUAGAGAAUCUGAGGCAAUAAAGUGUUCCUUUCGGUCGUUAGAGUUCGUGAAUGCAAACUUUCGUCAUCGAAUGAGACAAGGUCCGAAUGCCAAAAAUAUCAGAAGCCACGAUGAUGAGCCUACGACUGAUGGUAAGAAAAGGAGCAUUGACUCGAAGGGGACUCAAAAAAUACCUCCAUGGACAGGUCGAAGUACCGGGCUUGGCUGACACGCGGGAUCGUUUUGGCUUGGAGCAUAAUCUAAACGCCAAACAGAAGAAGGAAGAGCUAGAAAGAAAGCAGGAGAGACGAAGGGCACGAUUGAGUGGGGCUGAGGUCAAAUAGGAAUUAAUGACUUUUCUCUAUAUAUCCAAUACAUUUGUAUUAAGGGGAAUACUCCAUCUUGAAUUGAAGAUGACAAGUGAAGGAAUAGCUGAAGAUAUGAUAGAAAAUUUGAGCAUCAACGCCAUUUCUGAGGAGAGAAAGAUGGAAGGAAACGUAUUGGGCAUUCACCCCUACGUGCUAGGAAGUGUUCUGAACAACUAAACUGCGGAGGAAAUUCUUGUAUUUUUUAGAGCUAAUAUAGAGUAAUGUUCAAAACACACUUGUUGUUUUAAGAUUAGAAACAAUAAGAAUCUUUUGUGAAAAAGCUAAUGUUCAAACAUCUUUAUUUUCAAUAAGAAAUGCAUUUUUGAGUCUCAUGCCGGGCGAAUAUUCUUUUGUUCUCUCAUUUCAUUCAUAACCAUGUCAUACAAAUAAGCCACUCUUAGAUUCAUUCUUUGGAUAUUCUUUCAUGCCUACAAUAAGUCUCCAGAUAUCAAUGAUACGAGCGACGCUGCUACGGACCCAGAGUCCCCUUUUGAGCGAGAUAGGUGCUUAGAGGAAUCUCAGGAUUUUGAAGAUGAUCAAGACUGUAGGUUAUCUCUAGAUUUGUUAAGAAUGGUAGAAUAGAAAGAGAAACAGAUUCUUCCUCAUAAAGAGACAAUCGAGAAUAUAAUUUUGGAGGACGGGAAAGAGGUGAAAAUUGAAACUUGCAUAACCGAGGAAACAAGGCAAGAUCUCAUUAAACUAUUGCAGUAGUUCAAAGAUGUCUUUGCAUGGUCGUAUCAAGACAUGCCUGGUUUAAGUGCUAAUAUUGCAGUACACCGUGUCCCCAUAAAGGAGGAAUACAAGCCAGUUCAACAGAAGCUCCGAAGAAUGAGACCCGAUGUUGCAGUAAAAAUAAGAGAAGAGAUUAAGAAGAAAUUUGAUGCAGGUUUCUUAUAAGUGGCGAAUUACUCGGAAUGGGUAGCCAAUUUCGUCCCCGUCCCUAAGAAAGAUGGAAAAGUGCGGAUGUAUGUAGAUUAUAGAGACCUAAACAAGGCCAGCCCAAAGGACAACUUCCCGCUGCCUUAUAUCGACACUCUGGUGGAUAAUACGGCAGGUUACUCACUGUUCUUUAUCAUGGAUGGCUUUUCUGGAUACAAUCAGAUAAAGAUGCAUCCUCUAGACAUGAAAAAGACCACCUUCAUAACCUUGUGAGGAAUAUUCUGUUAUAGGGUAAUGCCAUUCGAGUUAAAAAAUGCGGGAUCAACGUAUCAAAGAGCCAUGGUAACCUUGUUUCACAACAUGAUGUACAAGGAAAUUGAGGUUUACGUUAAUGAUAUGAUCGCAAAAUCUCGAACUGAAAAAGAGCACAUACAGGUUUUGAGGAAAUUGUUCUUAAGGCUGAGAAAAUUCCAGCUAAAGCUCAAUCCAACAAAAUGUACUUUCGAGGCUAGAUCAGAAAAGCUACUCGGUUUUAUUGUCAGUGAAAAAGGAAUCGAGGUCGACCCUGACAAAGUCAAGGCUAUACAAUAAUUGCCUCUGCCACGCACUCAGAAGGAAGUUCGAGGUUUUCUGGGAAGACUAAAUUAUAUCGCUCGGUUUAUUUCGCAACUAACUGAGAAAUGUGACCCCAUAUUUCAUCUUCUCAAGAAACACAACCUAGGUUUGUGGGAUGAUGAGUGCCAGGAGACCUUUGACAGGGUUAAACAAUAUUUGUCAAAUCCCCCAGUAUUAACGCCACCUAGUCCAGGUAGACCAUUGAUACUAUAUUUGACAGUAUUUGAUAAUUCAAUGGGAUGUAUGCUUGGCAAACACUACGAGACAGGAAGAAAAGAAAAUGCGAUAUACUACCUCAGUAAGAAAUUCACUGAGUGCGAGAUGAGAUACUCGCCAAUUGAUAAACUAUGUUGUGCUUUGGUUCAGACAAAUCGGAGAUUGAGGCAGUACAUGUUAUAUUACACGACUUGGCUAAUCUCGAAAUUAGACCCUCUUAAGUACAUGAUAGAUUCAGCCGAUCUGAAUGGAAGGAUGGCCCGAUGGUAAAUCCUGCUCUCCGAAUUCGACAUAAUCUAUGUGAACCAGAAGGCUGUGAAGGGGAGCGCAAUAGCAGACUUUCUAGCCAGUAGAGCUUUAGAAGAUUACGAGCCUUUAAACUUUGACUUCCCUAAUGAAGAUCUGAUGUAUGUGGCAACUACCAAAGAAGACAUUCCAGAAGAUCUUCUUUGGAAAUUAAAUUUUGAUGGAGCAUCGAACGCCGUUGGUAAUGGAAUUGGGACAGUCCUGAUAUCCCUAAGCGGAGAUUAUUAUCCAUUCACUUGCAAAUUAGAUUUUGAUUGCACGAAUAAUAUGACAGAGUAUGAAGCAUGUAUCAUGGGAAUCCCUGCAGCCAUAGAGCGUGACAUUCAGGUGUUGGAGGUAUAUAGGGAUUCCGUACUAGUGAUCUACCAGCUCAAGGGUGAAUAGGAAACAAGAGACCGAAAGUUGGUCAACUAUCGAGAGCUAGUUCAGAUUUAAUCAAGGUGUUUGAUGAUGUCAUUUUUCGUUACCUCCAACGAGAUGAAAAUCAGAUGACUGAUGCAUUAGUUACGCUAGCCUUUAUGAUCAGAGUAAAUAAACGAGAGGAUAUGAAGCUGAUCCAGAUGAGUAUCUGUGAGGCUCCAGCUCAUUGUUACAAUAUCGACAAAGAAGAGGAGGGAGAUAAUUAUCCUUGGUAUCAUGACAUUCUGUGAUAUGUGAAGAAUCGUGAAUACCCUGAUCAAGAAACUGACAAUGAUAAGAAAACGUUGAGGAGGCUGGCUAGUGACUAUGUCUUAGACGGAGAGAUCCUGUAUAAAAGGAGAAAAUAUCAAGUGCUGUUAAGAUGUGUUGACGCUGUUGAAGCCAAGGAAAUUCUGGAGGAAGUCCACGAAGGUGUCUGCGGGACGCAUGCUAAUGGGUUCACAAUGGCCAGACAAAUCAUAAGAUUCGAGUAUUACUGGUUCACGAUGGAAGGAGAUUGCAUCAGUUACGCCAAGAAAUGCCAUAAGUAUCAAAUUUAUAGAGACAAGAUCCAUGUGCUUCCUUCCCCUCUUCAUGUUAUUACUUCUCCGUGGCCUUUCUCAAUGUGGGGCAUGGAUGUCAUUAGGCCGAUUUCGCCAGGGCUUCUAAUGGAUAUCGAUUAAUUUUUUCUGGUUAUUGAUUACUUCACCAAAUGGGUAGAGGCUGCUUCAUACACUAACGUCACAAAGUUGGUAGUCAGGAAAUUCUUGAAGAAGGAAAUCAUAUGUCGAUAUGGCAUGCCGGAAAGGAUCGUAUCUGACAACGCGUUAAAUUGGAAUAACAGCGUGAUAGUGGAGGUUUACAGUCAGUUCAAAAUUAAGCACCACAGCUCAUCACAAUAUCGCCCGAAAAUGAAUAGGGCAGUUGAGGCAGCUAAUAAAAAUAUCAAGAAGAUCGUAGGGAAAAUGACUGUGACCUAAAAGGAUUGGCAUGAAAAGUUACCCUUUACUCUCUUAGCCUAUCGAACAACUGUUAGAACCUCUACCGGGCAACACCUUACUCAUUGGUUUAUGAGAUGAAGGCAGUCUUGCCCAUCGAAGUCGAAAUACCCUCUCUUCGGGUUUUAUCAAAGUUGAGGCUGGACGAAGCAGAAUGGAUCCAGUCUCGGUAUGAUCAGCUGAACUUGAUUGAGGAAAAGAGGUUAAAGGCUAUCCGUCAUGGUCAAAUAUACCAGAAGCGAAUGAUGCGAGCUUACAACAAAAAGGUUCACCCUAGAGUAUUCCACGAGGGGGACUUGGUAUUGAAACAUAUUCUCCCUGUACAAAAGAUUUCAGGGGGAAAUGGAUGCUAAACUAGGAAGGACCCUAUGUGGUAAAGAAGGUUUUUUUCGGGGGAGCGCUGAUAUUAGCAGAAAUGGACGGUACAAACCUUCCUAGCCCAAUAAAUUCGGAUUUGGUCAAUAAGUACUUCACCUGAAAAAGGAGAGGCUAAGGCGAAAACUCGCAAAGGGCUCUUUGAAAAAAAAAGAAAAAGGGAGAGGCUGAGGUGAAAACCCGCAAAGGGCGCCUCGAGACCAAAGGCGUUUUGAAUUAAAAACCCAGAAAAGGCAAUUCAAAUUUCAAUAUGUGAUAGUCUGCUAUGCUUGAAUUAACAAACAGGAAAUAUGAUAUGUCUUGGGGCAUCAACAAAGUACUCAAGAUCUUCUAGGCAUGUGUUAAACUCAAAAUGGUCCUCGGAGAGUCCGUACAGAGAAACUCAGACUGCGAUAUUUGGGGGCACCUAUUUGUUUUCCCCAUCACCUAUUCUUGUAUCCCGAUAAUUUUUGCUCUUUUUGAUUUAUUCGUUCUUUUCAGAUUUUGUUCCUAAUAAAUUUCAGUUUUAUCCAUUUUUAUGAAAAUUUUCAAGCAUUUCAUAUUGAAAUAAUGAUUAAUAAAUGAAUAACACUUUCGUAAAAGGAGUUCUGCGUAUUACUCUGGAAGCUUCUAAAAAUAUGCAAGACUUGAAGUAGGACAAUUAAUUAGAACUCACCAAGCCUAAGGAUUGAAAAUACUUGAAAAUUCCAGAUUUUCUAUCAGUUGAACAAGAAGACAUAUAUCAGUGAUAUAAGCUAGACAAGCAGAAAGCAAUAAUAGCUCAAACGUAAAAAAGGACAUUCUUAUGACAUUCUACAUUCAUACGUAUAUCAUUCAUAGCACAUCUAGCUAGGAGCAUUUGACCCAUUCCGAUCAUAGCAUCCUAGUCAUCAUCAUUAGGCAUAAACAUAGGCUUAUGAAAUCAAUUCUACAGGUAUGUCCCCUAGAGGAUGAUGUAGCAAGUUUGGUUGAAGCAAAAAAUCUCCACUAACCUUAAUCCCCUAAGCAGUAGGGCAACAGGCUGGGAAUUACAGAUCUUAUCUCCCUAAGCAGUAGUGGAGUAGAUCGAAGACGGUGAGCCUUAACCCCCUAAGUAGUAGGGCAAUAGGCUGAAGAUUACAGAUCUUAUCUCCCUAAGCAGUAAUGGAGCAGAUCGAAGACGAUGAGCCUUAACCCCCUAAGUAGUAGGGCAACAGGCUGAAGAUUACAGAUAUUAUCUCCCUAAGCAGUAGUAGAGCAGAUCGAAGACGGUGAGCCUUAACCCCUUAAGUAGUAGGGCAACAGGCUGGAAAUUAUAGAUCUUAUCUCCCUAAUCAAUAGUGGAAUAGAUCGAAGACGGUGAGCCUUAACCCCCUAAAUAGUAGGGCAACAGGCUGGAAAUUACAGAUCUUAUCCCCCUAAGUAGUAGGGCAACAGGCUGGAAAUUACAGAUCUUAUCCCCCUAAGUAGUAGUGGAACAAAUCGAAGACAGUGAGCCUUAACCCCCUAAGUAGUAGGGUAACAGACUGAAUAUUAUAGAUAUUAUCUCCCUAAGCAGUAGUGGAGUAGAUCGAAGACAGUGAGCCUUAACCCCCCAACCAAUAGGGCAACAGGCUGAAGAUUACAGAUCUUAUCUCCCUAAUCAGUAAUGGAGCAGAUCGAAGACAGUGAGCUUUGACCCCCUAAGCAAUAGGGCAACAGGCUGGAAAUUACAGAUCUUAUCUCUCUAAGCAGUAGUGGAGCAGAUCGAAGACAAUAAGCUUUAUCCCCCUAAGCAGUAGGGAAACAAGCUGAAAAUGACAGACCACCUUAUCUCCUUAAGCAGUAGUGGAGCAGAUCGCAGACGGUGAGCCUUAUCCUCCUAAGCAAUAGGGAAACAGGCUGAAGAAUACAAAUCAUGUCUCCCUAAGUAGUAGCGGAGCAAAUUGAAACAAAAAUCCCUAUACUCCUGAAGAUACAAUGGGUUAAGGCGAGGCUACCUGAAGAAAGGAAGCAUCAAGAGGUCAAGACUCAAUAAGACCGAGCAAAAUUGGCCCUUUUAAAAUCUUUGUUCCAUUCUCGUUACACUACAAUGAGCAAAGUGGGGCAGCUGUAGGGCCCAAUUUAGCCCGGAGCCCAUAAACCAAAAACCAAAUAAGAACAAAACCUUAAAACCUCAACCUAAACCCUAAAUACCCAUUUACAAUGUGGCCCAAUUGGCCCACGAACCUAAAACAUUUCAGCAAGAGAAACCCUAACAUCCCCUUUGCGUCAUUUUAGCAAACAGCGUGCCCCCUCGAGUACCAAGCACCACCAUCCCGAGAAAUGCGCUGCUCUACCACGCCACAUCAGAGACGUGCUCGAUCACGCACCUGCAAACAAACACAAAAGAAAGGACAGCAGCAAAAAGUUAUUUUUCCCCCUUUUAGUUCGACUAUAAAACUAAAGAGGAUCGAAUGUAAAAAGGGACUUUUUUUCGAUUUUUUACGAAUACAGUAACAGAUAUACACACCAAAAAUCAAUAGAAAAGAUCUUAGUGCAAAAGAAAUCCAAAAGGUGAUUUUAGAUUCAACUGUCCUUGAUUUUACGUUUUCUUUUGAUUCUAUUUCCUUUAUUUUUUCUAUUUGAAUUUUAAAACAUUUGAAAAUAGAAAAAGGGAAAGAUUUAUCUUACGAAUAGGCUGUGGAGUUCCGUUUGCUUUGCUGAAGUCGGAGCUUUGAGGGGGUUUUAUAGCCAAGAAUGUCGUCCCUCGAAACUUGAAUCUGCUGGAUGCCGUUUAGGAUGGCGGAUCGGCGUUCAAAGAGAGGGAUUAAAGUCGGCUAAGAGGAAAAAUUAAGAGAGAAAUAAAAAGGGGCUAGGGUUUCUUUUAAAAAAAUGGAAGAAUGCCAUUCAAUUGUUUUUUUUUUAGUUUUUUAAAUGGCAAACAAAACGGCGCCGUUUGGGAGGGAUGGGAUCUGCGCUUUUGUGCUUUGAAGGGGAAAUUUAUGCGGCUGGUCAUUCCCUUUUGCGCCGACUUUCGAUUUGACCCAGUUUGAAUUUCAUUUGUUUUUUAAAAAUUGCCUCUAGAUUUUGCACGUAGACUCAAUGUGGUCCGCGUUGAAACGUCGCGUUUGGAGGGCUUGGGAUAUUUUCCCUAUCAGUCCUUCCCCUUUACACGCGCGUCUACUUUGAUCCCAGUUCAUGAUUUGUUAUUUCUUUGCAUUUUAUAAUUUGCAUCCCAUGUUUCGUUUUGAUUAUAAUUAAAUCCCAAGCCUUUUACAACUCUAAUUACUUUCAGUUUUUUUUAAAUAUUUUAUUUACUUAUUGUAUUAUUCUCAUUAUUAUUAUUUUGUUUUUUGUUUAUUAUUUUACAUAUGUACAUGCCUUUCAAUAUUGGAUUGCUAAUUAAUAUUAUCAUUGUUAUUAUUAUUCUUACUAUUAUAUAUUAUUGUUAUUAUUCUUACUAUUAUAUGUUAUUAUUAUUAUCGUUACUAUUUUUAUUACUAUUAUUUAUAUACAUUAUUAUUACUAUUAUUUUUCACUAUUAUUAUUUUACUAUUAUUUUUAUAUACUAUAGUGGUUCAUUAAUAUUACUAUUAUUUUUCGUUAUUCUUAUUGUUUUUUUAAAAAAAACCUUUCAUAUGAUAUUUAAUUAGAUCACCUUUAUCUAUUAUUAUAUACACAAAAUUUAUAUUAGCUUUAUCUACGUACAUUAUAAAUCCCAUGUUGUUGCAUAUUUGUAUUUUCUUAAUAAUUUACUUAUAUACAAUUUAUUUCUUUUAAAGAUCCUAUUUUACCAUAUUUUUUUUAAACACUCUCAUCAAUUAUUAUUUUUUAUAUAUUAUUUUUAUUUUCAUUCAUUUUAUAACCACCCGCAUUUCGAAAACCCUCUCAACAUAAGGAAAUAUUUCGUGUUUAGGAGUCCGAGAAAUCGUGCCCUAACAUGCUGGGUUUCAAUUUUUCGUUCAACCGAAUAACUGAAUAUCCUUUUGAAAUUUCACUCAUGUUUUCUUAAGUUAAAAAACAAGGCAAUGUUUCAUAUUUAGAAAUUCGAGGAAUUGUGCCCUAACUGCUGGGUUUCGUUUUGUGGUUGGACCAAAUAACCGAAUACCCUUUUAAAAUUUCAUUGCGUGUUUUGGAAAUCAUGAGAUGAUCUCAGUUUUUGGGGGCUUGAAAUAUCAUGUCCUAACGUGCUGGAUGUGGUAUUUUAUUCCUUCAGAAUGAGUGAAUCUGAAAAUUCAGCUCGCGUUGUUCUCACAUUUUUAAAGGGAUCGUUUUUAAGAAUUAUUCCAAAUUUUCAACAUUAGGAUAUUAAUUAAUCGAUUAGGUACCAAUUUUGGGCGUUGCGAGGUUGCUAAUCCUUCCUCGUACGUAACCGACUCCCGAACCUGUUUUCUUGAAUUACGUAGGCCAAAGUCGAUAUUUUAAUAAAAUAAAAUGUUUUACAAGGUGAUCCGAUCAUACCUCAAAAAAAGAUCGGUGGCGACUCCAUUUUUGUGUUUAAGUCGACUCCCGUUUUUCAAAUAAAAAAUGGUAUUGACAAUAAUAAUAUAAGUACCUUGAUAUUUUUUUAAAAAAUAUAAAAUAUAAAAUUACUAAAAACACAUUUGAAUUUGUCCAGAUUCAUUCUUCAUUUGAAAAUAUAUAUUAUUUUAUAUAUAUAGAGAGAGAGAGAGAGAGAUUUUAUAUUUUUUAAAUUUAUGUUUGCACGUGGCAUACUGAAAUGUUAUCAUGUGGCACCAUCGGAUUGGCUAACAGUGCUACAUCAGUACAAACUAACAAUGUUAAUAUAGGACAAACCACAUUAGCGAACAAAUAUAAAUAUAAAUAUUUAUAUUAAAUAAAAAAUAAUAUAAACAAAUGUUUAGAUUUAUGUAAAAACACCAGAUCUGAAAAACAAUUAAAUAAAGAAGAUCUUGAAAAACCAGAAAUCAAAUAAGGAAAUCGAGUUUUACUAAAUGUUGAGGCCUGUUUUCACAGUUUCCUUAAGACAAAUUCGGCCGCUCUUCUGUUACUUAGAGAAACAUUAGUCGUCUGUCUCUCAGGAUACAACAACAAAAUGAUCGCGGUAGUAAUACCUCUGCAGUAUUCUUUCAUUUUUUAGCCCUAUAUUAAUAUUAACUAGAUUAUGUAUUUUUUUUCUCAGCAAAUAUUAUACAAAAUAUAUCGAUUUGAUUUUAUUCAUUUCCAAAAUUAUUUCAUAUUGAAUGCCUAUAAAAACCUAAAGAAUACUUUUAAUAUAAUACUAAAUUAAACACAAUCUAACUUUUACAUUCACAAUGCCUACUCUAUCUACAUUUUUCCUUAAAAGUCAUUAACUUCCAACUUUUGGAGUUGCCUCCUAUUCUUAUUCCUCUUCUUCCAAAUCAAGUUAAAUUUAAUUUAAUAAAUAAAGUUAAAAAUUCAUAUAUUUCCUUUAUAAAAUAUUUGAUAAAUUUUAUUCCAACUAUUUAUUUACUUAUUUGAAACCUAGUAUUACAAGUGCAAUUGAACUUAUAAUUAAAAUACACUCCAACUUAAAUCACAAUAAAUUAUUUUUAUAAUACAUAAUUAGAUUGAUAAUUGAAAUAUAUUGUACUUAAUUCCAAAUAAAAAUAAAUGUUCACAAAAUCACAAUCUUCCAAUUAAGCAAAACCCCAUUUCCAUUUCUUCAUUUGAACAAUCAAAAUUCAUGUGUCAUGACAAUUUAAUUUUCAAAGGAAAAAAAAGAAGAACUUGUCAACAUUAUUGUUCUUUGAUUUGAUUGUUUCGGGGGUAUAUACUGUACUUUGACUUGAUAAUAAAAGACAGAUCAAUUCAAUUGGGCGUCCUAAGUUAGGGUCUAAUUCAUGACUGAAUAAAUCAAUUAUUGAGAUGUGAAUCAAUCAUUGUUAUUUAAUCAAUUAUCUUUUAACAGUUUUAGAUGAAUUACUAAUGCUAAUUAAUAAUAAUUAAAGAGAAAAACAGAUUAAUCGAUUCUUUUUAUAGUAGUUAGAAAUUUCGUUUGACAUUUAAACUAAAAAAAAAAUUAGUCUUUUAUUUAAAUUUUUUUAAUUUAACCUAUGUUAAUUUUGUUAACACGAUAUGUAGACGGAUUAUCACAUCAAUGAUUAAUUAAAUUUUUAAAAUUUAUAAAAUUAUUUAAAAAUUUUUAAAAAUAUAUAUAUAAGAAAUAUUUUUAAAAUUAAUUAAUUACAGUUCAUUUUAAGGUUGUUUAACAAAAAAUACAAAUUCAAAAGUUAAAAUAAGCACCCCUCUCAUUUUAUUUUUUUAUUAUUUGUGUUUUGUGAAAUAAACCUUUUUAAAUAUUAUUUGCGUAAUUAUUUUCUCCUUCUUCUUAUUUAUUUAUGUUUUGUGAAAUAAAUCUUUUUAAAUAUUAUUUGGUCAAAUUUACAUUCAAAUUCGAGGCGCAAGUACAAUAAGGUGUAAGAAUUGAUGGGUGUGAUUAUAUCAAUAUUAAUACACUGGAUCCCAUCAAAAUUUUACAGUUAAGCGUGCUUAAAUGUCCUCGUGUUGCACAUCUCUCGUUUUAUUUCUUUUAUUUAUGUUUUGCAAAAUAAUUUUUUUAUAAAAUUAAAAAACCAUGCGGAAUUUUAUUUUUUUUCCCUUUAUAAAAUUAACAUUAUUGGAAAUCUUCUACAUUAACAAUAAAAAAAACAUUUUGUUGCACACUGAAUUUUCUAUAUUCAAUCAAGACAGUAGGAGGAAACAUCAAAGAAAGUCACUAUAACUCAACAAAUUAAUAAAUUAAUAUAUUUGUUUCAUUAAAGUAAAAAAAAGGCCCUUUAAACCUACCACAGUUCACAAUAAAUAAAUAAAAUCAAGUAAAUGCCAAGUCAGCUUUGGACCCACCUAACCCUGUUCUAAGAAAAUACUAAAAAUGUCUCAGUCAAUACAUGCGACGUUCUUUUUCUAAUCUUUCAUAUAAAAAUUAAUUUAAAAAGAAAUAAAAUAUAUUUUAAAAAAUUAAAAUAUCACAUAAAUUCUCCAUAAAUUUAAAAUUUAGUUCAUGUAAUUUUUUUUAAAAUUUAAUUCUUUUAUUUUUUAAACUAAAUUAAAAAAUAAAAAUUAAUAAAUUAAAUUUUAAAGUCUAAACAACUUUUUUCUUUGAUUUUCGACAUUGAUCUUCAAAUUGACUUGGAUUUAAGGUUCAUCAAUGAGUACUAAUCCACCUACUGAUUAUCAAAUCGUUGCUUGAAACUCGCUAGUCAAACUUUUUUCAAAAACUAAACUUAACAGCUUAGUGACUUAAAUAAAAACUUUCUAAUACUUUAGCGACUAUUUUGUAAUUUUUUGAAUUAAAGUGAUCAAAAGGUAAAUUUACUAAUAAUUUAAUAGAUUUUAAAUAGAAACAAAAUUAGAUAUGUAAGUAGAAACAAUUUUAGUGUAAAAAUUAUUAAAAAUAAAAUAAUUUAUAGACUUUUGCAAUAUUUAAAGUAAUAAAACAUCUUAUAAUAUGAAAUAUAAUAUAGAAAUUAUAUGAAUUACAAAAAUAAUAAAAAUUUAUACAAUUCUAAACUACACAUAAUUCUCAAAUUUCUAAGAGUUAUUAUCAUACAAAAAAUUGUAUAAGUAUAACACACAAUAGAAAAUAACAAAAACGCAACUCUCCGGCGGCGCCGCCCUCUAUUUUACGUCAGUUUUCAUUUACCGUAGCCGUGAGCCAGGGGCAAAAGACUGGGUAAAUUAACUAAAAUGCCGUGUUUUUUAAAAAUAUUUAACAGAUUAAGCCAUUUUUUAAAUUUAUCGGAAUAUGUCGAUUUUGGAAAGAAAAUGAGAAAAUGUGUUUAACUAAAUGUGCUUUUAGCUUUGGUUCGAUGAUUAAAUGUUAAUGUUUUUAUAUUUGAAUCCCGAGCUCAAUUUUUCUCCUACUCACAUUUGUAUUUUUUUAUUUCAUUUUACUUCAAACUUUUUUAAAUUUUUAAUUAUAUUUUUUAACAUAUUAGUUUCUUUGUUAGAUGAUUGGAUAAUUAUAAUUACAUCUUUGAGUUUUAGGUUCGACUUUCCUACUUAUAUUUCUAUUUUUUUCAUGUUGCUUCAUUUUUUUAUUUUUAAUUAAUAUUUUUAACAUAUUAACUCCUUUUAUUAGAUAAUUAGAUAAUUGCGAUUACAUCUUAAGUCUCAUAUUCCAUUAUUUUCAUAAACAUAUUAAUGUAUUUUUAUUUCAUGUUAUUUCGAUUUUUUUAUUUUUAAUUAAUACUUUUAAUUAAUAAAUAUUUUAUUUUCAAGUCUUUUUUAUUUGCAUUAAUAUAUUUAUUAAUUAAAAUAUUAAUUAAAAAACACCAUAGAAUAAAAAAUAUAUUAAUAUGCUUAUAAAAAUAAUGGAACCUGGGAUUUAAGAAUGUAAUCGUAAUUAUUUAAUCAUCUAACAAAAUGAGCUAAUAUAUUAAAAAUAUUAAUUAAAAAACUUGAAGCAAUAUGAAAUAAAAAUACAAAUGUGAAUAGAAAAUGAAUCAAACCCGAGAUUUAAGGAUGUAAUUGUAACUAUCUAACCAUCUAACAAAGGAACUAGUAUGUUAAAAAAAAUUUAAAAUUUAAAAAGCUUGAAGCAACAUGAAAUAAAAAAUAAAAAAUAUGUGUAGGAGAAGAAUUGAACUCGAGACUCAAUUAUAAAAAUGCUAACAUUUAAUCAUUUGACCAAAAUUAAAAGCAUGUCUAGCUAGACGCGUUUUCUCAUUCUCUCCAGAAUAGGACUAAUCCGUAAAAUAUUUUUAAAAAACCGGCACUUUUAGUUAAUUUACCCCAAAAGAUUUGCAAUUAUUAAUUUUACCGCGACAAAGAAAAACUGAAAAAAAAAAACACGAAAAUUCAAAUCGAUGAAGCCAUAAGCUUUAAAAGGUUAUUUGCAGAGUUCAGCCUUUUUGAGUGUACGCGUUUUCAAACCCAAAACGAAUAAUUUUUUUUUAAAAAAAGGAGAGGAAAAGUCAUCUGAAUUCUGAAGUCUAAAUUGAUCUUAUCGUGUUGUAUUCAGCGUCUGACUCAGCGGCGUCUUCUCUUUCAACUCAGUGAAACAUUUCUGGGUUCCUUUUUUGGGUUAAGCUUUGAUCAAAAGAAGAAGAAUAAAAAGGAAGACGAUGAUCAUGGACAAGAACUGGAAGUUUAUAAGAUUAAAACAAGGUUUCGGAGUUGGUGUCUUGCUGUUUUUGUUAUGUCAAACUUUGGUUUGUUGGUCAUUGAAUGAAGAAGGUAAGCUUUUUCUUUUUUUUUGUCUUUUUUGAAGUUUUGGAUUUUGUUUGUUUGCUGGGAAAGUGAAGGAAAAUAUAUGAUUGGUAAUGGAUAUUAUGCAGGAUUGGCGUUGUUAAGGUUAAAAGAUAGAGUUGUGAAUGAUCCUUUUUGUUCAUUGUCGAGUUGGAAAGAAGAAGAUGGAGAGUUAGACCAUUGUUCUUGGUUUGGUGUCGAGUGUUCUGAUGGCAAAGUUGUUGUUUUGUAAGUUUUCUCCUUUUCUAUGUCUUACUUUUUCUUGCUCUUUUGAUUUGUGCUGUUUGGCUGCUGAGAAAAGAAAGGAAAAUGAAUUGUAAUCUUGAGUGCUCAGUAUUUAUUUAUUUAUUUAUUUUUCUGGAGAUGUUAGCUUUGGGGAUAUGAUUAUUCAAACAGAAAUAUUUUCUUUACAAUUUUGCAAAUUUGAGACUUCCAUAUUUAGUAUAUUGAAAUUUUGAUAACUUAUUUCCUUUAAUUUGUUCUAAAAUUUGAUGGAAUGAAUAAAAUGCAGGAACUUGAAGGAUCUUUGUCUUGAAGGAACAUUGGCACCUGAACUUGGAUCUCUUGCUCAUAUUAAGUCCAUGUAAGUGACUAUGAUUUGUUUAUCCUUUUGUUCACAUCUAUGUUGCUUCCAUUUUUCCUUUUUUUUUUGAAAUUUUAUGUUGGAAUUCGAUAGAUCUUCUAUGAGAUCUUAAAAUACAUGAAAAUCUUUUCUUUAAAAGAAUAUACUCGUCUCAUCCACGAGUUUAUAGUCAUUCUAAUACCAUCGUUUCCUCUACAGUAUUUUGCGGAACAACUCUUUUACUGGAAUUAUCCCCCAAGGCAUCGGAGGACUUGACGAACUAGAGGUGUUGGACUUGGGAUACAAUAACUUCAGUGAACCGGUUCCGCCCGAACUUGGAAACAAUUUGUCACUGACGAUCCUGUAAGUCGACAGUGUCCAGGGACGAUAACGGAUUGGAUAUCUACAUUUUCUGUAAUAUUCCAAUCCGAAUCUGUUUUCAUUUGGAAGCUUUUUCUUUUCUUUCUCUAUCACCUAGUAUAAUAACUUAAUUUAUGCUUAUGUUUGCAGUUUACUGGACAAUAAUGAGCUCCUCAAUAGUUUAUCUCCUGAGAUUUAUCAACUUCAGAAGCUUUUAGAAACUCAAGUGGAUGAAAACCGACUAUCUAAGGCUGCUAAAUUAUCUUGCAAGCAAAAUAUCAAUACAUGGUAUGCCAUCAUAUUUCCAAUAGAAGCCAUUCUUAUACAAUUCGAUGUUGUUUCGACUCUUUAUUUUGUUUUAAGUAUCGACAUCCAAAUAUUCAUGUUUGACGACAUGGGAUAUAACCCUCCAAAUAUAUUACAAAUACAUGAAAAAGCAAAGAUAUGUACUCACAUCCGAUACUCACUGAAUAACAUAACUUAAGAGUGAUUGCAUCAAUCAACUAAGGUCAUGUCCAGGAUGGACCUUUUUGUGCUGUGAAAGUUAUAUGAAGUUAUAUGUGAAGUGUUGUACAUAUGUUAUUCCAAAAACAAAAUUAAAACAUAAAGAAUAUUUUGUCUGGAUCAAAUAGAUGUAAUUUUAAUGAAAAUUUUCAUCCUUUAGCUUUAUUACUUUGUCUUUUUCUUUAUGAUUGUGUUUAAUCCUUCUUUAUCUUUAUAUUCUCUGUUAGGAACGUUGGCCAAUCUGAAGAUGCAAUGCGAAGGAGACUGCUUCAAGCAAGGCCACCCUCUAUAAACUUCAACAACAUAUCUCUGUCUUCUCGUCCUUCACCUCGAGUUCCUACUCCUGUAUCCGCUGAACCUUCCGGCAAUCCUACAUUCAGAAGAGAUGCUCAGGUUAACCGAUCGUCCUCUCCGACUGCUUCUCUGUCUCCGUCUCCGCCUCCGUCAAUCCCAAAUGCUUUGGCUCCAUCACCUUCAGGAAACAAUCCUAUUAAUUCGGGUUCAGAUCAUCGACCCGCAAUACUGGCUGGAGCCAUAGGGGGUGGUGUAUUCCUUCUAAUAUUAAUAGUCAUUGCCUAUCUCUUUAAAACUUCUAAGGUAUCUGCUGUGAAACCUUGGUCUACCGGGCUAAGCGGACAGCUUCAGAAAGCAUUUGUAACCGGUAAUUCUUCUGUCAUGUUGCUGCCUCAAUUCUUCAUUUUUAUUAUAGACUCGUGAUGUACCUGAAUAAAUUUGGAAUAAAUUGGAAAUAAUCGAGCACAUAUUUGUAUCCAACACAUUGUACCUGAAUUCAUGUUGCAUUUCAGGUGUACCAAAGCUGAAGAGAUCAGAGCUGGAAGCAGCCUGCGAAGAUUUCAGCAAUGUGAUUAGUUCUUCAACAGUUGGCACUGUGUACAAAGGGACACUGUCUAGUGGGAUUGAAAUAUCCGUGGCCUACAUCCCUGUGAAAUUUGCCAAAGAUUGGUCAAGGAAUUUAGAAGCACAGUUCAGAAACAAGGUAUUGUACUGAAAACAUCCAUCUCUGUUACUAGGAUUCGAGUGGAAAGAUCAUAUCUCUAUACUCAUGUCUCUCUCUCUCUCUAUGCCUCGGACAUUGCUGUCUUGCUUUACUUGGAGUGUUCUUAUUGGUUUGUCUAACCAUAUCUAGUUUUAUAAUUUCAGAUUGAAACAUUAUCAAAGGUGAACCAUAAAAAUUUCGUCAACCUAGUUGGAUAUUGUGAGGAAGACGAGCCUUUUACGAGGAUGAUGGUUUUUGAAUAUGCUCCGAAUGGAACACUUUUUGAGCAUUUACACAGUUGAGCACCUAACUCUUGUUUCUCGGAUGUAUUUCUACAUAACAUGGAAUAAGAACAUCAUAAUAUGUUCAGUUUUUCCUAAGUUUUCCUAUGUAUUUGGAAUGAUAUUGCAGUUAAAGAAUCCGAGCACUUGGACUGGACGACCAGGUUAAGAAUUAUGGUGGGCAUCGCUUCCUGCCUAGAGCAUAUGCACCAGCUGAACCCUCCCAUACCGCAUACCAAUUUGUCGUCAGCUGCAGUCAAUCUAACCGAAGACUACGCGGCCAAAGUCUAUGAUCCAUUCUCCUGGAACGAGAUAACUGCAGCUGAGAGUGAAACUGAUAGAAAAUACCAUUCGGAUACACCAUCAUUAUCAAGGCCAGAAAGUAAUGUUUAUAGCUUUGGGGUAUUAUUAUUCGAAAUCUUAACCGGAAGGAUGCCUUACUUGGUGGAUGACAAUGGUUCGCUCUACGACUGGGCAUCGGACUAUUUAAGAAGGGAUCAACCACUCAUGCAGAUGGUUGAUCCAACUCUAAGCUCUUUCGAUGCAGAUCAAGUUGAGAAAAUCGGAGAGGUGAUCAAAUCUUGUGUCCACCCUGAACCUCAACAAAGACCAGAUAUGAGAGAAGUCGGUGCAAGAUUGAGAGAGAUCACUGCAAUUACACCUGAAGGUGCAAUCCCGAAAGUUUCUCCUCUUUGGUGGGCGGAGCUGGAGAUUAUGUCCACAGAAGCAAGCUAGGGGCUGAAGUUGAAGUUAUAAGAAUGAAACUUUGAUGUUUUUAUAUAUCUUAUAUAGGUGAAAAGGCAAAACGAAGGUUGCACGUAUUUAGUUUAGGUGAAUUGAAAAUCUGUUGUAUAUACAUACACACACACACUGAUGCAGUGAUACAUACAUACAUACAUAUAUAUACACUCAAGAAAGAGAGGAAAUCCAGGAAAAUCUUCGUUCUGCAUUUCAGCGUGAAAAUACGCAAAUGGAAAAGAAAAAGCAUAAUUUGCAAGCCUAUUGGUCUCUAUUUGUUCUGAUUUGUUCAUUGUUAGCUUUAAUUUUAUUUUCUAUUUCAAUUUUGAAGCAACUUCUUCAUCUGUUUUACCUUUAUAUGAUUGUUAGCAAAUCAAAUAUAAUUCAAGUAAACAAAUAGUAAUGUUUAUUGUUCAUCACUAGAGGUGUUCAUGGGCCGGGCUGGGCUCAGGUCGGGCUCAACUAAAAAAUUAUGUUCAUUUAUUGGGCUAGGGCCGGGCCAAACCCAAAAAAGGGCGUAAAAUUUUGCCCAAGCUCGACCCGGAUAAAAAUACUAAAACCCGGGUCCGGCUCACCCGUAUUGAUUUUUUAUAUUAUUUUUAAAUAUAUAAUACUUCAAAAAUACUAAAAACAUCAAAAUAAAUAUUUCCCUAACAAAUUGAAAAUAAAUUUUAAAAAAUAUGUAGACUUAAAUAACACUAAGAUAAAUGCAACUUAACAAGCAAAUACCUCUAAAAUAAUAAAAAAAUUAACAAAUGCCUUUAAAAUAAUAAGAAAUAGUAGCAACAUAAUAGUAAAAUGGUAGCAAAAUAGAGAGAAAACAACAAAAAAAUAACAUUAAAAAAUGCAUAUUUUUUUUCCUUUAGUAAAUUCGGGCCGGCCAAGUCGGGCCCGGGCUAAAAAUACCUUACCCGAGGCCUGUCUCAUUUUUAAAAUGGGCCUUAUUUUUUUGUCCAAACCCAUUUUUCGGGCCUAUAUUUUUGUCCAAACCCUCUCACAUUUCGGGCAGGCCUUCGGGCCGGACUACCGACCUCUAUUCAUCACUUGCUGAUAGGAUGGUGUUGGCUACUUGGCUUCCUCUUGUAUAUUGCCUAUAACUUGUUUAUAAGUAAAGUGGGAAAGCUCGAAAGAGAUGACAAGCGGCCUACUAAUCACAUCUAGACACACAUACAAGAGGCACAACUAUGAAUUAUCCAUUGAAACUUUUUGUGUGGUAGGAUGGAAAAUGAAAAUUUUCUUCAGAAUUUAAUCACUUAGAAAGUUAUUUAAUGUUUGAUAUGUCAAAAUAAUUUUACUUUUGUUUUGGACUUUCUCAUGAUAAAAAAUGAGAAAGUAACUUUUCCACAUUCAAUAUUAAUUUGGUUGUUGCUGUUAAAGGAAAUUUGUAACAUUCCAUUCCCGAUCCGAUCAUCGGACCCGAGCUACGAAAUGCUACAACAGCAUCGGAGCAGAUCACAUUCAAUAUAGGCUUUAAAAUUCAAUUAAACAAUACAACAUUUCAUAAUCCAUGCAUAAUAUGAUUUACAAAUUAAACUGAGUCUCAAUAUAGCUUACGAAGGUUCUUAAGUUGACCCAAGAACAAUUAAGGAUCAAUUUGAAACUUUUUCAAAAUUAAUAGAAAUUUUUGCAAAUAUGAGUCACAUGACCGUGUGCCCAGGCUGUGUAACUUAUUGUGCCUGUAUGGAAUUAAUUUUUCAUGCUUCAAUAGUCACACGAUCGUGUCUCAACCAGUGCAUAUUAUACAAUCAUAUGACCUGACCGUGUAACAAUCAGAAACCAUGUUAAUAGAUUCUACUUUCAAUGGUCACACAGUUAUGUCACCAAUCCGUGUGGACACACGGCCAUAUGCAAGACUGUGUGAUGCAUAAACAUGACAUUUUGUACGUGAUUCAAUUCAAUCUUGUAUCACAUCAACUAAUGCACUUAAUCUUAACUCAAACCUACACAAAAACAUCCAAGUGGUACCCAAAAUACAAAAAUUCCAUCCAUUCCUUCAAUUCAUGUCAAUUUAGGCUAAAACUACUUAUAAAUACCAUUUGCCUUUUAACACAUUCAUGUCCAGUCAUACCAUAUUCAUAACAAAAUGCCAUUUUAACCAUUAAGAAUAACAUGAUCAAAACAUGAAAUACACACAUUCAUGCAUAUAGUUUACAUUUAUCCCAACACUAAAAUAUCAUAUAGAGACCAAAGCAACAUGUCUCAAAAUCAACAUACAUACACAACGACACCUAUGUACAUGUCAUAUAUAAUCGAGCUAAUAUGAACCAAAGUCUAUCGAAACUUAAGAUGGAUAGUGUGAACUUUGGUGUGGUCCGAUCCACUCGAUCUUAACUGUCCAUCUACAAGGAUAAGCAACAUAAGCAUAUUAAAUUUAACUUGACUUACCUUAAUAUUAAACAAUAUAAAUAAUUGAAACAUAUGGGACAAAGCAUGUUAUAAACCUUGACAUCCUUAUACAAUUUACACCACAAAUCCCAUGUUUAGUGCAUUACAUAAAUACAUCAUAUCAAAUGCCAUAUGAUUUUAUUCAUACACAAAUAAUCAUACCAUUCAAUACAAGCUCAUCAUACAACCUUGUAAAUAACAUCUUUUUUAUUCAUUACCUUUCUAUUUCGUUAAACGUUUUUGCUCAGAGAACUAUAUUAAAUUAAUCUCGGAUAGACAAGACUUAAAUUGCUCUUACGAGUUGGGGAGAGUUUAGAACACAUGCAGUAUUUCAAUCAUCGAUAAGAUAACCAACUCCAAUACAUGGUACCUCUUAUAUUUAUAUGGCAUGAAAGCCAACACCGGUACAUAGUACCUAUUGUAUGUAUAUGACAUGAAAGUUGACACCGAUACAUAAUACUUGUAUGUAUAUGGCAUGAUAGCCAACACCAGUUCAUAGUACAUGUUGUAUUUAUAUGGCAUGAAAAUCAAUGUCGGUACAUAGUACUUGCUGUAUGUAUAUGGCAUGAUAGCCAACACCAGUACAUAGUACCUAUUAUAUAUAUAUAUAGCCUAAUUGUGUACUAAGUUCUCUCGGGCCACAAAUCUAUUUCCAACCUUCUAAACUAUCAUAACAUUGCCAUAUACAUGGGGUUUUUUACUGAAAUAAAUUAAGAAAAAGAAUUAUAUACCAAAAUAGGUUGUCAGCUGAAUUAUUUAUCAAAAUGGGUUGUUCAUUUCAUUUGCGCUUAUCUGACAGGCGCGACUCUUUUUUUGAUAUUAAAAAAAAUAUAUAUAUUUUUUAAAUAAAAUAUUAUUUUUUAUUUUCAAAUCAGUAUAACCCAUGUAUAGAUACGAAUACAGGUUGCGUCUAUCUCAGAGGCGCGACUAAUUGAGCCUUUCUCAGAGGCGCUAUUAAUUGUGCCUAUCUCAGAGGCACAAAUGGUGGGGCCCACAAGAGUGUCUGUUGCUUAAUUUUACCCCUAUAUAUACCUUAAAAAUUGUCAAUAAAAAUAAAAAAUCAAAUAAAAUUACAAUAUAUAAAAAUUACAUUAAAAAAAUACAAAACACUGGAAACAUUGAUAUUUGUGGGUGUUAAAUAAUUUAUAACUUAAUUUUAAAUUCAUCAGAUACUAAACUAAACACAACAUUGAUAUUUGUGGGUAUUAAAUAUUUUAAUUAAAAUUUUAAAUAAUUUUAAUAAAAGUAUUUGUCAAUAUCUUAAUUCAUACUUAGAAUCAACAGUGCAUUAAAUGGAAUUCGAAGAUUAUAUCCUACUUGUUAUUGUAGAUAUAAAUAUCCAUAUCCCAUAUUUUUUCACACAGUCAAAACUCUACUCCCAUUGUUUAAAAUAUAUCUUAAUUAUGAGUUUUGGGAAACGCUUUUAAUUGAUACUAUUAAUGUAUUAUUAUCAAUUUUUUAUUUUUUUUAAGUUGCUAUUAAGUAUUGGUAUGUUAAUACUUGAUUUAUAUUCUUCAAUAUUUCUACAAUCAUUUUUUAUAAAAAUAAUUUUAAAGUAUAUAAAUUUAUGAAAAAAAUCUGUUAUGAUUAAACUUAGACAAAUUUAUAUCCAAGUUGAUAUAAAAAAUAUGAAAUGAGUCUGCAGUAACAGCAGUAGAUGGCACGCAGGGGGCUGUUUGUACACUGUGCGGAACAGUACCAUUUGCGCCUACCUGUCAGGCACGAUUAGUCGCGCCUAUCUGACAGGUGCGACCCAUUCUAAUAUAUUUUUUACUCGUAUUUUGAUCCGUUGACCGUAUUUUUACAUGCAUAUAAAUUUAAAUAUUUUUAAUAAAAAUAAAAAUAUAUAUAUUUUAUUUAAAAAAAUAAAAAAAAUAUUUUAAUAUAAAAAAAAGAGUUGCGCCUGUCAUAGGCGCGAAUGAAAAAAACAACCCAUUUUGAUAAAUAAUCUAGCUGACAACCUAUUUUGGUAUAUAAAUUUUUUUUAAAUUUUUUCAGUAAAAAACCCCAUAUACAUGUAACAUGAUUCAAUUAACAAUCCAUGAAUCUUCCAUUCUAAAUAACUAUUUAUUUCACUCGUUACUAUUAUCGUACUUAUACUAAUUCAAUCUCUGUAGUCGUAUACAUGUUUUUCAUAUUUCAAAAACAAUCAAAACAUAUUUUAAACCGUGUAAUAUCAUCAUAUACACAUCAUUCAUUUAUACAACAAUUUCACGAUCAUUCAUUACCAUACAUCUAUUCAUAUUUAUCAUAUAUUUCAUAUUUUACGAUUUAAUCCAUUUAAUGCCAAAAACUUUAUAUAUAUAUAACAUUUCCAACUAACAGUAAAAUAAAAUAAUACAAAUAUAUAAAAAAAAUUAAUGAAGUAAGUCUAUAUGAACUUACCUAGAAAACAAUAACUACAAAGUGUCAGAGACUAAUCUACACUCUCUCAUAUUUCUCGAUUAACUUUCAAUUUAUUUAAAUCUCAAUCUAUAACAAUUUAUUGCCAAUUAUCAAUGACAUUUACUUUAUAAUAUCCUAUUCAAGGCAUAUGACAACUUAAUUUUAUUUUACAUAAUUUUCCUAAAAUUUUACAUUUUAUUCAAUUUAAUCCUUAAAAUCAAAAUUAUAAUAAUUUUCACAUUUUAGCAUCAUUUUUACUCCAAUUUCAAUAAAAUCCUUGUAUAGCCCUCUAAAUUCAAUAAUUACAAAAAUUUUAUGUCAAUUUUAAAAUAUUUUCAUUUUAGCCCUAAACUCAAAACUAACAAAUUUCACUUUACAAAUUAACCCUAUUACAUAUCUAAGCUUCAAAUUCUACCAUUAAACAUCAAAAGCUUCAAAAUUCAUCAAUGGAAAACUUUUAAAACUUUAACAAUUUUAUAACUUAAUACCCAAGUUAGCUAAAUUAAGUUGCAACAAUUUCAAAAAUAUAAAAUUACGGAUAAACGGUUCCAAAAUCACUUACAUGCAACAGCCGAACUUCUAAGAAUGAAAACAAUGGCUUCUCUUUUUCUUUGGAUGUUCGAACGAUGAAAAGAAGGUAAAAGGGUUGAAGAUGACCUGACAUGCUUUUCUUUUUAUGUUGUACUUGUAUCUAUUUCAUUAUUAACAUAUUUUAACAUGUAAUUAAUUAGGACAAGCACUAACCGUCCCACUCUUUUAAUUUUAGCUAAAUUGCCACCUAAAUCCUCGAACAAUUAUUAAUUAAGCUUUUAAAUUAACAAAAUUUAAUAAUGAUUAACUUCUAUCCUUUUUAUGAUUUAGUCCUUAUACUUUAAUUAAUCUUGAAUUUAGUAAAAUUUCCUAUUCGAAAUUCAAUUUAUCCAUAUAAUCACUCGAUAAAUAUUUUAAUGAAAACAUUUUCGAACUCAGUUUUUGAAAGUAAGGUCUCGAUAUCUCAUUUUUUGACACCACUAACUUUAGGGUCAGUACACUUGUACGUAACUAAUUAUCCAAUUGUCAAUUUUCACCAAACCAAAAUUCAAUGAAAUAUUUUAAUUAACUCGUAAAUAUUAAUUAAUAAUAUUUACAAACUCGAUCAUCAUAAAAUAAGAUUUCAAAACCACCAUUUCUAGUACCGCUAAAAUUUGAGAUGUUACAAAAUUGAUCAAACAAGUCAUGACAACUAAAUACUGACUUAAAAUUUUUACAAUUUUUUUCAUUUUCUUUAAAUUUUGUUUCUUUAUUCUAUUAUUCUUUUCAUCCUUAAUCUUUUCUUCUUUCUUUUUUUUUGUCAUUCAUUUUUUUCUAUUCUCUUUCUCGUCCUUUUUCCUCAUUUUCUUCCUGUACCCAACUUAGCCGCAAUCGUUAGUGGUUUGCUCUGAUCACUCAACCCUUCCCAAAUCCUAACCUAAACCAAAUUCACAAUACCUUAAACUCACAUAUCUAAUAACCUACAAACAUGUAUAAAAUCAUGAACCCAAAACCUCUUUGCAACCAAUUUUGGGCCCAUCCUAUGAAGCCGGCGGAAAACUAUAAAACAAAAGAAGAAAAAACAAAGUAAAAAAGAGAGGGGUGAUUUAUGUUCACAAAAUCCAGUUAAGAAAAUGGUUUACUGUAAUAGUAUAAGUUAAGAGAGGGGGGUGAUUUAUGUUCAAUCAAUUUGUGAUAUUUAUAAUAAUAAGAUUUUAUCAGAAAAAUAUAAGUUUUUUAUGCAAGACGGAUUUGAAUCAUUCUUGAAUUUUAACCAAACGGUCUUUUCAGAUAUCUUCGUACCCCGAAUUGCACUGAAUGUGAGCUCAAGCAACAUGAACCAAACACAAAAUCAAGAAACGGUUUUAUUACUUUAGUAAGAAAGUAAUUCUAAGAAAAUAAAUUCUCACUACUUUCUGCGGAAUAGCGAAAUAUGAAAACUUGUGUAAAUAACUCUACUAGUGUUAUACAUUUAUAAAGAUAUGAGAGAAUCCUAGUUGAAUAAGAAUUAUACAAAUAAUAUUUAUUUAAUAGAAAAUACUAUCCUAAUCCAACUAGGAGAGAUAUGGGCAACACAUCCAAGUAAAUAUUACUAGAGUUGUCACCCCUUACUUAUCAUAUGAGGGGACUUGGGUCUCUCUUGUAUUGAGUCCACUUUUAUGUGCUUCUUAAACUUUUUACUCAACACUUUAUAAUCAAACCCAAUAUUUAUUUUUCUUUCUCAAAAUAAAUAUUAAUUAUUUAAUUUUUUAAUUAAUUAAAUUAGCUAAAUUUAAUUUUCUAAUUGAAUAGUUUUUUAACUCAAUUUUAAUUUCGUUAAAGUCAUGACAACUUUACUUUAAAAGUAUGUAUAAAAAAUAUAUUUAAUUUUCAUAGUCAAUGGAUUCAUAAUGACGAAUUAAUUUAAUUCUAUUUUCGAAAUCCAAUUAUUUAGUUAUAAUUCAUUAAAUAAUAAUUUGAAAACCUUAAAUUAAUUCUCAAGUCAUUUUUAUACUUAGUGGGAAAACGCAUUCAUUUGUGAAUGUGACUUAUUUCUCUAACUUCGUCAUUCUCAUUCAUUAAUAUUCGUUUGGUUUUAGAUGCAAUUUAUUUUUGGUUUCAACAAGCUAACGGAUGGACCGAUUGGACAUAUAUAAUUAUGACUUAAAUAAUUUAUAAUUAAGUUCUAGCUUUUCACUUAUUUAUUACAAACUUAUUUAGUCACGAAGUCAUUCCACUAUAGUAUUAUGAGUGAGCUCUCCUUAAUUACAUACCAUUAUUAAAGCUACUUUAAUAAGUAUUCGUCUAAUGACCUUGUUAUAAAUGUGUUACCUUCAUAGGAUAUCCUUAAUCUCUUUGAAAUAAAUUUGUUAUCCUAAUAUGAUCUUAUUUUAUCUCAUGAUAACUAUUAUAUCUUUUUUUAUGAAAAGUCAACUACUAUAAAAUAGUAAUCAAGUAUUUUAUCACAAAGACAAACAGCAUGUGGCCACAUUUACUUUUCAUCUAUUAUAUAAUGCCGAUGAAAAGAUAUCAUUUACUUAUUAGUUAGGUUAUGAAUUUCACUAUCAUAAAUGAUACUACAUGCCGCAGAAGCCAUAUACUCAACACACAAGUUUUUGAUUCAUUAUCUAUUUGAACAUAAGUUUUUACUUACAUCAAAGUAUACGAGUUACACAUACAUAGUACAUUAUCCACUCAAGAUUAAGGUCUGACAUAUUAUGAAUGCCACAAGUAAUUAAAGCUAUAAAUUAAUCUAGGAUCUAUUCUAUUUUAGUCUUGUCUGAUGUACUAUCAAUCUAAUUAAUUUUGCUAAUUAUUAAUUAAACAAAGUUCUACUAAUUUUAAAAUAAAAAUAUUACUUAAAUAGAGCUCUAAGUAUAAAAUAUAGAAAAAAAAUUUAUGAUACUUAUAAUCUAUACUACUAUAUAUAUAAAAGGAAGGCAUUAGGCUUUGCUUAUUUGACACCCAACUUACUCUUUUUUAUUUUUACAUUGUUAACAAUAAUGGUUAUUUUUUAAUUUUGGUCUCUCUACUUUUUAUUUAUAUAAAAAUAGUUUAAUUUCAAUUCCUGUCUCUAUACCAUAUUAAAAUUUGAGAUUUAAUCUUUAUAUUUGAAUAUUUUAUAUAAUUUGGUACCUCAACGUUUAUAGUGCUAUUAGUUAAUUUAAAUAUUUUCUUCUAAUUAAAAUGUUUUAAAGAACCACUAACAUUGUUAAGUUUUUUUGUUAAAUUUAAUUCCAUUAUAAUGCCACUUUUUUGUGAAAUGAUUAUUAAGUGAGUACUUUUUAAAAAAAAAAUUUAGAAUGUCAGCACCAACAAAUUUAAGAGAAGCAUUUUAAUGAUGCUAACAAUUGGAAUUGAAUUUUUAAAUUCAAAAAAUAGAGAAACUAAAUUCUUAAAAAUAAAAAGACGAACACUGAAUUUCGAAUAUAUAGAGAGUAUAGAAACUUAGAGCAUAUUGUAACCUUUAAAUUUUAACUAUUUAGUCCAAAAAUAAUUAACCCUACACAAAGCAUGGGUUGAAAACCAUACCGGCUAUAAUUAUAAUUUACCAUUAUUAGUUAAAAAAAUUGACAUAAACAAAGUUGUGUUGAUUUUAUUUUAAAAAAUUCAAAAUGAUAAAUUAAUAUAUUUUAAUUAAAUUCAAUAAUUUAAAUAAAAGUAUUAUUUUAUAUUAAUUAUUAUAAUUAAGAAUAUAAUAUUCUAAAAAAAUUAAUUAAAUAUUAAAUACUAAAUGCAACAAGUUAAUAAUAAUAUUAAAUAUAAAAUAACAAAGUCAAAAAAUGGUGCAUUGAACUUACUGAUUUAUAUGUACAUAUGGAUAAUAAUUUUAUAAAUUAAUGCAAAUAUAUUUUUAUUAUUCUAUUGAUAAAUGAGAUAAUUUCUCGAAAUGCUAAAUCAAAUCAGCCAAUAACAAAGAUAUUAGUGACAAUGAAGUAAAUAAUAAACAGUAAAAGGGUAUUUUAGCAAAAAAUGACUUCCUGAAUAAACCUUUAACAUCAAAAACCCCUGGCACCGCCGCCCGCCUCCUUACUUCACUGUCUUCAAUUGCGAUUUCCCUUUUUUUUUCCGUUUACAAUGUCAGACCCCGAUUCUCUACCCGACGUGACUCCACCUAAAUCGAAACCCGACCCGGAACACCCAAAACCCUUCAACACCGAUGACAUCGACGAAGAAGAAGAAGACGACGACGACGAGAACGACGUCGAAUACGAUGACGAGGACGCAAAAGGCGAGGUAUUUGGAGAGCCGAACCGCCCUAAACCUCACUCUCGAGAGGCUCAGUUCCGUUUGGAAAAACUCAAAAUGGACUCGCUGCUCCAGCGACUGCAAAGCGGUCCGGUUUCGGUCCGAGUCCACGACGUGAUCAUCAAAGGGAACACGAAAACCAAGGACCACGUAAUUGAAGCCGAGACGGAGGUUUUGAACAAUGUUGGCUCGAUGCAAGAGCUCUUAAAAGCGUCACAGAUAGUGAAUUUGCGGCUCCAAGCACUUGAAAUAUUUGAUUCCGUGAAAAUCACGCUCGAUUCCGGCCCGCCGGAACUUCCUGGAACUGCUAACGUGAUUAUCGAGGUUGUUGAGACAGCCAGCCCGCUUUCGGGACAGAUUGGAGCUUACACGAAAGCGGAGGUGAUUUUCUUUUCAAUCUGAUUUUUUGAAGCUUUAUUUUUUUUUUCUUUUCUAAUUUGCUUGUUUUGACUUAUAUAUGUUUUGGUUACUGAGAAAUUUGGGGAAAUUGUUGCAAUGUGGGUUUUUAUAUACAUGAGUUUAGUGUGAGUAGUUGGAAUGUGGAACUAGGUUUGAGUCUGUGAUAACUGAAUUUAUUAAGUGUAAUGUGGUAAUUAAUUAUGUUACUCUGACUCGUGCAUGAGGGUCAGGUAUGAGUAUGUUUCGGGUACAUGUAUUGUUCAAAUUCUCUGAAGUUUUCAUGUCGGACAGGGUAUGUAUUUGGAGGAUCAUAUCUCAUACCCGUCUAGAUACAUGCCGGGCAGAUGGAGGUAGUUAAAGAGAAAUGAAGAGUCGGAACAAUGUAGAUGAUUUGAUUUUGUGGAGAGGAACUCUUUUAUUUAAGCUGACCGUAAAAUAUAAGGAAUAAUGACAAUGCUAAUGAAUGAGAAUAUUGCGAGUUAGUGGAUUUGCUGGAGUUUUUAUCUUUAUUAAAGAUUUAGAUAGAUAAAAGAGUAGAAACGAUGCCCAUUGAGUAAGGCUGCAUAUAUGUAGAUGUCAGAUAAGUGUUUCCAGGGUCAGAAUGAAGGUGCAUUUUGUUCCAUUUGUAUGACAUUUAUGCACAUGCAUCUUAUGCUAUAGAUUUGCUUUCAUAGGCUAUUUAGUUAUGCAUUUGGUCACUACAUGUGACCAACAAAAUGUGAUAUAGAAAAUAAGCUAAUGACAUAUGCGUGAUUGUAAUGUUUGUACUAGUUUUGACUUGGAAAGUUCUGUUUCUCCUACACUUUGAGCACUCAUUUUCUGUGAAUUUAUAAGUAUGAUACCUUGAAUUCUGUUUUAAAGUUGUACAAUGCUGUUGUAGGCUAGAUCUUCCACAGUGGAAGGAUCUCUCAAGUACAAAAACUUCUUUGGUUAUGGGGAUCUUUGGGAUGGUUCAUUGGCAUAUGGCUACGAUCACUCAGCUGAGUUGAGCGCUGGUGUUUUUUUGCCGAAAUUUAAAGGACUGGUAACACCUGUCUCAGCACGAGCAUACUUGCUAUCCCAAGACUGGCUAAAGUUUUCUUCUUACAAAGAGCGAUCGAUGGGCCUUUCUCUUGGAUUAUUUUCUACUCCAUAUCAUGAUUUAGCAUAUAAUCUUGCGUGGCGUACCUUGACAGAUCCAUCACAAAUGUCAUCGAGGUCCAUAAGGAGGCAGCUUGGCCAUAAUUUACUUUCUUCUUUGAAAUAUACCUUUAAAUUUGAUAGGAGAAAUUCAACAAUGCGACCAACUUGGGGUUAUGCUUUUGUUUCUACUACUCAAAUUGGUGGCCUCGCACCUGAUAGUCGAAGCUUACGCUUUCUGCGGCAGGUAUGAAUUAUGCAUGCUUUUUGUUUACAUCCUAAGCAUUCUUGAUUUUGCCUCACAAUCACGCAUUUGAACUUGUUUGUCAGCAUUGCUGUUUGUCAUAUUUUUUUUCUUUUCAUUGAAAUUUAUGACAGGAGUUUGAUCUUCGUUACGUUGUUCCUCUCGGAUUUUAUCAUGCUGCCCUUAAUUUUGGGGUUUCUGGCGGUGUUGUCUUUCCAUGGGGGAAUGGGUUCUCAAGUAGGCCAUCAUCUUUGCCAGAAAGAUUCUUCUUAGGUGGCAACAUAUCUCCAGUUUGUGCUUUAGGAGGGCCGACAGCAUUGUGGGGAUUUAAGACAAGGGGAUUGGGACCGACAGAACCAAAAAGACAGGUUAACAAUGAAAGUGCCGAUCCUUCUGGUGUGGAUUUUCUUGGAGGAGACCUUGCUGUUACUGCUUUGGCAGACCUUUCUUUCGAUCUUCCAUUUAGGUGGUUUAGAGAAAAGGGAAUCCAUGCUCAUGUGUUUGCAUGUGCUGGUAAUGUUGCUAAAUUAACAGAGAAUGAGUAUCGCAAUAUCUCUGUUCAGAAGUUCGUAGAGUCACUCCGAAGUUCAGUAGGUGUUGGACUUGUUGUUCCUACGAGUUUAUUUCGUAUGGAGGUUUGUUCUCACUCUCUCUCUCUAAUUAUUUUCAGUCAAGCAUUGAUAAUUUGUUAGAUCUUAAUUUUCUUUUUUAUAUAAUUUUACUAAUAAUCUAAUUAGGACUUUAUAUUCUCUGAAUAUUCUAUUAUCGAUAAGUUUUGAUAAUUAAGCCGGGGCUGGGGGUUUUGAACUUAGAAUAGGACCUCCUUAUUCAGGAGAACAUCAAGUCAAAUAAAGGUUUUGACACUAUGAAAUGAUAACAUAGUUGUAGAUAAUUUGACUGUUCACAUAGGUCCCAUUACGCCAUUCAUUUCAAUCGGUGCCAUUUUUGUCAGAGAAAUUUUUUGCUGAAUGUAAUUAAGAUAGGUUAUUAAGAUCCGUUUCUGGCCGAAUUUCCAUGCUGCAUAUAGAUACUAUACAAAGGAUUGAUAAUAGAGUUGAUAGCUCAAUGCCAUUUUUCUCUAUUUUUGCCAUCGACUGUUUUGUGUGUGUUGACUUUCUUAAUGAGAAAAAAGAUAUGGUAUGAUCGAGUCAAUUUGCUCGAGUUCUGUACAAGACUAAUGACAGUUACUUUUGGCACCCCGGUUUCCAUUGUGUUGUUUAGUGUUUUACAUGAGUCAAGGAGCUGCAAUUUUUAUAGCUAACGUAAUUUCUCCUCCCAUCUGGUCCAGCUUAACUACUGCUAUAUACUGAAGAAGUUGGAUCAUGAUCGGGCCAAAACCGGUGUUUGGCUUACUUUCUCUGCAGCAUCAUAGAAGUUUUGGACUUUAUAUUGGUGUCUGGCACAAGUGAAAACCGGUGUUUGGCAUGCUUCCCCAGUUGCAUCAUAGCAUUCCGGAUCUUAUAUUGGGUGUCCAGCAGAAUUUUGGAAUCUAAUCGAUGUCGAAUUGAGAUUUUCAUUGUUAUUUUCUUUUUACCUGGAAAAUAGGCCACAUUCAUCACAAAUUGUAUUUCAUAUUCCAGUUGCUACAAUCUUGGUGAAGAAGCAACUUUUUAAGCCAAAUUUCUCUGUAACCCAUACAAGAUAAGCUAUGGGUUGAUCUCAAACGUGAAUCAUUAUUUUGUAAUUUCGGUCGGAUAUUUACUGCCAUUAAUCUUAAUAAUUCUUAUUAAAAUUAAAAAAAGGCAUAAUAUCAAAAUUAGUUUUUUUAAAGUUUAAUAUUUUGUCAACUUGAUAUUUAUUAUAAAAUAUUAGAAAUAUGGAUAUUAUUUUUAUUUUAAUAGGAUAAAUUUGUAAAUUAUCAUUAUAUUCUCAAGAAAAUAUUUAGUGUACUAAAUAAAAUAAUAUAAUUUUUCAAAGAUUUUAAUCAAUACUUUUCUACGUAUAUAAGUUAAAAUUUUUAUUAAUCACAUUUUCAAUAAUCAUUUUAAGGAAUCGUUGAAAUUAUAAUAUGAGAAAGCGCUGAAAACCUGGUUGUUGCUAAGAAUAGGGGACAUCUAAGAACUAGCUUACACCCUAUACAACUUCCAACACAACUUACGACCUUCAACGAGUUAUGACAUGCCUGUCAUGCAAUUCAUAAAAAUAGGGUAGCUUCUUGAUUAAAUUUCAUUUUUUUAAAACUCUAUGGAAAUAAAUAAAAAUAAAAAAUAAACUAUUUUGUUAGACACUUACAAUUGAGUCAUUUCUAUUUUAUUCAUUUAAUAUUAAUUUGACUAUUUUUGUUAAAGAAAAUUGAUUAAAUUAGUCACUUCACAUUAAAAGGUACGGAAUAUUGACUUAAAAUUUUACUUUUUUUUCAUUUUCAUUUUCUUUAAAUUUUGUUUCUUUAUUAUGUUGUUAUUUUCAUUCUUCCUUAAUCUUUUUUCUUUUCAUUCUCUCUCUUACUCUUUUCCUCGUCUUCUUCCUUACCCAACAUAAGUUAUUCCGACCACUCAACCCUUCUCAAAUCCUAACCUAAACCAAAUCUAGAAUACCCUAAAUUUAAAUAUCUAGCAACCCACAAACCUGCAUAAAACCAUGAACCCAGAACCCCUUUGCAACCAAUUUUUGGCCCAACUUGUGAAACCGAUGGAAAAUCAUAAAACCUAAGAAGAAAAAGCAAAAUAAAAAGAGAGGGAAUAAUUUAUGUUAGAAAAAUUCAGUUAAAAAACGGUUUACUGUAAUAGUAGAAGUUUUAAAAAAAAUUUAAACUAAGCUAUUUUAUGAUAUUUAUUGCAAUAAACUUUUACUAAAAAGGACAUAUGCUUGAUUUGAAUUGUUCUCGGCUUUCAACCGAAUAGUCUUCUUAAUUAUCCUUGUAUCUCAAAUUGUGUCACGUGUAGUCUCGAGCAACACGAACCAAACACAAAACAAGAAACGAUUUUAUUACUUUAGUAGGAAAGUAAUUAUGUCAACAGAAAUAGGUAGAAAAUCAUAAUUACUUCAAAAUAAAUUUUUAUUACUUUUUGCAGAGAGAGAGAUGGGAGAAUGCUAAUUGAAUAAGAAUUACACAAAUAAUAUUUAUUAGUAAAUAUUAAUUAGGGUUGUUGCCCCUUACUUAUCAUACGAGGCACAUUGGGGUCUCUCAUAUAUUGGAUACAAUUAUAUGUGAUUCUUAGACUUUUAACCCAACACUUUAUAAUUUAAUUAAAUUCAAUAUUUGUUUUCAACUUCCCAAAAUAAAUAUUAAUUAAUUAAUUAAUCUAAUUAACUAAACUGAUUUCUCAAUUAAAUAAUUUUGUCAACUCAAUUCUAUUUAUGUUAAAGUCAUAAAAGAAUCUAUUAAAAAAUAUUUUUAAUUUACAUAUUCAACGGAUUCAUAUGUGGCGUUAAAAUAAAUUGACGGACCAAUCAGACGGUGACAUGUGGCAGCUUCUAGUUUAAUCUAAUAUUUUUCAAUAAAAAAAUUAAAAGAUCAGAAAAAUUAUAAAAGUAAAAAAAAUUUAUCAAAAGAAUAUAUAAAUGAUUAAAUAUUAAAAACUAUGAAAAUUGAAAUAAAUAUUAUAAAUAUAUAAAAAAUCUAAUAAAUUAUAAAAUUAAUAAAACAUAUUUAAAAUUUUAUAAAAACAUAUUAAAAUUCUAUAAAAAUCAUAAAAAGUAUUAAAAUCUAUAUUUUAACUCAUAAAAAUUAUAAAAACUUGAAUUGGACCGGCUCGUUCAAUUAGACUGAUAAGAUCGAAAUCAAUAAAGAUAUCAAUCUAGAGAAAGUCAUUAGAUUGGUUGACUUAGGAACCAAAUUAUUGAACUGAUUUAAAAAAAAUGUUUAUUUUAUUGUUUAAUAUUUUAUUUAAUUGAAUUGGACAAACCUGACAAAUUGACAAAUCGGUGGCCUGAUCAGUUCGACCACCGCUUUGAUUUUGAAAACCUUAGUUAUAAUAUUUCAUUCUGACAUAAACUAAUAGUUGGAAAAUGGAAUUUUGGUUUGAUAAAAAUAUUAAAAAGCACAAAAUUAGUUCGACUGCCAGUAAUUAGGUCAACUGGUCUAAUGGCUUUACUUGAACCGGUGCAUUCGUCAAUUUUUUAUAAGUUUAAUAAGUUUAUAUCAAUUUUAAUAUUUUCUGAUUUUUAUAUAUUUUUAAUGAUUUUUAAUAUUUUUUAUGAAAAAAUAUUAGAUUAAACCAAAAGCUACCAUGUGUCACUACUUUAUUGGUCUUAAUUUCAAACUAUUUUAACGGUCAAUGUGAUUAAUGACAGAAAUCAUUAAUGAAUGGGCCUAAUUAGGUGCAAAUUUAAUACAGAGGCUUAAUUAAUUUUUUUCUUUUUAUAUUUUUUUAACAGUUUAUAGAGAGAGAGAGCAAGUCUCUCUAGAUAAUUAUCUUUGGGAGAUCUUCAUAUCCACUCUUCUCAUGCUAAUUUUAUGUGGUUAUUUUAAGUCUUCAAUUGAUAAAUAAAGUUAAUUUCUUACAAUUAAAUUAGAUUGUUUAUCUAUUUAAAUUUUUAUUUUUAUUUCAUCAGUCUCUAUGUUUAUUUUUAAGAAUUUACAUGUUGCUUAUUGACACAAAAUACUGAUUUAUUUAAAAUAAUGUUUUCGCCUUUUUAUGGGUCUUCAAACUAAUUGAUGUUAUUGAAGAUAAUCAAAAUUUUUGAAAUGCAUAAAGUCAUAAUAAUAAACUCACCUUUAAUUAUUUAAGUAAUCUUUCUAUUAUUCAAUUUUUUGUAUGGGAGUACCAUUAUUUUAGUUCUAUUCAAGGCACUUAGCUAAAUAGUUAAUAUUGUUGUUGAAGUUCUUUACAAAAUACGAUUGUCACGUCUUAAAAUAUAAGGGGUUAAUUGGAAUAAUUAGUUAAAAAAUAAAUUAAGUUUGAUAGUUAAGUAGUUAGUGCACUCCUUAAAGGUUUUAGGUUCAAGCUACACCUCUUUCAUUUCUAUUUUUUUUUUAUUUUCAACAAAUUAGGAUAAAAACCACACUAAAAUAUAUAUUGUCUGCUGUAAAAACUAAACAAGAAAUAGGUCUAAUGGUUAACAUUCUUGUCCCCUUGCAUACUCGAGUUUGAGCCGUCCAAAACCUCCUCCAUUUUUUUUUUAUUUUCGGCAACAAUGGUAAAUUACCAUGCAACCCCCUAGGGUUCCCAAAUCCAAGGUAUUUAGUCCCUCUGUUCCUAAUCCCACUUGGACUAUGCUUUCUUUUCAACCACAAUUAGAAUUCUGCUCUCUUUUCUCUCUAUUUCUUCUCAUUUUCUUUUCUAUCAUCUUAUUUGCAUCUUAUUUUACAUAUUUUGUUGUUGAAUAUUUUGCUUUCCCCAAAUAAAUCAAUCGUUAAUUUUCCUACUGGUUUCGUAAUUUUCAUCAAUAACAUCUUUAUUAUUUGCCAAAGAACCAGUAAGGACAUCCCAAUCCCAAUGAUUAAUCUCAAAUUUUUAUUGAACUUCUAUCCCAUGCUAAUAUUUUGAUCAAUUAAAUGAUCUUUUAUGGAUCUUGUCGAAAUUUUCCAUUAAUCUUGAUGAAUCUUGAUUCCCAAUGUUAACUUGUGUAUAAAUGUAAUUUGAAAGAGCUGUUUUAGGUGCGUCGGACCAAAAUCAAGUGUAAGGAACGACAAUUAGACUCUCGGUAAAAGGUGUGUGUUCUAUCCCAAGUGAAUCGGUGGUGAUCAUGUGUAGGAAUAAGGUCACACGGUCUCUCAGGCGUGUGGACCACACGGCCAUAUGCUUUGGAAAUCCUAGUCUAGUUCAAAUCUCACACGGCCCAGAACCUUUCACAUGGCCAUUUCCCUCAAAUAUGUUAAUUUUGUAAUUGCCACACGACCACAGUCUGUUACAUGGCCUAGCCACAUAGUUGUGUAACCCUCCCACACUGUAUAUAGCACAUCAUACUACCUGGCCACAUGACUGUGUGACCCCUAUUUUAUAGUUUUACCCAAAAUUUUGAGAAUUAUUCAGAUUAGUCCCUACAUAAUCCCCAAACUAUUUUUAGGAAUUUUAUUCACUCGAUUGAGCCCCUGAUUUUAUGAAUAUGCUAGAUUCUGUGAUUUGAUGACUGAAUUUCUAUUGUUUAAUGAUGAUAUAUGAAUAUUUCAUGUCUAUUGUCACUAUCUUUCUGAUGAACUGAUACUAUUACUCUUACCACUAUAUUACUAUUUGCAUGCCUAUUAUCACUGUUGAACUGAUCACAUGUCAAAUAUGCCUACUAAUACUAUUGAAUUGAAUACAUGUUAAGCAUGUCUAUUGUUUCUGCACUGUACUCUUACUAGCAUGUCAUACUGCAUUACAUGGGGUGGGAUGCUUUGAAAGGAGGAAGUACUAAUAAUUUAUCUGCAAACAUUGGUGGUUUAUCCACAAAUUUACUGGCAGCUUUUAUCUACAACUAUGUUGUGUAUUCACAACCCACUAGCAGCGUAUUAACCUGCAAACACUGGUGGUUUAUCCAUAAAUUUACUGACAGUUUUUAUAUGCAAAUACAUUGUGCAUCCACAACCUACUGGCAACGUAUUAGCCUGCAAACACUAGUGGUUUAUCCACAAUCUGGAGUGUCCGGGUUAAAAGAGUUCUGGGAACUUUUAAUGUGAAGUGUAGCAGUGGAGUAUGACCUUUCUUUGUGGUUAAACUGAAAUUGCAUUGCAUUGACACUCAUAAACAUACUUGAAUGAAUUGCUAAUUUCUACUAUACUAUACGAAUUAUACUAUACUGAAAAUUGUUAAUACGUAAGCUUGGUUUAUUACAAUGCACUAGUUUUCUUGUAUGGAACUCACAUUAAGCUUCAUAGCUCACUUCCAUUUAUUUCCUUAUUUACAAAUAACCCAACAGGUUAGGAUGCGGACAUGACAUCCAGAGGGUAUCGACUCGAAUUUGAUUUUAAUAUCAUAUUUUAGAUUUUUUAUUUGACAUUUUUUAUUAAUCAGAGAUUGUAUCGUUUUAUUAUUAAACUAUGACAUGAGACUUAAGAUUUAUGUUUUUUAUUUUAUAACAUACAUGAUAUUUAAUUUGAUUUUAGGAUGUUGAGAUAUAGAUUUUAAUUAUCUAUGCAGGAAAUAUGAUUUUUAUUGUUAUUUAAAACUAGGCUAGAUAUCAUUUUUUCCACUAUUAGAUUAUAGCUAAAUUCUGAAUAUUAAAUAAAUGGGAAAUUUACCAUGUUUUCAAAAGUAGUCACCAUUUUCAAGGAAAAGCUAAACUUAAUCGUUUUUUUAUCUCACGAAUUUUUCUAAAAAUAGACUAAGUUUUCCUCUAAGAUAAACAAAUUUUUUAAAAUGACUAUUUUAUAAACUCCAAUAGCUUACUGGGUCAUUUCGGUGACCAAUGUAACCUUCUGAAUUUGGGCCUAACGUCUAGGCCGGGUGAGGAGGUUACAACAAUUUCAUCUGUAAAAUUACCAACUUAAAUUAUAAACAACUAUAUAUAAAAUUAUUGUGUUACUCCUUUCGUUCUAGUAAUUUUUGAUUUGAUAAUAUUUUAACUUUAUUGUUGAUGGUCUUUUUGGCCUACCAGUCCCUCAUUUUAAAUUCAUAUAAUCAUAUAAAUAUUUAAUUUUAAUAAAGAAUGAAGUUUUUUUAAGUAAUAAAAAAGGGUAGUUGUUGAUAAAGUUAUGGUAUGUGAAUAAUAUUUUAGAGUUUUUAGAAAUAAAAUUUAAAUUUAAUAUUUAAAAAUACUGUAUCCCUUUCCCCAUUUUGGAGUUUCUCCACCAAAACUUACUAAUUAUUUUUUCAAGCUCAUGACAUAAAGUUACAGGUAACAAAUGUAACACCCCUACCCAUAUCCAUUGCCAGAAUAGGUACGAGGCAUUACCGGAGUUUACUGAACAUUUUUAGAUAAUUCUGAGUCAUUUAUUAUUCAUAUUUUGAAAAUAAUCAUAAUGUCUCUUUAUUGGCCCUUGAAGCCCCAAACAUACAUUAAAAAUCAACCGGAAUUAAAUCGGGAUCAUAAAAAAUUUCGCAAAAUCUUAAAUUUUAUUUUCAUCUAAGUACUUACCAUUUCAAUGCUUCUUAUAAUUAAACAUGUUACCAUUCAAUAAAUAGCUUGACCUUUGUCUAAGCGUCAAGCCAUAUCAUUGUUAGUAUACUUGCACAUAUUUCAUAUAAAUUCAACAUUGAUAUACUUAUUUUCUCGACAUGUCACACUUGAGUUUAAUAAUUGUCUUUACUUACAUAAUUUCCUUGUAUCAACAUAUCAAAGAUAAUCAUAUAUAUACAUGUCAUGAAACAUAUCAUUCUCUUACCAUUUCUUCAUAAGCAUAUAUCAUUCAUUUCAUUAUAUCAAUAUUUCAUGCUCCAUCAUUUCCAUAUAUUUUAUGUAUAUUUAUUCCGGUAAUAGCUUAUAUCAAACUUAACAUAAAUUAUAUUCCAUGUACUUAUACUUUUUUCGUUUAUCUAUCUUCAUAAUUAUUUCAUAUAACCAUUCGUCAUCUGAUACAUAUUACCUGAAUAUCAAUUGUUCAACAGAUGUUCAUAGCGUCUCCCAUCCACGGUCUUAUUUAUCUUUGACAUGAUGCCAUAGUGUCUUUCAACUAUGGUCUUACUCAUUUUCUGUCAUGUUGCCAUGGUGUCUUUCAACCAUGGUCUUACACAUUUCAUAUCAGGUUGCCAUGGUAUCUUUCAACCAUGGUCUUACACAUUUCAUAUCAGGUUGCCAUGGUGUCUUUCAACCAUGGUCUUACACAUUUCAUAUCAGGCUGCCAUAGUAUCUUUCAACCAUGGUCUUACACAUUUCAUUUCAGAGAGCACACUCCCGCGAACCUCAUCUUUACAGUGAGAUUACCAGUCCAGGCUAAAUCCCCUGUAAUAUAAACUCAUAGAGUAUUGUUGGGAUUACCAGUCCAGGCUAAAUCCCCUUUUCUUAUUGACUUUAAUCUUUAACUUGAUUUUUCUCUCUCCUCCAGCUUCUAUUUCUUGAAUCCAACUUGAUAUUCUUGCUCCCCAUCAUCUUCUUGCUAUCUUUCUCUCUUGAUGGCUAUGGAAAUUCUUUCAAUUUUUAGGUGAAAAUAAUGAAUUUUUGGAGGAAAGACUAAAUUGUAAGAAAAGGAAAACUUUUUUUCUUCUUCUUCUUCUCACGUUAGUUGCAUGAGAAUGGUGAUCAUCUUCCCAUUUCUUUCCUUACAUAUAUAUAUUAAAUAAAAUAAUAAUAAAAUAAUAAAAUAUCAUUUAAAAAUCAAUUUAAAGUAUUAAUAAACUAAUAUUUAUUUAUUUAAUUUAUCUAAAAUAUCUCCAACAUCAUCAUUGUCUCUAGAUUUCUCUUUUCCAAUUGACCAUUUUGCCCUUUGUGAUCUUUUAAAAUUCCAAUCUUGAGUCAUCACUUAAUUUGGUAAAAUUGUAAUUUAGUCCCUCAUAAUUCUUCACCUAUUCAAUUUGGUCCUAAUUCAUCAAUUUUCCUUGGUUUCUAGAUCAUUCCACCCUUAAAAUAUUUGCACUAUUAGUCCUUCAACUUUUCAUAUUUACACUUUAAUCCUUCAAAUUUUGAGUAUUUACUCUUGGGCCACAUAACUUUUCUCACUUUUACAAUUUAAUCCUUUCUUGAAUCAAUAUGUCAUAAUAUAUUCCCAAUAUUUACAUAACUCAAAAUUUCCCUUUUUGUCACUUUAUUUCCUUAUUUUACUAUAUCACGGAUAAUAUUUUACUAUAAAAAUUUUCGGGGUAUUACAACAAAAAACAUUGCAUAGAAUAAACUAGUAUGGCUUGUAAAACCGACUUAAUGAAAACUUCUUCCUUUAAGUAAUAAGUACCGAAUAUUCCAAUUUUCUAAUUUUUUUUUUGCGGAUUUGUCUUUGAAACUGACGAAAGUUUCUUCUUAUUUUUUUUCAUCUUCCAAUCAUAGUUGGGAGACCUAAAUAUUUUUUUUUAGAUCACUCGAACUUCAUACUUCAAGGGUCGCUCCAAUCUGAUCUUUAAUUCCAUUCUGCACGUUGCUACUGAAAUAAACAAGGGAUUUAUCAAAAUUAAGUAGUUGGCCCGAAAUCCCUUCGUAUUCUUUUAUAAUCGUUUUAAUAGCGUUGACUCCUUCCAAACUUGCUUCCUCAAAUAGGAUAUUGUCAGUUGCAAAAAAUAGGUGAGUUAGGGUUAAACCACUUCUUCCCACCCUUACCCCUUUAAUAAUUCCAUUAUUUUUUGCUAGUUUCAGUAGUGAGGAGAACCUUUCUACACACAAUAAGAACAAAUAUGGACUGAGUGGAUCCCCCCGUCUUAAUCCGCUUAAACGUCUGAAUUUUUCUCCUAUUGUCCUAUUAAGAAUAAUUGAAUAUUCCACUAUUCGAACAUAGCUCAUUACUAGACUCAACUAUUCUUCGCAGAAACCCAUUUGUCUCAUAACUUUUUUUAUGAAAGUCCACUCCACCCUGUCAUAUAUUUUACUCAUGUCCAACUUUAAUACAAAGUGACCCCGUGACCCUACUUUCUUAUGCUUUAAAAUCUAAAGUAUCUCGUAGGUAAUAAGGACAUUAUCCGUAAUUUGCCUUCCAGGAACAAAAGUUGCUUGUGCUUCGUCAAUACAAUUGGAGAAGACAUUCUUCCAACAUGGCAUCGAAUAGGAAAGUCCAACGAUUACUUAACGAGUUCAUGGAUCUCCUCUCCGAAUAUGCAAGUAUCGAAAACAACUUAGACCAUAGAAACCCAUUUCCACUAACCGUAUCUCAACCAGAAAUUGACCUGAUAGACUGCAACCCAUCUGCAACCUGCCAAAUGGAUAUCGUUGAGCCAACAAUAGAUAAGAAGGAAAACCCAUCCCCCGGUAUAAUAGAUCAAAUGGAUUCUAUUCUAUCGAAUCAAGCAAACUCCGGUACCAAAUCAUCCGAUCAAGUAAAUCAAGCUCCAACAAAUGAAGAUCCUACUGGCUCAUAAUGCAAAUACUAACUAAUGGUGUUAAAAACUUAGAAUAGGGGAUUGUACUGGUAUAUAUAUCCCUUUACUUGACUGUUUAAUGCUUGAAACUGAACCAUCAGAUGUAUCUUUUUUUCUCUUUGAUCUUCCUUGUGCAUCCAACUGUAGAAUUUAACUUAUUAGUGUUAAGAGUUGAGUUUUCUUUUUCUUUUUUCAUGUUAUUGAUAAAAUUUCAUCUUCUUUGAGCUUCGUACAAACAUCCUCCUUGUUCCCUUCCCAAAAAUUUUUAUUCGACAUUCACAUUUUUCUUCUAGCACCUAACUUGUGUUAAACCUGAAGCUUCCAUUCUCAUGAGCUCUAUUGCAUUCUACCCCAAAAUUUAUCAAUAUCGGGCAAUGAUCAGAUGUAGCAUGCGUUAGAUAUCUUAAAGAAUACUUCGGGAAGGCCUCCCACCAUACUUGAUUAGCCACCCUCUAUCUAAUCUUUCACGAACAUUAUUUGCUGGCAAUCUACCUUUCCCAUGUAAACCACAUCCCCGUAAACCCUAAAUAUUAAGGUUACAUUUUUCCAAAACCUCACAAAAUCAGGCCAUGUUUCUCUCACUCCUUAGUCUACCACUCUUUUUCUCAAAUGAAUACAUGAUUUCAUUAAAAUCUCCCACGACCAUCCAUGGCAUAUCUCGACUAUUCUCUAACCUUCGUAGAAGGUUCCAAGAUUCACUUCCAUUAUGUUCCUCUAAAGCACCAAAAAAACAUGUCAAUCUCUAUGUUAGCGCUCUGCAUUUUACCAUGACAACCACAUCAAUAUGAUUGGCUGAAUAACUUCGCAACUGUACCUCAUCUUCUUUUUUCCACCAAAUUGACAAUCCACCUUUGGAACCUUGCACACCUACGUCUAUUCCAUUAGUAAAUCCACAUCUCCCUUGAACUUUUUCCAUUAUUUUGUCACUUAACUUUGUUUCUAAUAGAAACAAAAUUUGGGGCUAUACGCGUCUUACCUUAUUUUGAAGGUGAUUAACUGCUCAUGGAUGCCAAUCCACGAACGUUCCAACUUAGAAUUUUUAUUACGCCCGGUCAGCACGCUGAUUAGAUGUUGCCAGUCUCUUUUUAAAUUGAAUCAAAGCACUUGAGUCAUUCUCCUCACACAAAUGGUCAUUCCUUAUUCUUUAUCGUAUUUUUCCUUCACCAUAUUUGACUGGAGUAUCUUCUAUUAUGGCCUCCCUUUGUCCCAUAGACUAUUCUCAUUGAGAAAAAUCUUCACCAUCUAUUCUUCUUCUUCCUUGUCCAUAUAAUUCCAUUCCAACAGAGCUAUUACCCUUCUUGAUUCCGCUUGGCAAUUCCUUCAUUAACCAUAUACUUCCGGCAAGCAGCUCAUUUCUAAAUGGUGCUCUUAGUGAGAGGUUCCAACCAAAUAUAACCUUUUGAAUUUCGAUGGUCUUUUGUACCGAGCAAAACCCCUUCCCAUGACCAAAUUUUCCACAAAGAAAGCAAAAUAAUGAGAGUCUUUCAUAUUGGAAAUACAUGUAGCCCUCUUGUCAUUUUGUCAGCGUCGGCUUUUUCUUUCUCUUUAAAGCUAGCCUUACAUCAAUUUUCACCCUAAAUCUCAUAUAUCUUUGUUCUCCUCGUGAAAUCAAAGCAACAUCAUAUUGUAUAAAUUGUCUAACAAACCCCUCCCCCCUAAAUUUCCUUGCUAAGCCUUCCAAUAUUACUCCAUAUGGUAGAUUGUGAACUCGGAUCCAAAAAUAAGAAUAAAACAAUAGGAUCUGCUUUAGAUCUUCUCCGAUACUCAAUCGGUGGAAAAUUAACAGAUGCCUGUUAAAAGUCCACGACAUUCCAUCCAAUACUCUUUUUAUAUCCACUUCAUAGAAGAAUCGAAAUAAGUAUUGUUUUCCCCCUAAAUAUAUGAUUAUAACUCUUCCUAACGGAUGCCAUAAGUCCGCCAUAGUUCUCUUAGGAGACGAAAAGUGAAUUACGCAAUCUGUAAGAGUUCUCCCCACUAAACAAAACCGAAGAUCUUCAUCAUCAUUAUUCAGCUCUCUUUCACAGGGAAUCGACUCUUCUUCUUCAUCCUCCAAAUUCAUAUUAGUGAUGUCCGCCUCCAUCCGUGGCAAGCUUUUUUGUAGGUAAACAUCCACUCUCUACAAAUCCCAACUAACACUAACGUGCGCCAAUUUGAUGUUGUGAAAAUGAAAAAACAAAGAAAAUGGCAUGCUAUAAAACCCUAGCAAACAAAAGAACUAGAAAUCUAAACCCCCUUUCUAUUAAAUAUUGUUUUAUACUUUGUCAAUUUUUUUAAUUUCAUUACAAUAAUUUGAUUUGAUAUAUAUUUUUUAAUGAAUUUUACUUAUAUGAUAAUAUUGAAAUUGAACAAAAUAAUUUAAAAUGGUUUAAAAAUACUUUUAUUAUUAAAAUUGUAUAAAAUUUAAAUUUGAUUUAUAAAUGUUUUACAAUUGUUUUAAAGAUAAAAUCUAUUUAACUUAUUUUUUUCUAAAAAAAAAUUAAAAAAUCAUAAUUCUAGAAUUUUUUUUAAUAAGAUAAUUUAGCAUUGUCAAUAUUUUUAAUAUUAUUAAUUAAAAAUAUGUUUACUAUUUUGCAUCAAAUAAAUUAAAUUAGAAAUGUGUCUAAAUUAGAUUUUUUAUAAAUUAUAAAAAUUUUUAAAGAUAUAUUUAUUAUUAAUCAUAAUUAAAUUGGUCUUUUCAACAAAGUGUAAAUGGUAAUAUAUAUCAUUUAAAUAAUUAUAAAAGAUAUAGAAAAAAUAGAAAAUAAUUUAAAUUUAUUUAUAAUAUUAAUCAUAAAAUUAAAAUUAUAAAAAAAAUUAAUAUAUUAUAAUGGAUGCAUACAAUAAAAGUAUUUUAAUAUUUUUAGGUAAUGAAAUAGACUUGCAAGUCAAGCUUGGAUAAUGGAUAAUGAAUAUUCCAUAUUUUUUUGUGAACUGGAAUAUGUACAUAUGAUAUUCAAUCGUAUAUUGUAUAAUUAUUAACAUACGAUUCAUAACUGAUUUAAAUACUAAUAUUUAUUUAUAUUCGUUAUUUGAAUCUGUUUUAGAUUGGGACAAAGGAGCUUUGGACCCCUUGUUAAAUGGUUGAAUUUCACUUUUAAUCCAUUUUAAACUUUAACAAUUUAAUUUAAUCCUUUUUAAGCCUUGACGAGUGAACACAAGUGGAAAUGAUGAUCCAGUCUCUCCUCCGCUUCAAUCAUGUCUAUAAUUGCUGGGGUGCCUUGACACAUGAGAGAAGGUAUAUACAAGCAAUGACUACUAGGGUAGAACUUAUUAAAGUAAGCCGACCUAGGGGGGCUAAUUAAAACAUUUUAAAAAAUUUAAGCGAAAAACCAAAAUUUCCCAAAACUUUUGGGGGCCUUAAUCUAGUUUUGUUAUGUAUUUCGACUAGCUUGCAAUUAUUCAAGCAUUAACAAAAGGCAGUAAUCCCUAAAAUAUUAGUAUUGUUGAAAUUACUGAUUAAAGUCCAUUCACCUCCCAGUAAAAUUAAUGAAGCCAUUUAUGUACACAAGAUCAUAUCCAUGUAGACAAAGAUUAUAUUCAUAUUCAGGGACGAAUAAAUUAUAACUUUUACGAUAAUAAAAAUAUAAUUUUAUCAUUUAAAUAGUCUAUAUUUUUAUAAUUUUUAAAUAAUUAAAUUAAUUUUUUUAUUAUUUUUAAGAAGGCUAAGGCAUAAUUUUACCUUUUUACAAUCAACCUAAAAGACAUUACCAUGUCAGUGGUCUCAACAACUUCAACAUCAUGUACAUAACCAAAUAUUUAAUAUUAGUUAGGGUUUAAAAACAACAGUGACUCACUUUUUUUCUGUCCCUUAGGAAGAGAUUAAUCCGACUUUUCACAAAACUUGAAAACCAAAAAUUGGCCCUUCAUUCCAUGAACGGUUUCUUUAAAUUAUCCUUUAAUUUUUCUAAUUACUUUUACACUUUUUUUUUCAAUUAAAACUUUAUGUCCACUUCCAAUCUAAUCCUUUACAGUCCCUUCUUUCCAUUGGCUGUUUUUCAGUAUCCUUGGACGAAAAAAUCUCAACAAAGUCAUGUGAAUAUAAGACCGUUAGAUUCAAUUAAAAUUAUUUAGUAGGUUUUUUUUUUAAUAAAUAAAAGAGAUUUUGAGUUAAUAAUAAGAGAUAAAGUUAUACAUAUCGAGAUUUAAUUGUGAGAUAUAAUCUUUUUAAAAAUUAUUAGAUAAAGCAUAUUUAGAAAGUUUUUUUUUAAAAUUUCCGCUUAUAGAAUUAAAAUAUUCUAGUUAAUAAUUAUUCAUUAAAAUAUCACUUAAUCAUGUAUGAAGGAUAGAGUUUUUUAAAAUAAUUUAAUCCUUCCUAAUAAAUUAUUUAAAUCUAAAAAUUAAAAGAUGAAAUAGAAAAAAUAACUUGAAUUUUAGUUGAUUUGAUUUUAAAUUUUAAUAAUUUUAAACUUAAAUAAUCUAAAUUCUAAUAUGAAACUUUAAUUACUUAAAUUUAAAGUUAUCCAAAAGGAUUCAACUCAAUUUAAUAUAUUUUAUUUAUAUUGUUAUUUAAAUUUAUAAUUGAGUUUGUGUUACGAAUCAAUCGAGUAUCAAUUUGGUUGAAAAAAUUAUGGAAAUAUGCAUAAAAAUAUACAUAUUGUGGGAUUUGAACGCUUCUCAAUUAUAUUAAUAAAACAUUUAAUUUAUCACAUAACUAAAACUUUAUUUUAAUAUUUUUAUACAUAUUUUAUUACCUCCAUUGAUUGUACAUUUAUACUAUUAUUUAAGCUCCUGACUAAAUUACAUGUGAUGGAAUUUUAUUAAUACUGUAUUUGUAGGGUGUGUCUCAUAUUCUUCUCUCAGUUAAACUCUGUUAUCUUUUCCUAGUUGGACUCUAAUUAUUCCAGGGGUCAUUGUAUCCUUGUUUUGAUGUAUCAACUAGCAAGAGCUUUUCUUUGCUAGCUAGUGAUAAGAUGUAAUAGCAUAAGAGUUUUGGUAAAAGUUUCGUGGUAAUUAUGGAGAGUAUUUUAUACCCCUUUUGUGAGUCUCUCAUGAAGUUUUAAGGUUUUGUUUAUCGGUUUGCUAUUUGAGAGGUCAUUGUAUCCCUGUUUUGAUGUAUCAACUAGCAAUAGCUUUUCUUUGCUAGUGAUAAGAUGUAGUAGCAUAAGAGUUUUGGUAAGAGGUUCGUGGUAAUUAUAGAGAGUAUUUUAUACCCCUUUUGCGAGUAUCUCAUGAAACUUUAGGGUUUUGUUUAUCGGUUUGCUAUUUGAGAUUUUGAGCUUUGCAUUUGGGGUUUUGGAUAAUGUAUAAGUUGUUAUAGGUUUAUUUUAUUCAUAUUAUACUUUCGUUUAUUUACUUAUUUAGUGAAAAGUCGAAACAUUUUUUGCUUGUGGUUUUUAUCUUCUUCGGAGGUGUUUUUCACGUAAAAUAAUUGUGUUCGCUAUUCUCUAUUUUUCUUAUUCGUUGUUUAUACGAGUCGAUCCUCAAGAGUAUUUGAUUGAGUUGGUGUCACAAGUUAUCUCGACACGAACUCAAGAUUGAUGACAACAUCGUGAUAAACAAUUUAAGUUAAUUUUUUCAUUUUAAUAUCGUAUAUAUUUCACGUGUUAUUAUUAAGUAGUUUCAAACCAUACGUUUAUUUAUUUUAUAUUAUUUUUAAACACACAUUUUUAUUAUAAAUUUGUGGUUUUAUACGUAUAUGCAUAUGAUAAAAUUUCUAAUUAUUAUAAUAUAUCCUUUAAAAAAUUAAGAUAAACUUUAAUAUUUUGUCACAUUAUAUGAAUUUUAGGACAAAGAUCUCCUCAUCUUUACUUCCCAACCGUCCACAUUAACUGCCAAAUAUGCCUCAACUUCCACUGUUAUAAAAGCCUCGACACCUUCCCUUUCGCUAAAAUGGCGUCUGCCCAAGACUCUCAGCCUUUCCACUGGCACUACGCAGAUCUCGAAGACCGCGGCUUCCAAAUCCACGGCCGAACUCUCUUCUUCACCGUCGUCCUCUUUGCCAUCGUCCUUAUUUUCGCUCUCAUCUUCUUUUACACUCGAUGGCUAUGCAGUUCUCAUCGACAUGACCUAUCCCCAGCCUCUCACGUACCUCCACAGCCUCCUCCUCAGCCUCGAGGGCUCGACCCCAAUACCAUCAAUGCGUUGCCGAUAACUAUGGUGACGAGGGGGAGGGCGGCGCUUGGGACCGAGUGCUGUAUAUGCCUUGGACUGUUUGAAGAUGGUGAGAAAGUUAAGGUUUUGCCUUCGUGUCACCAUUCUUAUCAUUCCGAGUGUGUUGAUAGGUGGCUCAGUGCUGAGUCGAGUUGUCCACUGUGUAGAAAUUCUCUUCAAGUUGAAUCAGAUCGGCUUCGUCAGAUUCCAGUCAUUGUGACUCAGUAAACAAACACGCACACGAAAAAAAAAAUUUUGUAAACGAUGGUGGAUUUGAGUAGAUUCCUUUUAUGGGUUUUUCUCUGCUUUUUAUUUUGUCUUAUAUUGUGGGGUUGCCAUGAAUGUAAUGCUACCAUGUGCUCGAUGAAAUUGUUCAAUGAAUAAAUUGUUUUGGCUAAAUUAUGCUUCAAGUACCUGUACUUUUUAUUUUUUUUGAAUGUUAGCUUCUCUAUUUUUAGGUCUAUUUGUUAAAGCGGAUAAAAUUUUUCUAUUAUAUUCGUUAGUGUAAUAUUUAAAAAAAAUAUUAAAUUCGUUAGUGUAAUAUUUUUUUAAAAAAUACUCUCUUAAUAUAAAAAAAAACAUGAUAUUAAUAAAUGAAAUUGUUUUUUAAACUUGAAAACUAAAGUGACUAAAUUCAAACUGAACAAAGAGUAGAAGGACUUGAAGUAGAUUUUACUUUUCUGUUUGUCAACGACGGAGAAAGUUAGGUCAUUUGUUGCCUUGUGCCCUUGGAACGUGGGCUGUUGUGAUUGGGGAAACAAAAUUCCAGUUUUUAUUCCCUUUAUUGCAAUCAAUGCUAAAAGGACCAAUAUAAAAAUCAAAAUACAAUAGGGACAUAUUCGCAAUUUUCCAAAUAUAAUUUAUUAAACAUGAGAAGUUUUGUUUUGUUUUUUGGUACGAGUAUAUGGAUAAUUAUUAGGUUAAAGCACGGCUGUUUUUUUUUAUAUAAUUUAUAAUAUAUACUUUAUGAAGAAUCCAGAAAAUACUUUAAUUGGGAUAAUGCAAGGUGGAGAUUUGUUUUGAUAGUCCCUUAAUUCUAAAAAUUAUAUUUUAACCCUUGUGUCAGUGAAGUAAUUAAUAUUUCUUCUUGCCUUUAAUCAGUCAAUAAUUUGGCACUUUAUUUGCAUCUGAAAAAUCUGUGUGCCCUUAGACUGGAAAUAUUAUAAAUUAAAUUAUUGUUGUGAUAAUGACUACCACUUAAAUAAAAUUAUUCAUUGUUACAUAUUUUUAUAAUUUUAUAAACUAUUGAUAUUUAAAAGUUUAGUUAUUGUAUGUAAAAUUAUAUCGAUAUAAUAUUUCUAUAACAGAAGAUUAGAGUAAUUAUUUGAUACAUCAUUAAUAGAGUUUUUAAAAUUUCACAAAUGGGUUAAAAGUCUGACAAUUGUCAUAUUUAUUUAUGUAAUUAAUUUUUUUUACACCCUAUAAUACGGGUAUUUUACCAAUAAAGGCUCAUUUCUAACUCUUUUUUACAGAAAUGGGCCGAUUUCUUAAUUAUUUACCGGAAUAGGCCGAAAACGGAAAUAUCGCGUCCACGUCAACGCGAAGUCAGAGUAUUUGCCAGCAAAGCGCGUCCAUGAGGAAGCACUUUGUCCACAUCAGUAGAAAACGCUUCCAUGAGGACGCGGUUUGUGCUGAUGUAGACAAAGCGCUUCAUCAAGGACGCGCUUUGCCCGUGUUUUUCAUCUGUUGGGAUUUGGGUUUUUAGGGUUAGGGUUAGGGUAAGUUACGGUUUUUAUGGUCUAAUGUUAGGGUUUUUUAGGGUUUAUGAUUUUUGUAAGGAUUUAAUUAAUUAAAUUAGGGUGUAAGAUUAAUUAAUUAAAUUAAGGUGUAAAAUUAAUUAAUUAAAUUAAAUAUUAAUUAAAAAAUUAAUUAAAUUCGAGUUUAGGGUUAAGUAAUUAAAUUUAUGUUUAGGGUUUUGGAAAAAAAAUAUAUGCAAUAUAAAUUAUGUAUUAGUGUAUUUAAAAUAAAUUUUUGGUUUUUUUUUCUUCAGUAGUAUCUGGAAAAAAAAAUUUAAGAAGAAGUUUCUGAAGAAAUAGUAUCCAAAACGCUUCAAGCUGGAUGCACUGUCAGCAAAAUUACUGAAAAUUGCUCCCACAUGGAUGUUUUUUUUCUACAGUGGUAUUGAGAAAAUUAUAAUUAAAAGACUAAAAACAACUUUUAUUUUAUUACAAAUAUAAAAGAGUAAAUUAUAAUUAAAAUACUAAAAACAACUUUUAUUUUAUUACAAAUAUAAAAGAGUAAAUUAUAAUUAAAAUAUUAAAAACAACUUUUAUUUUAUUAAAUGAAAGAAUAUAAAAAUAGUUUAUACAAGUAUAUUAAAAAAAUCAAUGUUGGUGCCGGUCGGAAUCAGUGCCACAUAAGGGUCGUCGACGGUUACGCGCUGGAUUCCUCCUUGGUUCAGGUUCCGGAGAGGGUUCUGGUUGCUCCGGCGGGGAUUGUGGUUCAUCCGGCUGGAGAUCUAGUUGUGGGUGUUGGGAGGAUGAGCCAUCUUGAUAGAAUAAUGACUGCGGAGGUGUUUGCAUCACCCAUGGCGGAGGUGUUUGAAUCCCAUAAGGUGAUGGGGAUUGAUAAAAAGAAGAGCUCCCCGAUGGCGCCUCGUGCGACAGCGGCCUAUAGGUUAGCGGUUGACUCGGAGUAAUUGGGAACGGAGAUGAACCGGGCCAUGCAUUCCAACCUGCCAUAGGACUGGAAAAAGGAAACAUAUAAGGGUUAAGAUAUAUAUAAGGACUAGGAUACGCAUCUGGCAUAAUCUGAAAAGGCUGUGAUAUAGGUGUCGUUGGUUGAAGUGUUGGGCCCGGUGACUGUGUGGGCACUAUUGAUGGGCCAGCUGAUUGUAUGGGCAUUGUUGAUGAGCCCGAGUCGUUAUCCCUUCUUCUUGGAUUUAAAGGGCCUCGUCAUUCCCUUUGGACACGAAUUUGUCGUCGCCUCUCUUCUUCGGACAGUAAAUAUGGCUUCCCAUGGAUCCUAAAUCAUAGCAUGUAUUCGGGCACGGACGCUAACUCAGGAACGAUGAUCGGUUCCCGAGUAGGUAUAUAAUCAUAUCGAUUCUCUCACAUUUUGAUAUAUGCUGAGUGGAAUCUCGGCCAAUCCGUAUGCAAUUGCCGUAAGUCUAUUUUGUGCUCAUCAUCGAGCAGCUCAGGUGCCACAGGAAUCGGUUGUUGGAAGCCAAAUUGCUGCAAUACUCGAUCUUACUGGUGUAUCUCCACGAUAGCAUAGUUGACCAAUGGGACCUUUACGUGCCAAACGUUCGGAUUUUGAAAUAAUUCAUCCGGAAUUACUGCCCGAAUUGCCGGAUCCUCGUAUGGUGUCCAUUGAAACUAUAUGAACAUAAUAAAAAUAUUAGUUGUAUACAUAAUACAUAAUACUAAAUACUAAAUACUAAACAUUAAAUACUAAAUACGAAACGAGUAUUUUAUUAUCUAUAUAUAUUUUAUUUAAAACUUACUUGUGCUUCCGACCAUUGGUCUAAUAAAAGCCGUAUAUCUUCAAGAGAUGUAGGUAUUCCAACAUAACUCGCCGAAUGGUUCCACCUAAUUAAAUAAAUUUUUAGCAAACAAUUAUAUUUUAAAUCUACGUAAUAAUUGUAAAAUCUAAUUUAAAAUUUACCUCGUUAUAAGUGGGAAUGUAUAUGGCUGGUCCACUCGAGGACGUAAAAAUGGAAAACGAAACCGUGCCUAUGAUUGCAGUAGUGAUAGGCAACCUCCGAUUUUGACUUUAUUCGGUCGUGUCGCCCCGCACAUCUCUCGGUACAAUGUUGCUAACACGACAGGCCCCUAACUAAGUUCACCAGUUACUCUAAAAUCAACGAGUUUUAGCAGCCAUCUCAGAUGUACGCGAUUUCGUGAUAAGUCCGGCAUUAGAUAACCUCCGAUCAUCUCAAGAAUGUAUGCCCGAGCAUAUCGUAUUCUUUCUAGUUCAGUCGAAUCAUUAUCCAACUCUGAAAAUGUGUCUCGUAACCAGCCCAUCUCAAUCCGAACUCCGUUAAUAUUAUCCGGAAUAGCACCCAAAAGCUCGUAACAUACGGCGCCCCAAUCAGCAGAAUAAGCAGACCCAGUGACCGUGUACCCAUCCACCAGCAAUCCCAAUUGCAACUCCACGUCUUCCAAAGUGAUAGUACACUCUCCGCAUGGAAGAUGAAAAGUGUGCAUUUUGGGUCCCACCUCUCUAUCAACGCACUGAUUAGUUUCGAGUCCAACUUGCACCCCCGGCCUAUUGUGGCCACGUGCCAAAAACCCGCGUCCCGUAGGUAACCCUCCAUCAGCGGUGAUGGAGGACCAGACAUAUUACGAAUAUAGCAUUGCAACACCCGAUCUACAGACUGUUAUAAAAAAAAUAUAAAAUUAAAAUUGCAUAAAUGAAAAAAAUAUUAAAUUGUAUUGAAAAAUUAAUUAAAAUUGCAUAAAUUAAAAAAUAGUAAAUACUAUUGAAAUAUUAAAAUUAUCACUUACCAUUGUCAUUUGAUCGACGGAGAUGUGUUUAUUAUCGAGACGAAUUAAUUCCCUUUCCAUUGCAAAAAUUUAAUUUAAAAUACAACUAAUUCAAAAAAAAAAAUUUAAUAGAGCUUUUUUGCAAAAAUUAAAGAGAACUUUGAGAAAAUUUGAGAGGAUAUGAGAUAAUAUGAGAGAAUUUUUGGAAGAAUUUGAGAGAAUUUGGAUAGGAGUACUUUUUUUGUGUAAAAAAUCAAGGGGAGGGGGUUUUAUAGUUUUUUUUUUUACCGUUGGGGGCCCAAUGGUCAAAUUUUUGACUGUUUGAAAAACACGGGCAAAGCACGUCCCUGAGGAAGCGCUUUGUCCACAUCAGCGUCCUCAGGGAAGCGUUUUCUGCUGAUGUGGACAAAGCGCUUCCUCAGGAACGCGCUUUGCUAGCAAAUAUCCUGACUUCGCGCUGAUGUGGACGCGAUUUCUCCGUUUUCGGCCUAUUCCGGUAAAUAAUUAAGAAAUCAGCCCAUUUCCGUAAAAAAAUUUGGAUAUGGAUCUUUAUUAGUAAAAUACCCCUAUAAUACAUUGACGGUAUAUUAAAUAAUUUUCCUUUUUUUUACUUCAAUUAGAUUAUUAUACAAAUUUUAUUUUUGAAGUUUUGCUUAAUCAACUUAUAUGAUUAUUCUUAAAUUUAUUUAUUUAAAUAUAAUUAUAAAAUAAUUAUUUUAAUAUUAAUAUAAAAAUUAUAAUAUUUCAGUAUUUUUUAAUACUAAAACAGACUUUUAAAAUAGUCCAAAAUUGAUUUGAUUCCAGCUUAAAGGGUGUUUUUUCUUCUUCCGGAGGGAACCUGAGAAACCCUAAACUUGAUUUUGGGCUAAAAUAGGCCGAUUCAUGGUUUAACCCAACAUAUAAUAACAAAGCCCAACUACGGAAAGGCCAUUAGGGAUUUAGGGUUUUAGCUUUUAAGCCUAUAUAUAUAAUCUCAAAGCCUUACCUUUCUCUUCCCCACUCUCCUCGCAGCCUCCGUAGAAGAACACUACACGAGUGGUUUUGAACUGCAAAAGGAGAUCGAUUUCGAAGCCUUUUCACCAUGAGAGCUAAGGUGAAAACGUCAAAACCCAAACCAUGAUCUUUUUGAUUUUUUUAUUGAAAUAUUGAUAUGGUUUUUUUUUUAUAUAAAUUGUGCUAAUAUCAGUGGAAGAAGAAGCGUAUGAGGAGGUUGAAGAGGAAGAGAAGAAAGAUGAGGCAAAGAUCUAAGUAGUUUAAUUUUAUCUUAAAGCAAGCAAUUUGUUCUAUGUUUCUUUAGAUUUUCUGUUGUUUGAUGGAUACUUUACUUUAAAAGGAUUUAAGUUAUCUUUAUCGAAACCUUUUGAAUAUUCUGGAAACUUGUUAUUUUCUAUUAACAACUUAUGGCUUUGGAUGUUAAUUUUCUAAUAUUUUUGGCUCAAAGUUGCACUUACUUGGUGUUCUCAUUUUAUCUUCAAAUGGAAAAUUAUGGCUACAGAUUUGAUUUUGGCGGAUGUAGCUAUUGACUAAGUUGAUGAGAUAUAGCUGAUUUCUUUGGGCCAUGAUUCUAGAAGUUCUGGUAUGAUUGUCAGAUUUUUCAUAUCUACAUAUGAGCAUAAGAAUAUUCGAACUCAUACCUUUCAAAAUAUUGCAUCAACAAUUAUGCCAAUUCAUUAUUCAACUUAGUUGGCGGUAUGUUUGUUCGAUAUGUGAAUGUGUUUCAUAUUAAUAUGUUAUGGUUUUCUAGAUUCAUAUUUUUAGAGAACUUUCUAGGUACAAUUGAAUCUGUUUUAAGCAUUGUUGAGAGAUUUGAUAGAAAUUUUCGAAGGAGACUAUUGGUCCCCAACAAUCAAAAGUAUUGUUUAUUGGGGUUUUUGUCUCCCGUCCAGCGACUACCUUGAGGGCUUGAUUCACAAAGCCAGGAGUACUUCGACUGUGGGUGUAUGGCCAUCCACCAAGAGAGUGUGAAUGUUUCAGCUUUUGUGAGGUAUGAAUCCUUGACCUAUGUUAUAUAGGUCACACUAGUUGGAGAAGAUGUACUAACGUGCGGGAGAAGAUCGACUGUGGGUGUAUGGCCAUCCACCAAGAGAGUGUGAAUGUUUCACCUUUUGUGAGGUAUGAAUCCUUGACCUAUGUUAUAUAGGUCACUAGUUGGAGAAGAUGUACUAACGUGCGGGAGAGAUCGGUUGAUUGCGUGGUGGAUAACAUUUUAGAAACUUUUUCAGGAAGAGUCUCAACAAGGAUUUUAUUCUAAUGUUCAUAUUCAAAUAAUAUUUGUUAGGUUCUUUAAAUACAUUUAAUUGUUUGAGGAUUAUAUACAUAUUUGGAUAAAUGUCGGAUAUUUUGAGAGAAAUGAAAAGUAAAAGAUGAGUUAUUAUGCAAUGGACAUUGAGGCAUGGAAAAAAAUUAAAGACCUAUAUACUCAUUUCUAUUAUAAAUUACACAAGUUUAGGCUCUACAAGAAAUAACCUUGGCAAAAAGAAAAGAAAGCAAAAUAAGCCCUAGAGGGAGGUAGAUUUUAAUUGUGCCCAUGACUUAAAAGUUCUUUACUUGAUUCACCAAGCCAAUGGCGUCGGUAACCGGACAAAACCCAUUAAUAGGUGUUACAAUGAUCAAUUCCCUUAGAGGCAAGUGGCGGUGGUAUAAGUGACCCAAGCCUGGUUCCCUUGUUUCGUUAAUGCGCUUUCAUCUAGGGGCAUGAAGCCGUCGGAUUCCAUGAUAGCUCGACACAAAGGUGAGCAGUGGUUCUCUCCUAAGGCGUGCUUCGAGUGAGCUCUACAUUGUUGUCAACGUCGAGAGCUUCAGGGGAAAUUCUUUCUCCAAGAAAUAAGAUCAUUUAAAGAGAUUACAAGGCUUUAAUGAAAAAAAAAUUGGAAAGAUAAAAAAUUAAAAGGAUAAAAAACUAAAAAGAUGGAAAACAUAUUUUUUUCCUAGGGAGAGAGAGAAAAAUGAAAAUAAUAAUUUUUCCAUACAUUGCUUGGUUUGCUUGGUGGAGUUAAAAUAUAGAAGGAAAUGAAAUGAAACAUCUGAAAAUACAUAAUUUUGAAUUAGCAUACACAUCUCCAUUAUUAUUUCUCCUCUCAACAUUUCAAUUUAGAAAUAUUGAUUUUUAUGUAUUAUCAUAGAAAAUCAUCCUCUCCUAUUUUCAUCCCAACCAAGUACACUCAAUUUAUUUUCUUUUCACUUUUUCAUUCUCUCCUCCCAUUUCUCCACUUCUUUUACCCACCUUAAAUGUAACCCCAAUGGUACAAAAUCUCUCAGUAGCUUCUACCAACCUUGUCAUUUUCUUUUUGUUUCCCUCUAUUUCUCUUUUAGACAUAAACCAAACAUCAGCUCGCAUUUUCUGAACAAAUUGCGAUGUCUUCUCACCCUUUUCUUUUCUUCACCUCCAAACGACAGGAAUCAAAGUUUUGAAUUGUAGCUUUCAUCCUUAUUAAUCAAGGAAACAUAAACCAAGUACAAAGCAUCUCUCAUUAUCGUAAACUUGCAAUUGUAAAAUAUACAUAAAUUAUGUGAAUUGACAACGCUAAGAACAAGCUAUAUUUUCUGCUUUGAUAGUCUGAUCUUCCAAACGACGAACCAUGUAUAAAACAGCAUCAAGGGAACUGUUUAACAGUUAUUAAUGAAACAAAUAUUUUUUAAUAAGCAAUGAGACAUACUUGAUCGCCAUUGUUAUCAUUGCAAAGGCGCAAAGCUUUUAACAACUCAAUGAACUCAGAGAACAGUUCAGGCGGAUCAUCGGAACACAUCAAAUUCAAACUCUGAUCAAGAUCCUGUUCUUGAUUUCGAGGUCAAUUACGUGUCCGGAAGAUCAAAAUCUACAAAAACUUGGUCGAUCCUCUCAGUCCGUUCUUGAUUUUUUUUUCCCCAUAAUUACAUCAUACGUGCAUUACUCUUUCGUGGCAUGUCAUUUUAAUUUUUUGGAUUCCAAACCUAUUGGACCCGUAUUCGCAUCACAUAAUCAUCAUUCCGAUCAAAAUAAUCAAAUCUAACUAAAGACCAGCAAUAAUAUUUAUUUUGUAUAGAAAAGAUGUACAUGUAUAUACUGCAAACAUAUUCUACCAAUAAAGAGUAGCCCAAAAAAAACAUGUAUAUGGAUCAUAAACAAAUUUUCUGUUUCGAUUUAGGAAAAGAAUGAAGCAAAAAGAAGAAACAAUGAAGUGGGAAGUGUUCUCGUAUAUACUGCUGGGUCAAUUCCAAGGACAUUAAAGGAAAAUAAAACUACAAAAUACAAAUAUGCAUGUGUGAUAAAAAUCCUCGGCUUACCUUCUUACCAGCAUCCAAAAAAAUGCCUCUUUCUACCAAAAAGUAAAAAAAAAAAAGAAAAAGAAAAAGAAGAGAAUAUUAGAACAUAAUAAUAUCACAUAAUAUCACACAGAUGAAACAUAGAAAUGGCAUUAUUAUAAACUGAUCUUCAAGCCUGAAGAAAUUGCCAUGAUUGGAACUAUGAUAUCAAUGUCUUAUUUGUCACAGCAACAGAAGGAAUCAACUCGGCUAAAAAAUAUCUUUCAAACCAACCUGUCAUGAGUUAAUAACUGCUGCCCAUUGGUGGCAUGCCAUAAGGUGGCAUCGGAGGCAUUCCCAUUCCUCCCAUGGGUGGUGGUGGAGGUGCAAAUCCACCACCCAUUGUUGGUCCUCCCAUUCCUGGCAUUGGCGGUGCAGGCAAGGCAAGAGGUAGUAACUGAGCAUACAUGUUCUGCAAUGUAAGACAAUUAAUUUUAUCAGUAAGAAGCAUUUUGAAUCAGUCGAAAAUCUAUCUACUCCCACUGUGCAGGGGUAGAGAAUACAUUAUCAAGAAAAAGGAGAUCAAUUUUCGGCUCUCCAAGUUAUUAUUACCUGUUGUGCAAUGACUUCUUUCUCUUCUUGCUCUUUAGCCUUUACUUCUUUUUGAGCUUCUAUCUUAUCCUUGAUAAGUUCAUCAACUUUGCCAGUAUAUUCACGGAUAAACUGUAAAUUCAAAGAGAAAUUAAAAAAGGUUCAAACAACAUAAUCUCAAAACAAAAAAAAUUACAGGUUGAACUAAGAUCAACCAUCCAAGCAUUCUAGCUAAUGAAACCCUAUUAACUGAUGAUACUGAAAGCGGCAGAGCACAGAAAUCACCUGCAGCAGAUAUGGAAAUGCGAAAUCAAUCAUAUUGUUGAUCCAGGCCAGUUCAAGAGCAACAUCCGCUCGAAUUAAGUCAUAACAGACAAAGAGGCACGAUGCAAAGCAUUCCUUCUUGCCCUGUACAAAGAGAACAUCAACACUGAAAUUAAGUACAAUUCAAAACAAUAACCAACAUUAUAGUGAUAAUAUCAUUAGGAAAACCACCAUAGUGCAAAAACAAACAUCAGUUAACUAUACUUUCCAUGUCCUAUACCUAUAGUACGAUAAUUGAGUAUUAUGUCUAUACUUUCUAUGUUACUCAGACUCGGAUGUUAGUGUGGGAUAGAAAAAAUGUGUCUGGCACAAAGUAUAUUUAUGUUUUUCUUUUUUUAAGUUUUUCCAUCUAUUUGAACAGUCCUUGGAAGGUCAUAUCCCAUUAACCGUGUCCAAAUAUGCGCUGGAAAUAAGUGUCAGACACAGAUAUUUCAAGAAGAAAGAGUAGAAAAGCAUAACUCAUAUUUGCACCGGAAAGGAACAAGUGGAAGAGAGCACAAUAACAUAAUUAGGAGUAGCAAUUGGCCAAAAAGGUGUAUUGCUUUCUACCUCCAAAGUCCAAACAGAUAAUCAGUCAGCAUAUAUAUUUUUUUAUGUAAUUUGGAAUGAGUUCAGUACCUGUUCAAUGAAGUAAACAAGCAACUCCUCGGCAAGUUCACGUUCACCAGACUGUGAAGCUGUUUCCAUUGCAUCUCUGUAAUGGUUGUCCUUCUUUGACAAGGCAAUGGACUGCUUCCAUCUGCCUGCCUUUUUGUAGAUGUAUGCAGCAACACGCCUCAUUUCAAGCAGCUCAUGUUUCUCAAUCUACACAAGCAAUUUGGAAAUAAUAUCAGAAACAAACCCAACACCAAACACUAAUGUAAGAAAAAGAGCACUUCACCUUUUGUGCAAGUCCAAUCUGAUCAAAGUUAUCAUGCAAAUCAAUAGAUUCUCUUAAUCUAUCAUAAUCUUCUUCCUCCACAUAAAUCUCAUUCAAUGCCUCGUUUACUGCCGAUACAUUGUUGCUCUGAACAGCAACCAUGUAUGGCUUCACAAGACGUAGAUGGCCAGCCUGAAAUUCCAAAAGGAAAUAAUAGUGAGCCCAAAAUGAACUAUGGUAAUAACAAAGAAAAUCAUUUAUUUCAAUAUUAGAUCAUCUUUUGCCAGAAUUGAACCUUUCUCAUAAUGUCAACAACUCGAGUGUGAUCCACACGAAGUGCAAGCACGUUCAGCAGAUCAUUGAUGAGAUCUGGAUGUUCUUGCAAGUAGAAGUGGACAGCCUUGUAAUAGAGCUCAACACUAGCAACUUUGACAAUAAUAUCUUUGAACUGCAUAUGAUCCCAUGCUUCAGGAGAGUGGUUCAUGACAGUAGUUGCAGCAUUAUCAAACUCGUCAUAUUGGAUAUACAAAUAGGUAAGUUCCUUCCAAUGCUGCUGCUCAUCACAAGCUCUUAUCAGUUUGGGAAUGUUGAGACGCGUAGAGAACAAUUUAAUGUGCUCCAUAAGUUUCUCUGGACGAUAUCUGGCAUACAGGACUCCCAACUCAGUAAAGAUACCCAUGUGUGCACGCUCCAAUCCUAAACCACUCUCCAUAAGAGAGAUUAACUCAUUGAAGCAUCCUCUAUUCUGAUAGUAUUCACUGACUUCUUCCAAGUCAUCCACCUAGAAAAUCAGCAAACAUAAUGGUCAAAAUCAAUGGGGUCAAACAGUCUCCAACAGACAAACAUGAGAAGAAGAAAAGGGGAACUGUAUGCGCAAUGACUAUUGCUCCUGAAAAUUGCAAGUCAACUGGAAAGUAAACUCACCUGCACAAUAACAUUAAGACCACAUAUUUGUGCCAAUCUGAAUUCCUCUGCAUCAACACAAGCAAAGCAAACUUCCUUCCAUGUCUUGGCACUGUUUGCUUUCCGUGCUGCAUCAACAGCACCCUGGAAUUGUUUAAGUCUCACAAGUGUAACAGCCAACUUAGCCCAGUUAGAUAUAAAUGCAAAUAUUAUUUUUGCAGCUUCAUAUAGUUCUUCAUCGAACAACCGAUCACCGACAUUUUGAAGAUUAGCCACAUUUGGCAUGAGAAUGAAUUCUUCAAUUUCACCCAGUCUAUCAAUCUUUGCAUAUGCAUAAAUGAGUUCACUGUCAACCUUGGGCUCCUUGACUUUCUGCCUGACCAUCAGAAGGUACCUUACGAGAUCAGGGUAGACAUUAGCAUCCUCAGAAGCUCGGAUGACAUCAAGGAAGUGAGUAGCAUCAUCUGCACGGAUAAAUGAUUCAAUUGCAUCGCUCACCAGCCCUUCCCUCAGUUGUGCCUUUGCCACCUGACUCCAAACAGCAUCUUCUUCAACUCGGAAGGCAAAUUCCACGGCUCGAUCAAUGCUUCUAAUGUUAUCCAGUAAAACAUUGACAGCCUGAACAUUUAAGUUAAACUUCUUGAAAAUUGAAAAAGCUUCUUCAUAUAGUUGAGCUUCCACGGCCACUUCUCCAACUGCUGGUCCAUCAAAGUUAUCUAGCCUAUUAAUAUAAUCCAUAACUCGAGAGGGAUCUGCCUUGAUAGCUGUCAAAAUAAGUAGAUUUUGCAGAUUAAAGUUCCCACUGAAUGCAGAGUUUUGGAGCACAAUCUUCUCAAGAAGCUCAAUUAGUUCAUGGGGCAGGUCAGCAGUCAUGAAAGCUUUAACAGCAGCAGAGACUUGUUCUGGACUUCUGCUUUCUGGCAAAGCAGUUGACACAACCUGAUCAAUUAGAUGUCUUCUAUAUUCAUUUUCAGGAUUUAGAACCUUCUCCCAAAGAUCGCCAUCCAUCCUCUCAACAACAUACCUGUGAUCAAAGGAUGGUGCACCUAUAAGCCACUUAAAAACAAAAAUCUGAUAUAUCAUCAUAAAUAAACUAAAGAAUUGCAUACCUGGCCUGCAAUUUGAACAACGAGUUCUUAUUUGUGACAUUGAUAAGUUCAUCAUCACAUUGUCCUCUUCGGUAAGCCACAACUGCCAAGGUGGGAUCACGUUUCUCACAAUACUUACCAACAACCCGGGAAUCAUAGUAAGGAUUGGUUGUGAGGAAGUGCUCUGGAUUGUUGUUGCUUUCAAUGAUGAUUUUACCAAGAGCAUUGUGGACAUGCACAUCUUGGCUUCCCUCACUCACAAGAUGCUCCAAGAACUGCGUAAGCAAACGAAGUCGAUUUCUGGAAAUCACAUGCAGGAAGAUGAGAAUCACAAAGUAGUGAACAAAGGAAAUGAGGACCAAAGAUAUGGUAAGAAAUCACCUCUUCUCACAUUCAUCCACAAGUGGCUCAACUGGAAGCAAGGAACGGACUGAGAGAAUGAGACCUUUAAUAAAAUCUUCAGGGCAUUCAUCAUCAAGCAACUGCCCCACUACCAAAGGAGCAUUGCCCGGGUUCACCUGUCAAAAGAAGCAAGUUCACAAUUACCUGGGUUUAAAUUGAACUCAUAUCAUAUGCCAGUAAACAUAUCCAGUCAAGAAAAUUGUAUACCUUCUGAACAUAACCUUCAAUGUAACGGAGCAUGUUAUUUGUGUAGAGGUAGUGGGUCAGAUCAGGAACAAACCCAAAUCGAUCACAAACAUUAAUCAGGGGCCUAGCAUCAGGAAGCUUGGCCUCCAUCAGGAAGUUCUUUGUCUUUUCAGCAUCAUAGAAGUUUGAUUCUCUGGUCACACGCUCAACCUCCUUUAUUUGUCCAGUUUUAGCAGCCGCCUCAAUGUACUUAAAGUGUAUAUCGGGGUCCUCACUGUCCCAUAAUCAGAACCAACAUAGUAAGUGCCAUAUUAGAUAUAUUAGAUAUAUCUGCAGUAUGCCCAAUCAAACAAAGGACAUUUCUUGUUUGCUAAAUAGCAUACCUUGAACUCAAAUAAGAUCCCAGGAAAAAGUACAAUCCUUCAUAUGACUUAAACUGCUCAAAAAGUUUUAUGCAAGCCUCAACACCCAACUGCUCACAGUACUCCUUGGCAACCUGCACAGCCACAGCUUAGCCUUCGGUGAUUUACUAAACAUUAUUAGCAUACUAUUAUAUAACAUGCUUUACCUGAACAAUUAUUUGAAGGUUGCCUCUUAGAUUAACCAGAAGAAGGUCCUUCAUGCACUCCAAGGCCCAUUCUCGUGAAAGAGUGCCAAAAAACUCAACAAGCGACUGAAAAUAGAAUUAUUAUUGAAUAAAAAUAUAUCAGGAUUUAGUAGUCUAAUUUUUCCAAGAGAUAAAGAUAGCAGAAAACAUGUACCUGAGGCUCAAUAGCAUGUGUGUUCACGAUGACACGUUUAAUGUCAGGCAACUCACUGUAAUGCUGCAGAAAAAGAUCAAUGAGAUAAUUACCUAAAAGUUAAAACAACACAAGAUGCAACAAGUAAAAAUCUAAAUAAGAUGAUUACCUGCAGAGCUCGCACAUAGAGACCAGCUUUCUCACAAAGUUGUGCAAUUCGAGGGCGAUCAUAGUGACUGAACAUUCCAUUUGCUAAGAUGGCAUCAGCAACAUUAGGAAAAGUUACUAGAUUGAUUUCCAAAACCUGCAUAGAAAAGAAUGUUGUUGACCUUAAAUUAUUCUUUUCAAAAUUAAAACCAAAAUUAGAUUAGCUGAACCAGCACAUAAAAUAUAUAACCUUCGUCUGUAGAAAAGCAUGCUCUGGCAGAUUUGGCUUCAAAACAUCUAAAAGAAAUGCGGUAGCCUCCCGUAUCAAAUUCCUCUGAAAAAAGGCAGAUAGCAAAAGGAAACAAUCUCAUGUACAUAGAAACAUAAGGUUAUUGACACAACCAAUUUGAUGAGCAGCAGACCUGAAGAAAGAGGUCAGUAAUAGUGUUGUAAUCAACCGGACAACCUCCCUCCAUUUGAGACAUCAUCAAUGCAAAAUUAACAGCUCCCUGCAAGUAAAACAAGAAGCAAGAACCCAUUUGUCAAUGAAAAUUACACAGAUUCAAUCCCCUAAAAAAAUCUCAUAAUAGUAGCCGUUGAUUGGCAAACAAUAAAACAAAGGAAGCUUUUACUUUAAUCAGAAUACUCAUAAAAUUUUAAUUAAGAGGCUCUAAUGAAGGGAAUUAACACAAUUGAAUAUAUUUAUCGAUUGGUCAUAUGGCAUGCCUUCAAUACCUCAAACACUAAAGACUACAAGAAGAAGAAUGACGAACCUGUGGAUCUGUACGAAGAAUUGUUUGCAGAAGGAACAGAUAGUCAGGAGAGUACCCAACCUGAGGAAACAAUUUAGUCAUGAAUAUUCAAUGCAAGCAUUCACAGAAAUGUAAAAAGCAAGUGGAGAAAAAUUCUCAUCUUGAUAGGCUGUAAAAAGGAGAGCACACAUCAAUCACACCAGAAAAUGCUAACAGCGAAGAAAAUGCAGCAAUUACCUGCUUUGAGUAUAUUAAGAUUUUGUCGAACUCCCUACGUUCUGCAAAAGCUGCAACAACUUUAGGAGUUGCUCUAGCUUUAAUGUAUAUUUUCAGUGCAAGAUCAUUAUCCACAGUCUACAACAAAAGCAAAAUGAAAGUAGAAGGCAGCAAAAAAGAGUCAAAACAGUCCCAAUUUUAAAAUGAAAUUUAGAUACAACUGAAUAAGAUACAGAUACAUUUCUAUUAGAGAACAAAACAAACCUUCACAAGGUCUCCAAGUUCCUCACUACAUUCCAAUUUAUCUUCAGCCAACCAAUUCUCUAGAAGAUUCUUCUUGUUUUGAUUUACCACAAGUCGAGAUAAUUCCAAUGACUCAAAGGCAUUGAGCUUUCCCUUUGUUAAAAGUGUACCAAAAUACUGCAACAGUGGUGGAGUCUGCCCAGCUUGCACAGGUACACUCUGCAGCAUUCAAAUAAACAUUUCUGCCUCAGAUAAAAUCAACACAAACAUAAAAACCAGAAUCUGCAUUAGCAAAAAGGGAAAAGCAAAUAUUACCUGAAACUUGGCAACUGUAUCAGGCGUGCGAAGGAUCCCCUGUGGAGACUCUGCUGCAAGCUCAGCAGCUUCUUUAUACUUUGUCUGAGCAAACAAUUCUUGAAAACGUUGGACAACCUGAGAUAUUAAAAACCACAGAAUCAAAACCCUAGUAUAUUCUUAAAAGAACAAAGUAAUCAUAAACAAGGAUCUAAAUAAACAGAUAAAAUUGAACAACUUAAACUACAUAUUUUUGUUAACAACACUCGGCAUCAGAUAUAGAGAACACAAAAUCUAAUUAAGCAAUCCAAAUGCUAUCUCCAAUCUCAGCAUUGCAGCAAGACCGAAGAGAUCCCAGAAUCAUUGAAGAAAGUUACCACAAAAGUAACUGUUGGAUAAUAUAGAUUACUCCUUGGGAUAUUAUUGUCUGGGAACUAAAACCUACGGUUAAUAAUAUCAGGCUCUUACUUCUCAAUUGUCAUUUCAAUGCAAAGAUCCACAAACCAUAGACCAAGCUAUACACAUAUCAAUCAACUUACCAGGUUCUCUGCACCUGGAAGGUUUCCUCUUUUAGCCAGAUUGACAGCAAGCUCCAAAUUGUUCAACUGAAACGGAAAACAACCCGGAAAAGUUGUAAGCCUGCAUGUCUCACCUUAUUGAUAUCAGAAAACACAUGAAAGGCACAAAAACAUACUUGACCGCUAACAAAUGGCACUAUUGUUGCUUCAUUUACAGUAGCCAACAACACCUGACCUCGCCUGUUGAUGGCAUAAAACCCUCCUGCCGACGAAGCUUCAGAUGUUAAAAAUAUUGGGUCUGGACUUAUUCUAUUUCUGUAUACAGCAGUCGCAGUCUCUAGAUCAUAAACAAACAGCAGCCCAAGCUUUGUGAUAACGUAGAUCAAACUAUAUUUGUGUGAUAUCUGCCAUUUAACAGAAACAUGUCUUAUUAAUGGCACAAAAGUUUGAAAAAAGAUUUACCAAGAAAAACAAUCAAAGUUGAGGACAUUAUACUACCUGCAUUGCAACUGGAAAAUCAUCUUGAAAAUCUGGUGGAAAGAAUAGAUCUGCCUGUUUCUUUGAAAAUGAUGGCUUACCUGUCAUAUUAGAGGUUUUGUUAAAAGGUUCGAAAUUAAAUGGACAGGAGAUACAACACAAUGUUGUAGCUACUACGUUGUUUUCAAGAAAAUAGUUAAUAUACAGCCAGUGCCAACACAUGCCUCCCAUCAAAAUUAACUUAGAAUAGUCUAGAUCAUGAUUUAGAGUUUGCUACAGAUAAAAUUCUAGGAUUACUGAAUUAAACCCCAAAUGUUAUUUGACUACUGAAAGGGGCAAUGGCAAAUUGAUCUAUUUCUUUAUUUUUAUUUUUACAUUCAUUUUUGAAUUCACUUAGACAGACCCUCAGUUUCCCCUUAUAUACGAGAAGGAGAUAACAAAAGUAUAACAGACAUCAUAGCAAGCAGACCUGGCUGGGCACCAAGUUCAAUUACAUGCAACUUUGAUACAAUUUGGCCAGCAUUAAAACUCUUGGUAGCAAAAGAAAUAAGAAUAGAAGGAUUCUCAUUUCCUGGAACCUGCACAACACAAACAAGCAUAUACAAUAAGCAGGCUAGUUAAUUAGGGUAUCAUAUCUAGGGAAUAAAGUACAAAGAAAUCUCCUUACCUUAAAUUGUGCAAAUGAAGCAGCAUGAGAUUCAAGAGCUUGACUACGCUGCUGAUCAACAGAGAAAAGUUGCAUGUUCCCCUUCACCAAUUGUGGCCUCUAAAGAGACAAGACAUGUAGAUCAAAUCAGAAUUACAUAGUAGCAGCAGAACAUUUUUCUAGAAAGCGAAUUUCAUCAGUAAUAAUGAUUAUGCAAAGAACUAUUCUAACAGUAGAAAGACAAGAUGGGGAAAAGGAAAAGGUAAAGAAAACUAGAAAAGGGGAUUACAGGGACGCAAAUCCUAAAGGACACUGCAAGAGACAGAAUUAAUCACCCAUAAGGGUCAUAAACUAAUUCAGAGUUCUCUAUAGCAGUUUGAGCUAUGGGCCACACAACAACCACGCCAGCUAGAAGAACUUCUUAGGCACAGUUAGCUUAGGGUAAUGUUUUGAGUAUGUUACUUUAAAAAUUCUGUUUUUGAUGUAGAACAAAAUUUACUUAACAUUUCGCAGUUUUCCAAAUCCCAAAACUCAAUACAAAUGAAGCAACAACCCCUUAAAAAAACACUUUAGAAAGCAUUGAUAAGGCAACACCUACCUCAGGUGCACCAGGGGCAAUUCCAAUCAAAACCAACCACUUCUCCGAAGGAUCACAUUUAUAGUUUAUUAUCUGAUUGUUCACCAAGUUUGCUGUUCUUUCAAACAUCUUAACUGGCUCAGAAUCACCUGCCAGAAAUAAGAUGCAGUGAGACUUGUAACACACAAAAUACUGUUUAAUAGAUAAAAGUACAUUCAGAAAAAGAAGUUUUUAGAGCUGAAAAAAAACAGCACCUGGGAUACUAGAAAAGUUAACAGAAUAACUUCUUACCUUCAAUUGACCAAUGAUACACGGAGGUUUGUGUGACCAGACCAAGCGUUUUUGGGGUAAUCCAUUUCCAGAAUACAACCUGAAAUGAACCAAGGGCAUUUUGCUAAGGUCAUGCAAUCAAGUUUAGCAUUAAGGAAAUACAAGUAAAGCAGAGGCCGACAGAUACUGCAAUAACAAAAUUGGAACCAUUAAAAAAAAAGAAAAAAAUUGAGACAGUAAAUGCAUUUGACCGGUUCAGGCAUCUGAUGCGAUUUAAUUUUCGCUUUCAUCUCUAUGUUAAAUAUUUGCAAGUGAUCUUGAGUUGUUCCCGGUAGUUGAGCUACAAAAGCAAUUUCAUAUUCUGUUAGCAUAAAGCAUAGAUAGAUUUUAAAAAUUAAAGAAGACAUAAAAUUUAUACUAGAGAUAUUUAAUCUCCUUCUCCCUUAAUUAGUUUUGUUAAAAGGAAUGUGAAGCACUUGUAUGACUUCCAUUUCAACCAUAUUUUUGUUGCAUUACAGGAUCAAAUUGAAGUAAUUUCUGCUAUAAGAACAUGCUUGCUCUAAGCAGUGCUGAACAACUGUUUGAUUUGCAAAUACACCCAAGGAAUAUAUGGAUAAAACAAUAGGGAAGUGAUAAUUACUCUGACCGUAUAUCACAUACACUAAGAUUCCAUAAGCUGGGUCCUUGCAGUUAACAUGUAUUGCAACAUUCAUUUGUUCAUUUUAGAAGCAAAAAGCAAGUAACAAAUAUUAAACACAAGGAUGGUAAGUAUCAUUUUGAAAAAUAUAUUGUAAACAAGUAUUCCAUUAAGAAAAACCUCAAACACAACUAGGUUCUUUGUAAGGCCAGAUGCAAAACAGAUCAAUAUCAUGAAUCCAAUCUGUGCUCUAUGGACCACACAAGACAGCGAUAUUAAAUAUACAACCCAAUAAUCAAUAACAAAAACGCUAAAUAAUUAAUAAUCACUAUCAAUUACUACACACAUUUAACAAGCUUCAAUAAAAAUAACAACUUAAGGCUGGCAGUUAGGUAACUGACCUUUCAAAGCGAGGAUUCUGGAAUUUGGAUUCAUGAGAGCAGAGUCAGCUGUAAUAGGCCGUCUCAACGGCUGCAUCGGCAUGCUCAUGUCGAUGAUCACAACACUAUUUUGUGGCGCGGUUUCCCUCACACAAAUAUACUUAUCAGAUUCCAUAGUUACAUUCGUGAAUGUGAUAAAUUGUGGAUUAAUACCAACGCUCGGCAACUGCAAACAGACAACAUCAUCCAGAUCACUCAAAAUUCUAACUAUGUCAAAACGUAAGGAGCAACUUUCAAACAGAUCUAAGCAGGUUUUACAGAUACUAGAUCUGAUAAAGUUUAUAAAGUAUUCGAUUAAGCUUGGCAACCGUUGAUUAACUAUAAUUCAGCUGAAUUUUCUAUAAAAUAAACGACCGAACCGAAACGAAAGAGUGAGAGAAGGAGAGUGAAAGGAGAAUACUUACAGUUAAAACCUCCUUCAUGGCGAUGGGAGCGUUCGCGGCCGCCAUGGUGGCUCAGAUCAAAGGAUGAAGAUCCACGAAUCAGGAGCGGAUCUAACGGCUGAGAUUGAAUCUUUCAAUCGCGAGUCAAAACUGAACACUGAGAAAGAGACGAGCAAAACUAUAAAAAAAAGUACUUUGCGAAGAGAUCUGAGGCAGAGAAUUAAAGCAUUUGAAAAGAGAGAAAGUGAAGCAGAUGGGAGAGAUCCAAUCCAAGGCACCGGAGAAAGUGGAACGGACGUGUAAAAAAUGUGCCUUGAAACACUGGUGUGCGCAUUAGCUAGCUCUUGGAUUAAUUAUAGAUGCUGGAUCCGGGUAACAACCCGGUCCAAAUUUCAUUUUUAUUUUUAUUUUGAAAGGAGUCAUUUGCAAAAGCAAAAGCAAAUGUAAAUAAAUAGUAUUAACCUAUGUUAAAUGUGACAAAAACUGAAUUAAGGGAUCCAAAAGAUUAAAAAACACAUGUAAAUUCAACUCUUAGUUGGUGUUGGACUCACUAAAUAUCAUUUAAAAUUGAUUUACGUUUUAAAUAAAUUGAUUGUGUAUCAAAUUAUUGUGUAUAAUGUUUUAUAAAACAUCACAAAGGCAUUUUACAAUUCUAAAAUUUUGCAUUCCCUGAAUAAUAAAAGAUGAUAGUGGAGAGCCAACUUUCUUCGCUAAUAACAUCAGAUUACAUUAUGGUUACACUUUCCAUUUAUGUUUGAAUUUGUUAACCUUAACUUGUGUCCAAAUCUACUCCAAUAUAUAUGCAUCUUGAAUAUUGUAAGAGAAUCAAUUCGUCUCUUAGACUAUCUUCACUAGAUCCAAAGUUUCUCUCGGAAUAUGGUUGAAUUAUUCAUUUUCCAUAUUACCUACAUGGUACAUGUCAUUGUCAUAUAAAAAAUCCUCAAUUCCGUUGUGAUGUCACGAGUAUAAUCUUGUUAGAGAAUUAGUUCAUCAUGGUUCAUUGUUUGCUGAUUAACAUAUAACAUCAUGCCCAUAAUCGUUUUGGAAAUACACCACAUUAAUUUUCAACUAACUUUCUUGACAUUGCCUUAAGUCAAUUUCUCACAAAUCAUAAGCAGUGGCAAAUCCUAAAAUUAAGUUUUGGGGGCUCUAGUAAAAUUUUUAAAAAUUUUAAGAGUUUAAUAAGAAUUUUUUUAAAAAAUAGGGUUUAAUUAAAUUUUUAUGAGAUUAAUAAGAAUUUUAAGAGUUUAAUUAUUUUUAAGAAAAAAAUUAAAUGGUAUAGUGAGAAUUUAAAAAAAUUAAAUAAUUAAAAUCUUCUAAAAAUUAGAAAAAAAAAUUUCCAAAACUUUGGAGUCUUAGGCACUUAUAACGUUCCACCCCUAAUCAUGAGUCACUUGCACAUCAAAAUGAGCAAUGUGAAGGAUAAGCUUAGUUGGUAGGCAAACAUCAUUUAAUGGAAUUGGUUAGACUAGCUACAAAACUGGAAUCAAACUCUAUACUUGAAUCUGACUCUAUGCUGAAGUCUAACUUUAGGCUGAGAUCUUUAUAAGAUUGAACUUGCUAUAGGUGUUGAUUAGCCUAGAAUUCAUACCUCAUAGAUUGGAACGAAUUAGUGACCCUUAUGCGUGCUUGAAAGUGAGUGAAAUUAGCAACAUGUAUGGAAUUGUACUGGUUAAGCUUGGAAAGAAGUUAUAUAAUGUGAGCGUUGAUAAGUCAUAUCCAAAGUCUCAAUAUAUAAUUUCUAUCUACACCUUCAAGAUACGUUUAUCAUAGUAGGCAUUUGUCCACAAUAGAUUAAAUAACCAAUCAUACCACAAUAAAAGUAAAGUUUAUUAAUCAUUUCGUAAUCAAACUUCACUCAUGUAACAAUUUCAUCAUCUUCUUGCAUAGCACAGCCUGGUAUUAAAGAUUCUAACGAACAAAAUCAACCCAUAUAACUUUCCCGACAAAUUAGAUAAGAUGAACAAUGAAAAAUAGAGGUUGAUAUUCUAACCAAAAAAAAACCCAAAGUUGCAUCGAAAUAUAAACAUAUGAAAACUAAGUGUGUACCUAAAGUAUAAUUUGGUGUCCAUCUAGUGAUCAUAAAAAGAGCACUCUUUAUUCUCAACAUGCUACCCAUAAUUGUAAGUUCUUAUUUUACUUGACAUUUCUUGUAAAUGAGCAUUGGAAAACCAUUUAACAAUCAUGUAAAUAGUUGAUAAUACAAUGGCUCCAAAAAUCUUGACUUACUAGCUCAUCCCAGUCAUAAUUGAUGCUUAAUAUGAUUUUUUUAUAUGGUUAAGUAUAGGGGUCAGCACUCGAUCGAAUCGAGUGAAAAGAUAUUUGAGUUAAUCUAGUUGGUAAGUAUUAUUUUAUCAUCUUAACUUAUUUUGAAAAAAAUUUCGAAUCAAGUUGAGUGAAACAAAAUUCGAGUCAAGUCAAGUUGAAUCGAGUGUAAUUAAAAAAUUAAACAUAUCAAAUUAAAAUUUUAUUACAGUAUAACUAAUUUCAUAUUAAAACACAUAAAUUUGAAACUACAUAUAUUUGAAAACUUUUUCAAAGCAAAAUAAUAAAAAAAAUACUUAUAAACUUAAAUAAUUAAUUAACUUAUUUAGGUCUCAAAAUUAUUAAAAAUUAUUUUGAUUUUUAUUGUAAUUUUUGUUGAGAGAUAAAUUUGUUCAUUUUCAAACUUGACAGAGACCAAAAGAGCAUUUACACCAAUCUUUUCUUUGAAUUGCAAAAUUUAAUUCGAUUCGAACUCGAAACUCAAAUUAUUUAUUCGAAUUGACUUGAAUAACUCGAUUCGAUUAACUUAAAAUUUAAAAUUUUUUUCGAUUUAUCAAGUUUUGUUAACCCCUCCUUAUUAACAAUGUGAUAGACGUUUUGUAUUCAAAUUUGCAUACUAGGGUUGAGGAAGAAAAAAAAAGCAAAGAAAUAAAAAAUUAUUAAAAUGAUGGAAUUUGGACGAUUUUUGAAAUAUAAGUUUAAGAAUUAUGAUUAUUUGAAUAGAAUUAAAUUUUAUUUUUUAUUUAAUUUAUAAUUAAUUAUAUUUUUAUGAUAAAAAUUAUAUGUAAAAUAGUGAAUAUAAUUUUAAAGUCAUAUAUAAAAUUUAUUUUUUUAAAAAAAUUUGUAAGAGUUAUUGAUUAUUUUUAUUUACUUGAAAUUUAUUUUUUUUAAAAUAUUUAUAAGAGUUAUUGAUUAUUUUUAUUUACUUGAAAUUUUAUUUUUUUUAAAAUAUUUAUAACAGAUAUUUUAAAAUUUUAUCAAAUAAUAUCUAAAAAUCAUAAAACAAAACUCAUUUUAUAAAAAUAAAUUCAAAACCCCAAAAUCUAUUAUAAAAAAUAAAAAAUUAGAUAGAAACAAAUCAAACCAUCAAUCUAACCCAACUCACUCCUAUUAUGUACAUCCAAGAAUGGAUCUAGCUAGGCAGGCAAAAGUUUUUGAGCCCCUAAAAUGAUUUUAUUUAUUUAUUUAUGUCAUUUAUAAUUUAUAAAUUUUAAAUUAGUAAUAGUAAAACUAUAACUUUGAUUUAUAAAAAAUAAUAAAAAUUUGAUUUAAUCAUUUAAAAAUUAUAAAAUUAUAGACUAUUAAAAUAAUAAAAUUAUACUUUUUUAGUCUCGUGAAAAAAUGCUGGCUUUUUUUAUUGGUCGUCUACAAUUGGACUCUUUUUGGGCACAUUUGGGAUUAGCAAAGCCCAUCAAUGUCCACUUGAAACUAUAAACCAUAUUUGGAUAGACAUUUGUGCGUGACCAAAAAAUUAUGUCAAUUAUAAGAUGAUUUAUAAAUAUUUGGUUUCAAAAAUUAAUUUGAGAAGAUAUAUAAUAUUUAUAAUGUUAAAAUAUUAUUACUAAAUGAAAUUCAUAUAAUAAUUAGUUUCUUAUCGCUCGCAAUGUAGAAGCUUAAUAUAAAUAAUAUUAAAUUUAAUUUUUAAAAAUUUAUUACAAAAUUUAUAACUCUUAAAUGUAUAGUUUGUAUUAUGAUUAGGAUAAACUAAAAGAAUAGUCACCUAAUAAUGAGAGUAUUUCUAUUUUAUUUAUCCAAUUAGAAAAAUUUUAAUUUAGUCAUUAAUAUUUUUAAACUUUAAAUUUUUUAUCAUUUUUCCGCUAAGUCAUUAAUCGUAAGUCAACCAUUAUAAUUUUUUUAUUGAUAUAAUAAUAAUAAUUUUAGUCUUUUAAAUUUAUACAUUUUAUCAAUUUAUUUUUAAAUCUAAAAAUUCAAAAAAUAUAUAAAAUAUUUUUGAAAAAAAUUUAAAAAUCCCAUUUUUAUAAACAUGAAAUAUCUUAUCCUUGUAGUUUUCAUUUAAUAUAAAAUAGAAAACUUUGAGCUUGUUUUUUGGAUUGGUGUUUCUUUUUCUGAAUUUGUUAAACGUGCCAUAGUGGAGGAAUUGACGGGAUUUGGAGCAAGAGUGCACACAUGUUCACGGAAUGAAAAUGAGCUUAACAAAUGCUUGGUAGAUUGGAAAAGUUCAGGCAUUUAAGUUUCUGGUUCUAUCUGCGACGUAUCCAUUAGAGCACAAAGAGAGAGUUUAACCGAAAAUGUUAAGUUUUGUAUUCUACGCAAUUGAUCUGGACUGUUGUCAAUAAUUAAAUGUGUUAUUUUUAUGUUGGGAUUUUGUCUUUAUUUUUCGUGAAAAGUCAUGUACGAUUUAUAAAAGAGUCGUUUUUAUUGAUGAAGAUCAAUACCCAUAGGACUUAGGAUAAAUAUUAGUAUUAGAUGUGUGAAUAAUUGUAGAGAUAUCUACGUACAUUGUAACUCGAAUAAUCUAUCCUGACAUUUAAGGUGCUUAAUUAUAUGAAUUGAAAAUAAUUAUAUAAAUUAAAAAUUACAUAUUCAUUAACUAAAAUUUUAAAUAUAAUAAUAAAAUUUGUCAAAAUAUAAUUUUAAGCAUUAUAUCGAUUUAAAUAACUAAAAAUAUUAUUUUGACAAAUUAUUACGUAGACUGGAAAUGGCAAUAUUAAACUAAGGCUUAGUUUGGAUGGGCGGUGUGUUUACCUCCGGUGAGAUUAAAAAUAGCGAUGGCGGUGAGAUUAGUUGCUGUAACGGUGAGAUUAGAUACUGUAGCGAUGAUAUUAGAAACAAUAGUGGAGUUUGUGUUUGGAUUCAAACAUAUAGCUGUAGCGGUGAGGUGAGAAUAAAAAAUGACUAUUAAGAACAUCAGAUUAGAAUUGAUAUAUAAUAGAAAUUUUUUAAAUUAUUUUACUUUUUUAAAAUUAUUAAAAUAUGUGAAUUUAUAAAUUCAUUUAAUAAAAUAUUAAAAAUGUAUCUUCUAAUAUUUUAUUAUAAAUAUUUUAAUGAAUUAUAUAAUCAACUUAAAUUAUUUAUUAGAUAAAAUGAUAAUUAUUUUUAAAUCAAAAUAAUUAAAAAUAUGUGAAUUUAUAAAUUCAUUUAAUAAAUAUUAAAAUGUAUCUUUCAAUAUUUUACUAUAUAAAGUAAAAAAAUUAACAUUUUUAAAUCAAAAUAAUUAAAAUUUAAAAUAAAUAAUCUAAAAGUAGUUAAUUUACUGAAUAGUAAAUUAAAAUUUCUUUUGAUAAUAAUGUAUAUUAGUUUCUUAUAAAAUAAUGGGGAAAAUGUUUAUUAUUUUAAAUUAAUAAAAUUAUCUCACAAUGAAAAUACAAAAUUAUUGAAGUAGAAGGUAAAAUAAAGAAAGAGACCAAAAAAAAAAAAAGGAAGAGUAAAAUGGAGAAAAAAUAAGAGUAAGCGUGUAAAAGGAAAAAAUGACCACCAAUGAGAUGUUGGAAUAUUUGACUGGAGCAUAAAGCUCCAGUGGAGAAAUUGGUAUUCAGUGUGUUGAGUGAUGCUCCAAUUGUUUUGUUCUUUACAAUUCAAACAGAUUGGUACGAUGCGAUUUAGUUAAAAAAUAUUUCAAAUGCACUGAAAUGACAUCAAACGGACAUCCAAAGGUAGCUUAAAAGAUUACUAAACUAAGACACAAAUGAAUGAACUUUGUAAAAGCUCGACUGUCAAACAAAUGUAACGAAUAAAUAGCAUGAAAUCAUAAAAUAGGGAUUAAAACAUCAUGUUCUCAUCAAUAACUAAACCAUAAAUUAAUAUUCCCCAUGCAUGAAAUAACGAUACUCGUGUCAUUCUAUUCUCGGACGGUGACCUACGCGUACAUAACUUGUUCUCUAGCUCCGCCAGAUAACCCACCGCGUGUCAUUCUCGAAGGUCACCUGUCAAGCGUCACUGAUUAACCCCCACCUUUUUAUAUUUCCCGUCGUGAUUCGAGCUGAGCCCAAACAAACCACUAUAUAUAUGCUUAUUAAGAAACUGGAACUCCCAGGAUACUCUGGUUAAGAGCUUAACAGUUUAACUUCUUCAGUCAACGUCAGCAGUUUAAACCAAGAAAAAGAAGAAGAAACCAUGGCUUCCCAACAGGAAAGAGAUGAGCUUGAUCGUAGGGCAAGGGAAGGAAAGACCGUCGUCCCUGGUGGAACCGGUGGCAAAAGCGUUGAAGCUCAAGAAAACCUUGCUGGAGGUAAUUAAUAUAAUUAACAAUGAUUCUUUAUUAUUAUUAUUAUCAUUUUUAUGAAUAACUGUUUGCCUAUUAAUGGCUUUUCAUUUGGUGGUGGCGGCAAAGGGAGGAGCCGGGGAGGGCAGGCGAGGAGGGACCAGAUAGGAAGGGAAGGGUAUCAAGAAAUGGGUCGUAAAGGUGGGCUGAGCACCGUCGAGAAGUCGGGCGGAGAACGUGCGGCAGAAGAGGGGAUUCCAAUCAAUGAGGACAAGUUCGCGACGAAGCAGAGGGGCUAAAUAAGUAAAAAAGAAGGAAGAAAUAAAAAUCCAACGUUGUGGGAGGAAAGCAGCGGAUGUUUAUGGGUAGCUAAAACUAAAUUUUAAGGAGGUAUUCGAGUCAUGUCACGUGUGUCAUCAGUCAUGUAGUCGUUAGUAGUAAGUAGCAUGUAAAAUGGAAGUGUUUCAGUGUUUUUCUUUAAAAUAGCUAGGUGGAAAAUGGAGAUGUUUGAUGUCAGUUUAUGCUUCUCUGCAGUUAAAAGCUAACAAUGGAGAUGUUUGAUAUAAGUAAUUAUGACUUCCAUAAUUCAUUUAUGUUGUUUUAACGUAUUUAUCUCUGACAGAUUUGGGAAAGAUUUUAGUUGAGAAUCAGAAAGCUUAAAAAAGUCGAAGCUAUAUAUGAUCUUUUCCACUUAAAAGAAGUUGUCGAGAAAAAAGUAAAAAUGGAGAUGCGGGGUAUCGAUCCCCGUACCUGCAUGCUAAGCGAGCGCUCUACCAUCUGAGCUACAUCCCCAUUUUGGGGGUGCCUUGUUUUAGAAUCCUAGUGGGUGAUACUAGAUGAAUAUAUUUUAACUAAGGUUGGCAAAUCCAUCUUAAAUGAAAAAACCUAUUUAGACUGGUUUCUACCGAAUUGUAAUCGCUUGUUGGGAAAGGAACCAUCAACGGAAGGGCUAAGACUAGAAUGAUCUUAUCAAUUUCGACCUUUUUAACAAGUUUCCAUUUUUUUAGUAUAUGCAUUACAAUGUAAAUGCAGACUAGUAGUAGUAAAACUAAAAAUCAUUUCCAUUCCAUAAAAGCAAUUCUGCAAGAUAUGAUGUUAUAUACAAAAUCUAAAGAAUCAUUUUUCUAUACGAUCUUUUUUUUUUUUUUUUACCUCCUGUUUCUUUGUUUUUGGAACUGCGAGACAUGGUGACAAAAAUGGAGAGAAUUCACAUGGUGGGUGGGUCUCAAAUCAGAUGACGUGACAGCAGCAGCCCAUUGUUGGAGGAGAAAGUGCUUCGCGAGAUGAAACUAUGUUUGAGGGAGGACACUGAAGCUGAGGUAGGGUCCUAAAGGAAAGCUCAUGUGUAGUGCUUGAUGAUGCAACAGGAGCACUGCUUGAUGACGCAAUGGCAGGGACAAGAGAAGGGCAAAGCUGUUCCAGUGCCGAUAAAACCUUGCGCAUUCGCGGUCGUUGGGCCCUUUCACCUACGCACUCCGAUGCAAUGAGCACAACUUCAUAAGCUUCCUCGUGGGAGUACUCCCUUAACUUGGUAUCCAUGAUUUUGUCCAACAGGUGUCUACUGCCAAUAUUCGGUUGUGCCCACUCCACUAUGUUGUCCUCUAUACCAGAUUCUGUUUGUUGGACAGCACGGCGGCCGGAAACCAGUUCGAGUAAUAGGACUCCAAAGCUAUAGACAUCUAUUGCUGAAGUUAGCUGAUCUGCACAACAUUGCAAGAGAGCUAAUUCAUUCAUUCAAUACUUGUUACUUGGUUACGAAGGAAGCAAUGUGCUAUUAUCAAUUCCAUAAGAACCAAAAUCAGAGCUUGUGGUAAACAAAGAUUGGAUAAAAGAGGCAAACACAUUAACCUGUAGCAAGAUAUUCAGGGGCAAGAUAUCCUUCAAUACCGGAAGCUCGGGUUCGAAAAAUUGGAUCAGUGAGAGAUGGAUCAACGCCAGGAAUGAUUUUUGCGUAGCCGAAAUCCGAAAGUUUUGCAUUGAAGGCCUGCAACAAUAUGUGUCAGUGACUGAUACAACUGCUAAUGCCAUGAUCAACCAUGAAUGUUGCUAUCAUGUUACCAUUAGCAUACAUACCGAAUCUAGUAGGACAUUCGCUGCCUUUAAAUCUCGGAAUAUAAUUCGUUGACCAUGUAAGAAAGAAAGGCCUCUAGCAACAUCCAUGGCAAUUCUGACCCUUGUUUCCCACGACAAUGGUAAACGCUCAGGUAUGAAAAGAUGAUCCUCCAAGCUUCCGUUAGGUAGAUACUCACAGACCAAAAGCCUAUGUUCCUCUUCCAAGCAAUAACCAAUAAGCUUGACCAGAUUCGAAUGAACAUGGCGACCGAGGUCAUUAACUACGCUCUACAGUCGAUGCAAAUCGAUACAUGAGGCAAAGAAUAAAUUUUCAAACAAAGUUACCAUGAUGAAGGAAGUAACCUACCAGCAACUCAUCAUGAGUCAGAUUGCUGCCGGUUCUAAGCCGCUUCACAGCAACGGGUGUUCCAGUUGCAAGGCUUGCAGCUCUACAGGUCCGCUCAUCAAUGUACCCCAUGAAAACAUGACUGGACCCGCCGUCCCCAAGGCGAUUCGCCAAAGCGAAGUUUCUAGUAGCCUUGUCUAGCUCAGCAUAUGUGAAAACUUUCAGAUUGACGGUUGGAAAAUCACUUUCAGAUGUUAUUUCACUCAGGAGACCGGUUGUAAGUCCUGAAGAGAGAACCAUUUCUACGAGUUAAUAUAAGAUUUAAGGCCAUAUGUAACUAAGUUAUUCACAUCAAAACCGAAGCCUUACACGCCGAAUGAAUAGAUGUGAAACAAGUGGCUAUUUAGCAAGACAAGCAGAUUACUAUAUGAUUGCUCAAAUGUUUAAAAGAGUACUUCAUGUCAUUAGAAGUAUCAAAUUACAUACAUGCCUUUUGAGUCAAUUUCAAGUGAUAAACAAAUACAGAACAAGCCAAAAUGCCUUCUUUUCAAGGAAACAUAUAGUAUAAGUGAUUAACAAAAGGCUCGACAUGUCUACCUGAAAUCAAGUAAUCCACAAAGAUUAAGAACUAUUGCAUGAAAUGGAAGAACCCAAUCAAAACAAUAGCUUAAGUUAAUGGAAUGGAAGGUAACAAGUGAAAAGAAAGAUGGCAUGAAAUGGAAAAAACCCCAUCAAAACAACACCUAAAGUUAAAUGAAACCUUCCAAGAUAACAAGAAAAAGAGAAGACAAUGUCAUGGAAUGAGAACCCCCCCCCCCCAACAACACACACACAAAGAUAAAGAACUGUUGCAUGAAAUGAAAGAACCCCAUCAAAACAUAACAAUAGCUUAAGUUAAUGGAAAACCUUUCAGGAUAACACGUGAAAAGAAAGAUGGCAUGAAAUGGAAAGAACCCCAUCAAAACAAUACCUAAAGUUAAUGGAAACCUUUCAAGAUAACAAGAAAAAGAGAAGACAAUGGCAUGGAAUGGGAAAACCCCCCAUUAAAACAUUAUCUGAAGUAAAAGAAACCUUCCAAGGAAACAAGAAAGGAACAAAAAGAAACCAUUGCAUGAAAUGAAAAAUAUCCAACUGAAAACAUUGCCUGAAUUAAAUGAAACCUUCCAAGAAAGCAAGAAAGGAACAAAAAGAACGAUUGAAAGAAACGCCAUUAAUACAUUACCUGAAGUGUCAGGGUUAUUUUGCGCAGUAGGCCAGAAGUAUUGCAAGCAAUUGCCCAUUGUCACUUCACUCAGUAUCUACCUUUUCCUAUCCUUUGGAAACCAAAAACGAAGAAACAAAGGGAAUAAACUGUAUGUAUUUUGCGUAGAAACGAAAAGAAGAAGCUGAAUGAACAAUGUUAACGUGAACAAGUGCCUGGUAGAGAGGUCUCUGCUUCUUCUUCUUGUUCUUUAGCAUGAAAUCAGAGAAAAAAGGAGGCUUCUUUUUUAUAGAUGGUUAUAUUUUUUGUUAAGACUUUUUCAACCCUGUUAUGGCUGGGUUGUAUUGGAUAUAUUGCGGCUACAAGAAGGGGUAAUUCUGAGGAAUCAGUCAGCUUUCAUUUGCUGCCUGCUAAGCCAGAAUUUUCUUUUUUCAAGAAUUAAUUUGUAAAUUUUUUUUAUAAUUUUUGAAGAAUCAAACUAUAAUUCUAUUAUUUUUGUGUCGCAUUUGCAUAAUAUUAAUGAAUGUUUUUUUUUUAACAAUUGAUAUAAUAUCUUGUGAUUUUAAAUUAAUUUAAAAAAAAAUUGAUAACAACGAAACAGCUAAGCUAAACAGCGAUAACAAGAACUAAAUUAAUUAGUCAAAAUAAUCGUAAUAGGAUGAAGAUCAUCCUUGAGAAGCUCCCUUAUAAAUAAUUUUUAAUUUUUUCUAAACUAGUUUUAUUUUUUAUUAUCACAUUAAUAAAUAUGCUAUAAUUAUUAAACUAAGUUGCUCAACCUAAUAAAUAAUUUAAAAAUCUGUGUAUAUAAACCUAUUUUUAAGUAUGUAAUUGAUAUAUAUUUGAGAGUAAAAAUUAUAGUAUAAAUAUAAGAAAAAUAUUGAAAUAUACCAACAUAGAUAAGCAUGUAGAAUAAGAAUAAUGCAAUCUAUACCAAUAUUAAAUAGGAGAUAUAAUUGUACCAUAUAGAUAUGCAUCCAACACAAGUGUAUCUUCAGAUAAAAGAAAAUUCACAUCAAUAGAAAAUUACAACGAGAUCGUUGAUUAAGUUCACAAUGGCUUCGAUCACAGAAAUUUGAGUAAUGCCAUAACCUUCAACUUGGCUGAAACAUUGAAGAACAAUCCCCCAAAGAGGAAGAAAAUAAAAAAGAAUCAAGAAUAUGAAAUAAUCAAAUCAAUUUUCUUUGUUGUUUUGAUCCAUCUUUCACCUAAUAAUUCAAUAAUAUAUUGAAAUAAGUUAAGACUAAAGCAAAUGAGCAAAUGAAUCCUUUUUUCUUAUGCCACCAUCUGCUCUUGUUGUUCUAUGUACAUUUGCUCCACCCACGAUGGCAAAGUUGCGGUUCCCAUAGGAGUAACAUCUUUCACGAGGGAAUGAACCCAGGACACAUCUGGCUCUUCCAUUUUAGAUGCCAUCAUGUCUGUUGCUCUCACAGCGGGGUGGUUGUUUCUAAACCGGAACGAAGCGGAUUUCCUAAGCUUGUUUAGCUCAUCUCCUUGAAUACCCCAAUCCAGUUUCCCAUUAGGGGAGCUCCAAUCCAAAUUGUUUGAAGACAUUGUGCUUGUCGGAUUAGCAGGUGCAGCAAGUCCGGCAGGGUUGGUCACUGCUCCACGGUCUAUGAAACUCUGGCUCCGUUUUGCAAAUGCUGAAGACCGGGAAUUCAUUACUGCUGCAGCCACUGCAGCUGAUGAGUCAUAACCGAAUGCCGAGGGCUUCCUCACAGGGGAUGAUGUAAGGUUUGUUGGGUAGCUUGAACGUAGUUGGUUCGAGUUCUGGCGUAUUUUAAGUCCAGUUGGAGAUUGCAACUGGGCUUGUAUUCCGGAUUUUAUGGACAGUCCCUUCAAUGGAGACAGUAGGGAAGGAUCGAGAGAUCCAAAUGCAUCAUCGAGAUUAGUAGGCUUCAAAUCCCCGAGACGACCAUAUUCCUUACUCCAGCAAGAUGGGGAGGAGAGACUCGAUAUCUCAUCCAUCAACUGUUGUUGCUGCAAUUGAUUUUCAAGCUCAAGUAACUCCAUUUCCAAAUCAAAAUCUCGGGCACUAAAAGUAGUCUUCAAGCGGCUACCAGGUAGCUGCAAUGCGGGUGGGGUGAGGUUAAAGUUGUUCUGCCACAAGCCUCCAGACUUUGGUGAUGAAGAGGUUGCCAGAGGAGACAUGGGUGGCGUUGAAGUUGUCGGCAUCGGGAAAGAUGAAGAACCAAGUGCUAGAGGACUCAAAGUUGUCAUGUCUACUGCAUUCAUUGCAGCAGACCUCGGAGAAGGCAUUGCUGAUCCAGUGGAAGCAUACACGGGACGUAAUUCUUCAGGUUUGUGAGCAAAGAAACAAACUUUACGAGCACAACCGGUCUCAUCUUUGCAAAGCCGAGUCCGGUACUGAGCAGGAUGAAGCCAGGAUUCGAACACACCAUGAGCAUAUUCACAAGCAUCACCCUUAGGACAUGCCCCCCUUCGGAACUCAGGGCAUGGCACACAACUAUAAGGGUACUUCCUUGGGUCCCUUCUCCUCGCAUUCUCACCAGGAUGAACAAAAGGGCACUCAGUCCAAUCAUGGGAGUACGCCCUCGAGCAAGGCUUCACCUUAAACGUAUACAUCCGGAAGUCAUCGGUCCCAUAUAUCCCGUUGUUGAUAUCAGGCAGUGAUACAUCCAUAGGAUAUUCUCUCUUCUCAGACCCCUCUUUUGGCAACUGAGGCAUCGUUGUCUUAUCGGAUUCUUCUUCCCCCUUAAGAACAUCAUCGCCAUUCAGUAAUAACUCAAUCACCUUUCUUCUAUAAUUGCUUGAAGAUUUUAAACCCGGUACAAUCAGAUCAACAGGUUUGUUCCCAUUAGCAUCUACACAAUUCGCAUCGGCAGAUGCAUCAAGCAACAGCUUGACAAUCUCAACCGAAGAAUCUGCACCACCAGCAACAGCGCAAUGAAGGGCAGUAACCCCAUCACUGCCACAAGCUCUAUUCACAUCAAUCUUGCCACUUCCAAUGAUGUAUUUCAAAAUUUCGAUGCUACCAACCAUGGCCGCGAUCAUCAGAGGCGUCCGCUCUUCAAAUCCCAUCUUUCUCAACCCUAUUCUCCGACCAUACCAGAAGCUCGCUUCCCCGAAAUCCAAACCUUUCUCUUCUACUUCACUUUUGAAGGCUACUAGAUCAUCAGAUGCAGCCAAUUCGAGCAAAAUUGAUUGAGAACUGGCUUUCGGCUCCUGUAAUUCACCUUCCAUGAUGAAACUUGAGGGCUUAUGUUCACUCUUUGAACCACUGCACAUCCCAAAACACGGCCAGGCUAAUUAUUACAUCAACAAGAACUCAGUUUCUCACUAAAUAGCAAUAAUCAAACAAGAGGAAGAUAGUUCUGCUACAUCACAACACAUACAAUUUUUUUUUCGAUUUUUUUUGGAAAAAAAAGGUAAAUUAAAGAAACCCCAAAUCUAGAAUUAUCAGUUCCAUACACUACAAAUCAAAUAAUACAAAAAUUCAAACAUAAAAGAAAGAAAACAGCUAUGUUCUAAAUCAAAAGACUUGGUCUAUUCUAAGACUUCAGCAUCUCAGAACCAAAACUCACAACUUUUGACCAAAAAUCCAAAAACCCAACAAACAAGAACUCAUAAAUUCAAACCAAAGUUCAAGUAUUUUUACCUAUAAGCAGUCUCAGUUGAAGAAGAAGAAAAAAAAAAGGUAUUAGUUGAAAGUAGGUGAGGAGAAGAGUGAGUUUGGCUUAGAAGAAAAUUUGAGGAGAAAAAAGAGCAAGUUGGGGGGGCUUUUAAGGUUUGGGAAAUGGUGUUUGUUUAGUAGGAAAAUGGUAGGAAACUGCGGCUUUCCUUCCCCUCACUUUCUAUAUUAUGGGUCAAAGUCUAAACUUCAAAGGGCAGGCUUUAACUUAUUCUUCUUCAUCUCGAUUCUUCCAUGGCUAUCAUUAUCAUUGAGACAUACAGGGGAAAGGUCCCCUCUUCAUUACUUAAAAUUAAAGAUGAAAUGCAAAUGCAAAACCAAAUGAAAACAUUAUCUAGUUGGAUGUUUUUAAACUCCAAAGCUGAUUGGCCUUAGGUCUUAAUGCGUACGUUAAAGAUUCGCCCUCAGCUCACGCGCUUUGGAAUUUUGUAUACAAUUUAAUUUUAUUAAUUACUUUUUAAUUAUUUUGGAUUUAGAGUUUAUAGUAUAGGUUAACUUGUAAAUUUGAUUAUGGGUAGAGUCGAAAUGAGUUUGAGUAAAAUAUAAGUUCGAAAAAUAAGUUUGGAUAAAAAAUAAAUCUUAUUUUUUAAACGGAUUGGAUCUUGAGUAAAUUUUUUUAUAUUCAGAUCCGACCCGAAUUUGUAAAAAAAAAAAUUGUUAUUGUUUUUUAUUGUUUUGUCAUUAUUUUUUAUUAUUUUACUAUCAUCUUGCUAUUAUAUUACUAUUAUUUUGUUAUUAUUAUUUAUAUAUUAUAUAACUAUUAUUUUAUUAUUAAUUUUGCUAUUAUUUUAAAGAUAUUUGUUUGCUAAGUUGUAUCUAUAUUAAUGUUAUUUUAAUGUUUUUAGUGUAUUUGAUGCGUUAUAUUUUUAAAAUUUAUUUUUAUAUAAAAAAUUUUAAUUCAAGCAGGUCACACUCAGGUUUUAACAUUUUUAUCUAGGUUAGAUUUAGACAAAAUUUUAGAUCCUCAAGCCUAUAAAAUGAGCCUAAAUUUUUUACUUAAUUCAGCCUAACCAUGAUCAGCUUUAUUUAUAUAUUAUAAAUUUCAUUAUUUUAUUUUAUCAUGUAUAUUUAAUAAAACAAAGUAAAUGCACAAACAUUUACCCUUAAAAGGAAAAUGGAUUAUUUCUUUCUGUGUUUUAUAUGAAUUUGUGGAAAAUAAUUUUAUCCAUUACAGAAAAACCACUGAAAAAAAAGUACUAUAUUUAAGCAUUUAUUUUUAAUUAUAAUAUAUUUAGUAUAUAUUUUAAAAGAAUGAUACAUUUAAUUUAAGUAGUCAAAAUUCUUUCAUGAUAAGAAGAAAUGAUUUUAAAGUAUCUUUGCAUUCGCAUUUAAAUUUUUACAACACAUUAAUAAUAAUUUUUAUUAUUUUUAAUACACAAUAUUUUAUUAAUAAUUGAAAAACAGGGCUGACCUUUGAAUUCAGAUUAUUUGUUUGGAAACUUUUACAAAACAUUUAUAAUGUUUGUAGUUGUUAAAUUUAAUUUCUUACUAGAAUUAUCAUGUUUUUUAAAAAAAUAAUUUUUAGUUUAUUAUGAUUACUUUUUUACUCAAAUUAUUAGUCAAAUAUCAAAUGAGUUAAUACAUAAAUCAACUCGUGGAUUGUACAUCAUAAAAAUCUAGUAUAUUUAAUACAAUAAGUUACAUACAUUCAAAUUGUGACAAGUGGCAUAAUUAUAAUUUUUAUUUCUUUUUUUAAUUUUUAAUUAUCCAUUUUUUAAUUAAAAUAUUAUUAUAAAUAUAUCAUCAUUUUUUAAAUAAAAAUAAUUUCAAUUUCAAAUUGUAAUUAAUUUUAUUUUUAUUAAAUUAAAUUAUCAACUAAUUUUAUUGGUUGUAUAAUUUCAUUAAAAUUAUUAUUGUUGACAUUAAAUUUUUUUAAUAUUUUUUUAUUCUACAAGCAAUCUUGAAAAAUUGGUAUGAGUCUUUUUUUUUAAAUAUUUAUUUUUAAUAUUUUGUUAUAUUCUAUAAAACAUUUGUCAACUCCUAAUAUUACUUGUAGAGUUUAAAAACUCCACUAACAAAAUAAUUUAACUUGAAAUAUAUAUUUUAUAAUUAAUUAAAAUCUUCUUUUUUUUUUGUUUUCCGAUAUUCUAUCUUUUUUUUUUCAAUUUUUAAUUAAAAAGUAAUAUAAUAUUCACUUCACAUUUUUUUUCAAAAUUUAAAUAUUAAAUCAUUUGAAAAAUAAAUAUAUUCUACUUUUUUAAAUAUUUAACUUUUUCAUUAUUUAAAUAUUUAAUUAUUUUAAAAGUUGAUAUAAUUUUUCAAAUUUUUUAACAAUUAUUUAAACAAUUAAGGCUUAAUGUAUAAUUUGGUACUUAAAUUUGACAUUUUUAAAAAAGUGAUACUUAUGUUAAUUUUUUAUCAAAUAUAAUACAUGUAUUUAACAAAAUUAUACAUUUUGGUACUUGAAGUCCAAAGAUACUAGAAUUUAUAUAAAUCUUAACAAGUAAAUAGUUCAUGUAGUGAGAUUUUAAUAUUUAUAUUUUAUUUAUAUUAUUUUUACAUAAUAUUCUAAUUAUUUUAUCAUAUUUUUCCAUGUCCAAAAUAAUGUUUUAAUCUCAAUAUUUUUUAUGUAAGUAAUUUUACAUGUUUAUUAAAUAAUAUCAAUUUAACUAAUAUUACUCAGAUUAUUGGAUAUAAUAUAAAUAGAUAUAUUAAUUAGUUUUAUAAUUAAAAUAUUACAAUAAUAGAAAGCCUCAAACCAUAAUCUAAUAUAUAUACUAAAGUAAGGUUAGGACACAAUUUUGAGAAUUUUAAGUUUCAAAUGAGUUCUGUAUGUGACAAAUCUCACCAGUAAUUGACUGACAUGUCAGCUUAUUAUUAUAUUAAUUAUGUGGGUUUCAGUGGUCAAUAAAUUGAUUUAUUUAAAUUUCUAUUUCAGUACUAAUUAUUAUGGUGUAAUUUUUAUUAAAGUUUAUUAAUUUAUACAUACAUACAAUUAAGUUCUUAAUUAUUUUUAUUUUUCAUUUUGACCUUAUUAGGAAAAAUUAAUAAAUGCCAUAUAAGGUACAAUAUUAUCAUUUUUACUUUUCGGGUACGCUUUUAGGCCGGAUCAAGAUGACCCGACGAUGAACAAGUAUAAUUAUACCUUAAAUUAGUUUAGAGUUUUUUAUAAUGAUUUGUUCAAAUAAUUAACAAUCACUUUCAUACCAACCUUAAAAGUGGGAAAGUUUAGGCAAAAAAAAAGGCCCAUUUAGAAAAUAAGUCAAACCUCGGGUAAGAAUUUUUGGGCUUGAGCCCUAUUUGACUUUGCAAAAAAUAAACCCUGUUGUUUUCCACUAUCUUCUUGUUGUUUUCCCACUGUUUUGCUGUCAUUUCACUAUUAUGUUGUUAUUGUUUAGAUAUUGUAUAAUUAUUAUUUUAUUGUUAAUUUUACUAUUAGUUUAAAACCAAUUGCUUAUUAAGUUGCACAUAUCUUAUUGUUAUUUAAGUAUAAAUAUUUUUUUAUAAAAAUAUUUUCAAUUUGUUAGGAAACAUUUAUUUUAAUGGUUUUAGUGUUUUUGAUGUAUUAAAUUUUUUUAAACUUUUUAAAUAAAAAAUUAAUAUAAGAGGGCUAAACCGAAAUUUUAGCAUUUUUAUUCAGGUCAGGCUUGAGAAAAAAUUUAAGCCCAUUUUUCAUCAAUUGUGUAAUGACCCAAACUUUACAGUUAUCGGAAAAGUGUAUUUUCGGGUCUCCAUUUCUGAAAAAUGGACUCGUAAAUAUUUAUUAAAAAUAUUUAUGAAGUCAAGUGAGUGGUUAAUUAGAGUUUAAUGAAGUGAAUUAGCUUAAAUUAAGGAUAAUUAGAUAAAAGGAUUAAAUUGAAUAAAAUGUGAAAGUUUAAUUGUAGAUUAAAAGAAAAUCAAAAGGACCAAAAUAGAAAUUAUGCCAUUUGUCCUAAGGCGACAAAUGCAUAAAAAUCUUUGAUUUUUAUGCAUAAAUAUGUAUAAUAAAUAAUUAUUAUUAUGAUUUUAUAAUUGAUAUUUAUUAAUGUUAUUAUUAAUUGAAUUUAUAUUAUAUUAUGAAAUAAAUUAAAUAAAGAUAUGUGUAUGGUAAUGAUUUGAUACAAAUGUGUUAAUAAAAAUACAUACAUUUAGAAUACAUGUAUUUGAUAUUAAAUAGAUAUUUAUUAUUUAAAAAAAGAUAUUUAUUAAUUAAGUAAUUAUAUUAUAAGAUAUUUAUAUGAUAAAUAAAUAAAAGUAAGACAAAUGUAUGGUGCAUAUGGAGACAUGUGUGAUACUAAUAUACAUACAUUUAUAAAAUACAUGUAUACUUACUUAUUAUAUAGGUAUAUUAUUAAAUUAUAUAUAUUAUUAUUAAGUAAAAGAUAUUUAUAUAAUAAAUAAAUAAAAAGAAGACAAGUGUAAUAAUAUAUAUCUAUACAAAUGUAAAAUAGAUAUUGGAUAUUAAAUAGAUAUUUUAUAAUUAUUAUUGUUAUAUUAUAUUAUAUUAUAUUAUAUAUAUAUAUCAACGAAAGUAAAAGAAAUAAAAAAAAUCAGAAUGAACAACGAAAAUAGAGAAGGGAAAAAAAGAAGAAAAAGAGAAAGAGAGAAAAGGAGGGAUUGAAGUUUUGAAGCUUUAAACUUUAAUAGGUAAGUUAAUUUAGCCAUUUUUAUUUAAUUUUUAUGUUUUAGAAGUUUUGGAAUAAGAUUUUGAUGAAAUUAAGUUGAUAUUUUGAAAGUUAUUAGAUUUCUAGAUAAUGUUCAUGUUGAGUAAAAUGAUGAAAUAAGGGUUAAAUUGAUAGAAAUUCAAGUUAGAAAUGAAAUAAGGAUUGAAUUGUAAAGUAAUUCAUAAGUUUUAUGUUGAAGGGCUAAUUUGAGGAAAUUUCAAAACUAUUGAAAUAAGCUGAAAAUUUAGUAGUUAAAUUUGAGUUUGGAUGGAACUUGAAUAGAAAUAGAGUAUGAAUUAAGUUAGUAAAGUGAAUGAAUUAGUUAGGACCUAAUUGAAAAUAAGGUGUAAAUUGAAUAGAAAUUCAAUUAUUUGUUAUAAUGAGUGCUGAAAAUUAAUGGUAUAAUUAUUUUAAUUCCCGUAGCUAAUGUUGUCUCAGGAAAUCUCGGCUAAGUAAGGAAAAAGACAAAGACAACGGGAGUUAGCUUGGAAAUUACGGUUUGUAUAUCUAUAAUCCGAACUUAAUACUUAAAUUGUUGGAUUUAUUAUUUAAUAUAUAUAUAUAUAGUAGGUGUUUUGAUAUGAUUAUUUGAAUUGGAUUGAAUAUUGAUUAUAUUGAAUUGAUUUAUGAAUAUAUGUGAAUGUUUGAAUUGAAAUGAAUAUUGAUGUGGAAAUUGAAUAAUAAAUAUUUGUUAUAUUGGAAAAUAUAUGUAUUUGGAAGUGUGAUGAAAUUGAUAGAAAAAUGUGAUUAUUGUGAAAUUGAUUAUUUGUUAUUGAAAAAUGAAUUGAGUUAUAUUGAAUUGGGAAUAAAUGUGAUUGUUGAAGUGUAUAAUGAUUGGAAACUGGAAAGUGAAUUGGAAACCCUAUUAACAGUAUCGGGCCAGGUUGGAUAUAGUUGGCAUGCCAUAGGAUUGGAAGAGUUCAGGGAUAUUUUGACCUCGAGUCGAUGAGACACUGGGUGUCACUAUAUUUCUUCGGAUAGAUUUGAUGACGUACUGGGUACCACUUUACUUCGGCUAGGCCGAUGAGACACUGGGUGUCACUAUAUUGCUUUGAACUAUCUGAUAAGACACUGGGUGCCAUUCUGGUGUGUUUGGUUGGAUCUGUGUAUCCGUUUGAGUCCGAGUCAUGUUAAUAGGGGUUAUUAAAUAUAACAGUGAUCAGAUUGAUACUGAAUGAAGAAUUGAAAUGUGGACUGAAACACACGAAUCGUAUUAUAUAGUGAAAGCUAUCUGGGAUAACAAGUUGAUUUAAUAUGAAUGGUAAUGACUGUUAUUGAAAUGGAUAUGUACAGAACACUGAUUGAAAAGUGAAUAGUUGAAUAUAGUUUAUUGAUAUUAAACAGUGAACUAAAGUAUGAUUGAGACAAAUGAAUUAUGUAGCUCUGGAUUGGAUAAAAGUAAAUAUUAUCUAUGAAUAAAUCAUGGAAAGCUAUAUAGGUUAGUAAGUGAAAAGAAUGAAAUAAGUUACAAUAAAUUUAUCUAUGAAUUAAAUAAUUGAAUAGUUAUGAUUGUUAUAUGAUUUUAAUUUGUUAUAUUUUUAUUUUAUUAAGUGUUUGGAUUAUAGAAAUACCACUGAGUAUACCCAUACGUAUCGUAUGGUUUAUUUCCAUGCGCAGGUUAAGUUAAAGUGAGAAUGUCGAAUCAGCAUCCCAGGCCGAUCCCGAAUUCAACGAGGUAAAACGUGUUAAUUGUUGAUAAUGGCAUGUGUAAUAGCCCAAAAUUGGGUCUAGUUGGAACAGAGGUUUCGGGACCAAAAAAUAUGAGAUAAAAAUAAUUAUUUUAUGAUUAUUUUGAGGUCUAUAAUAUGAUUGCAUGAUUGUGUGAAAAUUUCGUGAAGAAAUUCUAUGUAUAAAAUGCUCAAUUUGAAGUUAGGGACUAAAUAGAAUAAGUUGCAAAACUUUCAUUCUAGAAGUUUCUAGUAUGAAAUUGCUUUGAAAUAUUAAUUAGGAGGUCUUAAAUAGGGAUUUGACCAAUUUCUAAGUGAUGGACAAAAAUUGGACAUGGAUGGAAUUUUUGAAAGUUUAGUAAGGAAGGGCAUUUUGAUCAUUUGGUAAUUAAAAGAAAUAAAAAGGGAAAAUAAAGCCAAAAUUUACUCAUCUUUUUCAUGGAGGCCGAAAUUAGCAUGGGGGAAACCAUGGCUAGGGUUUUCAAGCUUUCCAAGCUCAAUAGUAAGUCCGUUCAAACCCCGUUUUUCAAGUUCUUUACGUUUUUGGAAUCCCGGUAAUUUGAUUAAGCUUAUUCUAGCAAUAAUUUAAGCUAGGGUUCAUAUUUGGAAAAAUAACCAUAGGUGAAAUGUGUUUAUUUUGCUGUUUUAUGAUAGAAUAUGAGGUUUUAAAUUAUGUUAGACAACUUGUGCUACUCGGUUUUGAGUGAAAACAAGUAAAAGGGCUUAAUCGGUAAAAAUACCUAAUAGUCAUAAGUAUAUGUUAGAGUGAGAAUUUGAUGUUGCCAUAGAAGGGAAAAGUGAUCAGCAUGUCAUAAAACAUAAGAAUAAGGGAUGAAGUUUAAUUCCCGAGCCUAAGGGAAAAAGUGUAAAUAUGUAAAAGUUUAGGGGCAAAAUUGUAAUUUUUCAAAAGUUUGAGUUAAGGACUGUUUUGAAUAGUAAAUUAAUUAAAUAAGUAAAAUAUGAUGUUUUAGAUCCCAGAAAAUGAGAUUUAAACCUAGAAUGAGAGAAAAAUCGAAAAUUAGGAAAGUUGGUAAAAUGAUCGUUUUAGUAUCGAGGUAAGUUCAUAUGUAUAAUAAGCAUUAAUUUAUGCAUGUUUCAAUGUAAAAUUGAUAUAUUUAUUAUAAUUUUCGAGGUGUUGAAAGUAUGUAAGUUGGUAUGAUAAUAAUACAGCAAUAAUGCUGUAAUUUAUAUUUGAAAGUUAAAUUUAGUGAAUUAAUUGAAUUAUGUUAAAUUAAAUGAUUAUGGUGCCAAGUUUAUGAAUUGAUUUAAAAAUAUGUCUAUGGUACAUGAAGUGCAUUGAAUUAUCAUACAUAAAUGUGAUUUCUAUGAUUAUGGAUAUUAUGGGACAUUGUAAGUUCAUAUGAUUUUUAAUAAGGCAAUGUGUAAUUUAAUGUUAUUGCCUUGAUAUUAAAUGAGAUGUAAGUUUAUAUGUAAGUAAUACAUCAAUAUUACUUGUAUUAUGAUAUUUUAUAAUAAUAUUGGAAAUAUGUUUGUGGAUAAUUACUUUAUUGGUGAAAUUGUUGGAAAAGAGAGAGAAAUCUCGGUUGAACCUUCGGAAAGAUUGGAUAUAUGUAGCUAGGUCACAUGUAUGGUGCUGAGUGCACAUCAUGUGUACAAGAGAGCUACAAGACAUUAUGAUGUAGCUAGGUCGCAUGGGUGAUACUAUGUGUACACCAUGUAGACAAGAGAGCUACGGGAUAUAUGUAGCUAGGUCGCAUGCGUGGCUCCAGGUGAAGGACACCAUGUAAACAAGAGAGCUACGAGAUAAAUUGGCUAGGUCACAUGGGUGGUAUUGAGUGUUUACCAUGUGUACAAGAGAGCCGAUCUCUAUGAUGGGUGGAGCUAUGUGCUGAAACCACAAAGUAUCGAGGAUUGAUCCGAAGUGUUCAACGGGAGAAUCUCUAUGUAUUGCUUUGUGAGUUUUGUGAUGAAUAAGUGCAUGAACUUGGUUAUGUGAAUGAUAUGUUCAUUAAGUGACCAGGAUGUGGUAAGGUUAUAAACAAGUAAGUUAUACAUGAGAAUGAUUUUAUGGUGACCUUGUGAUCAUGGGCUUAUACUUGUGAUGUAUGAAAUGUGGUGAAAAUGAUUUGUGAUAUGUAUGUUAAAAUGAGGUUAAUACAAAGAAAGUGUGAAAGAGUGAAUUAGCAAUAAAACUGUUUGGACAGUAGCAGUAACAUGAUUUUGAAAAAUCACCAAAAAUAGUAGAAAUUGAAUCAGAGACUGAAUGAGAUAUUAAAUUAAAGCUUAAUGAGUCUAUUUUCAUAUAAAAGAAACAGAGCAAGAAAAGGAGUUCUAUAUUUUGAUAUAUUUAUGUUUUUGUGAGACUGGUUUAGAAUGAUUACGUGAUCCCCUGUUUUGACUUUGGAAAAUCACAAAAAAUUGGAUAAAAAUAAUUAGAGGCUUAAAAUUAUAUUUUUAAAAUUCCUAAUAAGUCUAUUUUCAAUAUAAAUCAACAAGAACAUUAUCCGAUUCUGUAUUGUGAGAUAAUUAAUUUUUAGUGAAGAGAGGCCAGAACUGUCAGAAUGUGAAAUAGGGGAAAUUUUAAUGAAUAAACUGUACUAAUUGGCUAAACCAAAAAUUAUGAAAAUUUUAUGGUACAAAGAUAUGUGAGUCUAGUUUCAGGAGAAAUUUACGGAUCUUAAUUUGGAGCUUUGUACCUCGAAUUAUAAAUAAGUAAGUGACUAUGACUUGUAUGGAUAGUUUGAUUUGAGCAUUUAUUAGUAAAUUGUGAAAUCGUACUUACAAGAAUGCUAUAUACGUUAAGGAUGUGGAAUGGAGAGGAGGAGGAGGAAAAUAAAUAUAUGUUGAAUACAUGGAAACUAUGGUAUAUGAAAUAUUGAUAUAAUGAAAUAAAUGAUAUGUGUUUAUAAGAAAACAGAAAGAGAAUGAUAUAUAUCAUGACAUGUGUAUAUAUAUAUAUGACUAGUUUCAAUGUAAUGCUUGUAGAGUAUGGAGUUGAAUUUAAAUGUUUUAGGCAAACAUGUUAUUUGCGCAUCUGAAUUGUGUUAUUUUAUAAAGAUAUGAUCUAGUUUUAAAUAUGAAUGCUUGAUGAUUAAGCUGAAGAUAUUUGGUAAGAUGAUAUUCUUGGUAUAAAUGUAUAAGUGGUACUAUAAUAAACAAGGUAAAAUGAGUAUGAGAGACACAUGUAUGAUGAUAUAAAAAUGCUAUGUUUGUGGUUUAAUUGAGAAUAUUGAAUUAUUAAAUGAAUACCAUGUUAUAUGCUUUUGAUUUUGUAUAAGUGUGUAAGAGAUUAAGGUUGACCAAAGCUUGGAAAAUAGCCCAGGUAUAUUCCACACAGGCAGAGACACGACCAUGUGUCUCAGUCGUGUAUGGAACAUGACUUUGGGACACGGGCGUGUGGAGCCUUAAAGCAUGAAAUUUUCAAGAUUUUCGUAAGUUCUCGGUUUAGUCCCGAACCCUUUCUGAAGUAUGUUUUGGGCUUCGUAGACUCAAAUAAGAGACUAUGUGUAAGUGAAUGAAUGUUUUGAAAUAUGAAUGAAAUUUUAUGUCCCGUAUUUUAGUUUAAUGUUUGUAUGUUUGUCCGGUAACGCCUCGUACCUUAGCCCGGCCUCGGGUACAGGUAAGGGGUGUUACAUUUAGUGGUAUCAGAGCAGGUUUAGUCGAUUCUCGGACUAACAUAGCAAGUGUGAGAGUUUAGUUAUACAUGCCACAAAUAUGUGAUAGUGUGAUGUCUCCCGACACUAAUGAGGACCAUUUUGUUUAAAAUGAAGUAUUCUCCAACCGAGCUACAUCUGACCAUUUAAUAGUAAUAUUAAAGUAUUUGAAUAAAGUGUAGCUAUGAUGUGUUAAACUCGGGAAGGUAUGAAUAAGAAUUCGUGAUAUAUGUAUAUGUGAUAAUAUGUCAGAUGAAAGUUUAUAUAGUGAUAUAUUUAUUCAUAUUUGUUUGGCCUACAUAUGCUGUUGAAUGCUUGACUAAAUUAAUUAGUAAAUGUGAUCACUAAAGUUAUUCAAAAUUCAUAGAAUGUAUGAGUGAGUGCACUUGUUUGAAAUGAGAUAAUUGGAAAUUUUAUGUAAGACAGAUAUGAAUAAUAAAUUGGUUGAAGUGGAUAAUAUGAUUAUAAUGAUAUAUGUGGAUAAUUAAAAAAAUGUGUCAUAUAGAUAUAUGUCAGAAUCGAGUUAGAGACUGUACGACCUCACCCCUUUACCGAUGAGGUGUAUAUAACGGAAAUUCAUGAGAAUCAUGUUGACUAAGUUCCUAAGUGUGGAAUCAAAGUGUUCAGUGAUAAAAUAAUUAUAGAUAUGACCAGAGACUGAGAAUGGUUGACAAGUGAAGGACAGAGUUAGAGAAAUAUCAGAGUUGACUGAGUUAUCUUGGGAUUCAAAUUGACGACAGAGUGUUUCUGAAAGUAUCGUCUUGAAAACAAUUAGUUAGUAUGCUGGAAAUUAUGAGAAAGAUACAAAACUUCACUUCGGUAAGAUUUUCGAGGACGAAAAUCUCAAAAGGGGGGGGAGAGUUGUAAUAGCCCAAAAUUGGGUCUAGUUGGAACAAAGGUUUCGGGACCACAAAAUAUGAGAUAAAAAUAAUUAUUUUAUGAUUAUUUUGAGGUCUAUGAUAUGAUUGCAUGAUUGUGUAAAAUAUAAAAAAACUAUGUCAAAAAAUUAUGGAAAAAGGAAGAAAAUAGAGGGAGAAGCAGAAGAGAAAGGAAAAAGAGAAAAAAAUAGAAAAGUUAAAAAAAUAGAAAUGAAAAAAUUAAAUUGCUUUAAAGGAAAAAAAAAGUGGACCGAUUGUAUAAAUUAACCAAAUUUUUAUUUGAAAUGAUGAUUUAACGUGUCACGUUAACUUACUAUGAUACUAUUAACAGUAAUUUACGACUCAAUGACUAAAAUAUUACAACAUAAUAAUAUAAGUGAGUAAAAAUGUAACAUUAGUUAAAUAAAAAUGACUACUUUAAUAGUUUUCUCGAAAAAAAAAUAAGACGCAAAUAAACGGGCACUGGGUGAAGAGGAAAAGAAAAGGCUGAGUAGGAAACACGUGUUGUGAGUUGCGAGUAGGCUAGGAAAGAGAAGACCCUGGAGUGAGUUGGGGUGGACCAGAAAUAGUGCUAGAUUCCAAGCUGUAACCGAGUCAAUAACGCAAUGGCACGUUUCGCUUCCAUUUUGCUAUAAUUAUAUAAUACGAAAUAAACUAAGUAUACAAUAUUUAAAUAUAUUAAUAGUAAAAAUUUAUUAAACUUUUCAAUGAAUUAAAUUUAAUACAUAAUUUUGGGGUUCAUUUAUAGGAUUUACUAAAUUUUUUUGUUGGAAGGAUUUAAUAAAUUAAUUAAUAGAAAUAAGAUAUGAAGUUUAAUUUAGGAUAAGAUAUCAUAUGUUGGCCUUGACUCAGCCUUCUACUACUUCCCACUAUUUGGAAACACCCAUUUUUAUUUUAAGCACGUGUCAUAUCAUUGAAUUAUAAUCUUGGUUAAAUAAACCAAAUACCAAAUAUGUCAAUUUUCUUUAAUUAACUUGUUUCUUCUUAGAAAAAAAGAUUGUUUUUUUUUUUGAAAAAAUCUGUAAAAGUGCGUCUAACUAAAUGUGUUUUCUUUCAAUGGUCAUUUUCUUAACGAUUUUUUAAACAUUGACAGCUAUAAAAUUUUAUAAAUGACCCAACAAUAUAUUUUUUUUCCUAUAAAUGUCAAUUCAUUUUUCAUUCUUUUUACUCAAAGCCAACUCUCUCUAUUCUCUCUAAACUCUCAAUUUUCUCAAAUUUUGUUCGAAAUUUUGCUAUGCACUUAUUUAAAAAUACUAUAGUUAUAUUUAAUUAUUUAGAAUAUUCAUUUCGAUUAAAUUUUCACGAAUGUCAAGCUUUCUCAUUCGUUUCGACAACAAGCUCAUUUCUGCCACUCAAGCGAUAAUGGUAAGGGGAAAUUUUAAUUUUUUUUUAUUUUCAAUUAAGUUAAAGUUAAAUUUUUUAAUUUUUUUUAAAAUUUAAUUAUUUUACUUUGUCGAUAUAAAUAGGUGGAUAAUUUUGUUUUGGAGGGUUUCAUACAUAAGUUAUCAAAAAGCCCAGACACCAAAAUUCGUGGUUGCUUGAAAGAUGAGAGAUUCUUCCAUGCGUCUCGUAUGCUCAGGGGUUGCAAACUCGAUCUUACACUCAUCAGCGCGUUGGUGGAAAGAUGGAGGCCCGAGACACACACUUUCCAUAUUCCAUGCCGUGAGUGUACAAUCACACUCGAGGAGGUAGCUUUACAACUUGGUUUACGGUGGAUGGGUCAGUCAUUAUGAGGUCAGCGGUUGUUCCCGAUAAAGAGGACCUUUGCGAGGCAUUUUUGGGGAAGGUGUCGAACAAGUUUCAAGAUAGUCGAAUAGAUAUAAAAUGGUUGAAGAAUAAUUUCAAAGAACUUUCUAAGGACGUGCCCAAUGCUAUUAAAGAAUAAUACACCCGAACAUUCAUCCUAAGGUUAAUCUAGGGCAUUCAAAUGCUCGAUAAAUCUCGAAAUUUGAUACAUAUAAGGUCGUUACUACACUUAGUUAUGUUGUAGUAGGAGUUGUGUUAGACAACAAAACCGAAUAAGAUGUCAAUCAGUGGUUGCCUGCUCCUACUGCAGUCAUGAACGUGGUGGCGACUACCAUUUCUAUGUCCCUGAGUAAACUGCCCUUAUAUGUUCUCAUUGACGACAAAGUAAAAAUAAUUUGAUAAUAAUAUGUAGUUAAUAUAGUAAAUGUUGUUUAUUUAUUAUAUGUUUGAAUUAACAUAUCGUUUGAAUAGGUGGAACCAUGGGCUAAUUAUGUGGGACUACCAAAGCAGCUCGAAGAUAUCUAGUUGUUGUUAGAUCAAUACUCGAAAGUUGAGGUUAGUUAUUGAUUUUUCAAACCUAUAAUAUUUACAUAAUGAUUUGAAAUUUAAAAUUCCAUACAUAAUAGAAUUUAUAAUUGUGCAUUGAAAUUUGAAUAGAUGUCAUACGCCGAUCCGGAUAUUAUAGAAUGCGUCUCGCCCAAAUUUUUGGCCAUCUAGAGUAUGUGGGAUGCGGGCGUGCCAUUGAUAGGGUACAAUAUGGUGGAGAUGCAUGAAUCAAAUUGAGUGAUGUGACAGUUCGGGUGGAGGUAAAAAUUUCUGCCGCCACCGCGAGACAUGGAAGCACUACACAAGCUUGACUACGGGGGAAGACCAAUAAAAAUUAGCGAGGUUAUCACAAGGAGUUCAUCGACAUUUGGAAUCAUAGGAUGAAAUUCUUACCCAUCUGUAAACCCUUUUUCUUAUCGCACACGAUGACUUGUUUGGAGUACAUGCCUUGGUUUAGAGUCGCCGACAAGCCAUAUCUAUUGUUGAUGGAGGCGAGGAGUAGGCAACUUCAUCAAAAGAGGCAUGACGACUGCCUCAGCAGUGUAGGUCCGGAGGAGGUGCCACAACAGGUUUGUACCAGCUCCAACCCAACAAGGGCCACCGAUGUCUGUACCACAUCUUGGCCAAUUCACUCUAUUUAUUCCUAUUCAUUUCACUAACCCCGUGUUAUUUUCACAAGCAUCACACUAUGCACACUAUAUCUGUAUCUCUCGCAAGUACCUUUUUUGAGGCACCUCAGUCCCCAGCAAACUACGCCCCGACACUGAUGGCGACACCAUUGCCGUCAUCAAUGCCAACAUCAAUUCCCACACUAAUAUCAAUGUAUUCAGGUUUUGUGACAUUGUAUUGUUAUUUUCCGGUAGUGUUACAAACACCCAAUGUGUUGUUGUUUAAUCGAUGUGGCUUAUUGGUAAACCACCUUCUUGUGAAGUGAAGGACAUACGAUGAGAGACUAGGACGACACCACACUUAAGCAUGGAUGAAUGCGAUGGAGGCGAAGACAAAGCUGAGGUUAAAGAUGAAGAGGAAGCCAAGGGUGGAGAUGAAGAUGAAUAUGAUGGUAGAGAUGAAGAUGAGUAUGAGGGUCCAAGUGAAGGCGAAUAAGAUGUUCACGAUCAAGAGAAAGAGCUGACAACAUAACUAGUACACAAAAAUUCUACGUACACCCAUCAACCACCGCCUUGUGGUACACAUUUGGCCCCGACAACGCCAAUGAUUUAUUUUUCAUUUACUUUAAAUAUAAAUGACAUUAAUAAAAAAAAUCAAAUUUUUUUUUAUAUUUUUGUUACAAUUCAUAUUUAUCUUUGUUAAAUUCCAUUGUAAAUUAUACAUAAUUUUCCAUAUAUAAUAUUUGAUAUGAAAUAUAUAACUUUGGAUAGGUAGCUUUAUUGAACUAUUGAUUAAUAAAAGGUACACUGACUAAAUCGUAAAAAUGAUAAAAGUUCAAUCGACAGAGAAAUUGUAAUAUGUACUUGAAGUAACAAUUAAAGUAGCAUUUUUUUCCACUAUAUGAAUGAUAGUAGAUGGUUGCAAAUACAAAUGAAAUACAAAAAAAAAGAUUUUGUACACAAAAAGAAGCAUUGUAAUCAAUUUUAUAUCGUAAAAAAAAAUCAAAUGCUAGCAACGUUAAAAACCCAAUGUAUCCAGCAAUACGGAACAUGUGGCCUUUGUAUGCCCUAGGUUUCUAUAGUACCCAUAUAACCUCUAUUAGUUGUCUCUCUCCCGACCAUUCAUAUUGGUACGUAUCCAAGUGAAAGUUGGACGACCUUUUGGUACUUUAAUAGUAAAAUAGAACAAGGAGAGAAUGAAUACGUGUUUCAAAAUGCACUUAAGAAGACGUACUUUCGUCGAAUAAUUAUGAAACGCUUUUCGGUGCUCAAAAACAUGUUUCACAGAUUAAAUAAUUUUAUCAGACGUGUGUUUCAAAUAGUAUUCAGUGCUUCAAAACGUGUUUCAAAUCUUACCUAGGAUUUCCGAGGUUAAGACACUUUUGGCAAACUUUUAGUGGGAAGGUAAGAAAGCUCGUCUAACUAGGCGAGCUUUCUUACCAUUUCCCUAAAGUUUGCCCCAAAAGUACACUGAUACUAGGAAUGUAGGGUAAGAUUUGAAGCAUGUUUUGAAGAUAUUUGAUGAAAACGUUGGUCCUAUGACUCAUUUUAAACCAUGAUGAUUUUUUCCUUUGCAAUCUCACCCCUCCCCCACGCCUAUAAAAGGGGGCUCCCCAUCUAUACUCCAUCAUCCCUAAACCCAUCAUUUCUCUCAGCCUUCAUCCAUCCACUUUACAAUAUUUCUCUCUCUCAAUUUUUCCCCACUUCAGUGUUAAAAAAUUUCGUCGCUAAUAAAAUUUUUGGUUUGAGGUAUUCUUGAGUUAUUGGUGAUGUGAUAUCACUCUGAGACACACACAUUUCAUAUAUUCUACUGAAAUAAGACCAUUAUCUCAGAAAUCUAUCCUGUAGAAGUCGAGUUUCAGGGUGGUUUUGUUUUAUAUUGUUACAGGUAGAAGUCUAUGUAGAGGUAUCGACUGAUGGCCGUUAUAAUGUCAUGGAUCAGAAUAAAUGAGGGAACCAGUUAACGGUCGUUAUGCAAACACGAGCUCAAACUUUUUGGAUACCCGGAGAUGUUGCCUCAUAAAUAUCAUACAGAAGUUUGAGGCAAUAAUCACAGGGAAAAACUGUGGGGCUUCCCGCAUUAUCGAUAUAAAUUUUUUCUCUAUUUUCACAUAGUCGGUAUCUUUAACCUUCUUUUUUAUCCAAAAUUUGGCACCACUGUGGACACAAGACUCUCAGGCGGGCAAUAGUUGUGAUGUUGGAGUAAAGGUGAUGCUCCUUUCGGGGUGACAAUGGUUGCCGUUAUUAAAUGACCCAUUAAUAACUACAACUGUUGUUGCGCACCUUAGUUUAACCUUUACUUCGACGAAACAUUUACUCUCUACCUGAGAGCCCUUUUGUGUCCAUAUCGGUGUCAGCUUUCGAGUAAGAAUAAAAAAGUUAAAGAUAUUGACCGCCUGGAAAUGGAGAAAAAAAUUAUGUUGUUUACAUUGGAAAUCCCUCCGUUUUCCCUUAUGAUUAUGACUUCAAUCUUAUGUGUGAUAUAUAUAAGGCAUCAUUCGUAGGUAUCCAAAAAGCUUAAACUCGUGAUCGCAUAACGAUCGUCAACUGGCCCCCGGUUAUACUUGAACCCGUAAUCGCAUCAUAACCAUCGACUGGGACCUCCAUUUAGACUUCGACCCGCUACUUUAUCAAGUAUUGUCACCCCGAAACCUAACUUCCAUAUGAUGAGUUUCUGAUGUAAUGGUCCUAUCCUAGCAUGACAUAUGAAAUGUAUGUGUUCUGCAUCCCCAACCCCUCAAAUCUACGUAUAAACUUUCAUGGUUUCACUCUUAAAACCCUAAACCUUAAUUCUUAUAAAACAUCUAAUCUUAACCCUAACAAUUUUUUUAAAAAAAAGCCAAGGAGAGAUUGUAUAAAAGCAUGCCUAUCUGGAUGCACUUUCACACUCGCUUUUCAAAAUCAGCCUAUUUCCCUAAUUUUCAAAAAGAACAGCCUAAAAGGCCAAGUAAAAAAAUUGGCAUUCGCUACUAAUUUAGCACUAAAUCUUUUAAAUUUUAUUUGAAUAAUUUCAAAUCUAUAACACUAUUUUGUAAACUACAACCAUUGUUUCAUUUUGGCCACUUAACUAUAAAAAAUAACUAGCUGGUUAUUAUUGUUUUGGGAAUUAUUUUUUCUGCUCACCCGAUCGUUAAGUAACUAACAGAACAAUAACAUGACACUUUUUAAUCAAUAUAGUAAUAAGUUUAAUCCUUAACUUUUAUACUUUCUAUCAAAUUGAUCCUAAUUUUAUAUAAAAAAAUUUAAAAUUUAAAUUCUUUUAAGAAUUUGAAAAACUCUAAAAUAUUAAAAUUAUAUAAAAAAACUCAAAAUAGAUUAAAAAAGCAAUUGAAUUUGAAGGUUUACAAAACUUUGCCAUUUGCUCUUUUUUUUUCUUCAACCCUUAUUUAGAAACUCAAAUUUUCUUUUUAGUUCCUCUUUCUUGUACAAUUUUUUUUUGUUCAAACAUUCAUCAUACAAUUUGGCUUUAAAUUAUGGAUCAAUAUUAUAAUUGGAAGUAUCAUCAACUUCAUAAUAAUGACAACAAACACUACCAUUACAAUAACCCUACAUCUGUUGUUUGCUUAAUUUCCCACUUGCCAUUAUGCCCUUACCCUUCUUACCAUCAUCAAAACGGCAAACCCUAAUUACCUACCGAAGUCAUCGUCUCCGCCUUCUCCCCCUCCUUACAUCUAUCUGCUCCCCGAUCUUAGAUUUUGGACCUAAUUAUGGUUAUAAUUAUAGUACAUUUCACCCCUUCCCAAUCAUCGUCAUCAUCAACCCACACCAUCACUAUUGCCAUCACUUUUGGUAUUAAAAUUUUUCGAUUUGCCAACCACUGAAUUAGACUUGUACAGUCCUCCAUACCUAGUACUACCAAACGAGCUGUAUUCGAAACCUAAGUCAUCGGCUUUUUUGUAGCCUUGGACAUUGUUGCUUUUGGCUUGGAUUAUUGAAAAGCCAUCUUCUUAAACUUCUUUGAAAGAAACAACCAAAAGAGAUUUGUAAUACCCCUAACCCGUACCCGUUGUCGAAAUAGGGUUUCAGAGUAUUAUUAAAACUUUUAGAACAUUUUACAAUAAUUUAUGUAAAUUGCUAUUCAUUAACCGAGAUCAUACAAAACCUCCCUUAAUUGGACCCUCGAGGCUCAAUACGAGCAUUAGAGUCGAGUCGGGGCUUAAUCGGUAGCUCUAAGAAUUUUUCACGAAAUUACAAAAAUUUUCAAAGGUGCAGGGCUCACAAGCCCGUGUGGUCCAAGGGACAUGCCCGUGUGACCCUGAGACACACCCAUGCUACAGGACGUGUUCAACCCUGUGUAACUCUCUGACUUGUACAAACAGUCAUGCAACACGCCAGUGUUCUAGGUCAUGUGGUUAAUUAAUUUAAUUCAAAAUUAGGUACAGGUUUCACACGGCCAAGAUACAUGCCCAUGUUCUAGGCCGUGUAGCACACACGGCUGAGACAUAUGCCCGUGUCUCUACCCGUGUGCUCAAUUUUGAGCAUUCAGUUUCUCAAAAUUAAGGUGCAGGGGACACACAGCCUAACUAUACGCCUAUGUUAUCAAGUCGUGUGUCACACACGGUCUAGACACAUUUUCGUGCGUCUGCCCAUGUGGACAAAAUAAAGUCAUUUCUUAGCCUCAUUUGUCACCCAAAUUUACCAUUUUCAUGUACUAAAACACACAUCCAAAUACCAACCAAUUCAAGCAUUUAAAUUAAGCAAAUUCUAUCAUUCAACAAGGCAUAUCAUUACAUGCAUAUAUGUUUAUAAUCUUACCUUGGUAUAUUCUAUAUGUUAGGCAUAAUUUGAACAACCACUUAACAUAUAUUUAGCUACCAUAGCAUGACAUUACAAGUAUAUCAAAACAACUAUUACUAGCCAUUCCAAUGGCUAGAUUACAAACAUCAUUUUCAAACCACUAAUGGUCAAGUUAUCCUAUACAUGCCAUUAUACCAAAAUAAUUCUACUAUAUGUAUACCCUAAAACAACUAGUUGAUAGUAUGGCGAUGCUCCAAUAAUCUUCAACUUUCGUGAGCUUUUGAACACUAUAAAACAGGGAAAAUAAAACGGAGUAAGCAUUAUAUGAUUAGUAAGUUCGUAUAAAGAAAACUAAACUUACCAAUCCCGUUUAUUAAAUCUAAGCAUACAAUAUCAUGUUUUUCCAUCCAUUAGCAAAAUUGCCUAACCACAUGCAUUCAGUCAAAUAUGUUAGUCACUAAAAUCUUCAUAUCAAUCAAGUAAACAUAAAUAAGCUCAUCAUGCAAUAUUCUUUCAAGUCAUUAUCAUUUCAUUUCAAAAUUCUCAUACCAUGUCAAGAAUCGUGUCCAUUGAAUCAUUGAAAUUUCGAUGGAUGUUCAAAUAGUACACUUAAGGUGUACGAUUUAAUAAGUCAAUUCUUAUUCAAGAGUACCCAUUAGGGCACUUAAUCAAGAAACACACUCUCAAGCUACAUUUCAUAUAAUAGGAUUACCAGUCCAGGCUAAAUCUUUUAUAUAACGUAUGAUUAGAAGAGCUUAAUUAGGAUUACCAGUCCAGGCUAAACCCUAAUCAUAACGUAUACUCGAGAAGCAUUAUAUCAAGAUUACCCAUCCGGCCUAAAUCCUUUCUGAAAUGAGAUUAAUAGGAUUACUCGUCCGAGCUAAAUCCAAUCCGCAACAAACGCAGGACCUCAUCCAUUUCAGGAAACACAUAUAUUUAUUGGAAUUCAGUAUUCAAUUGGGACUUAACCAUUUUUUCACCAUUUCAAGCAUGUAUUGAAUUGUCCAUUAUAGCAUUCAAGUAAUGCAUUUCAAUAUAAUUCACAUUAUAUGCAAACAUAACAUUCAAUUAACAUAAUUACAUACUCGAUUAAGUUACACGAACUUACCUCGACACUUGUUCGCGUAUAAAAUCUACUAAUCCGAAACCUUUUCUUUUCCUCGGCCUAACCUUGAAUUUGUGGUGUCCAGAUCUAUAUAAAUAGCUUUAAUAAUCAAUUUCUCAUAUUUCAUAUUUAUUUGAACUCAAUUUAUGCCCUAGGAAAAAUUACCAUUUUGCCCAUAACUUUUCCAUAAAUUUCAAUUUCAUCCUUAGGCUCGGAAAAUGACACUUAUGAAAUUUACUCCCUAUUCCAAGCCUAACAAAAAUCCCAUUACAAAAUUUACAGCACAUACAUUCAUAAAAAUUCAGCAUUUUUCUUCAAUUUCACAAGUUUACAUUUUAGUCCCUAAAUCAUGUUUUCAUCAAAAAUUACUUUGUAAAAGUUGUUGAUCUAUCAACAACCUUUCAUUUUCUACCUUAAAUUUCUAAUUUUCAGCAUAUACAUCCAUGACCCAUUUACCAUACUGUGAUAACUUUUUAAAAUUAAUCCCCCAAAUAGAUAGUUUAAGUUAUCUCGGUUUUAAAAAUAUUAAAAUUACUAAAAACAGGACAAGGAAACUUACCCAAUUAAGCCUUGAAAGUUUCUUCUCUCUCUCCUAGGGUUUCCAUAUAAUUUUGGGGUUGAAGAUGACAAAAAUAAUAAGAUGAUACCUUUUAUCAUCUUUUUAAUUAAUUAAUUAUUUCAAUUUCCAAUUUAGUCCAUACUCUUUUCUAAUUUUUCCAUGGAUGAGUCACCAAAAAUCUACAUACUUUUUUUAAUGGUCUAAUUACCAUAUAAGGACCUUUAGUUUUGAAUUUCAUAGCUAUUUAAUCCCUAUAGCUACUAGAAUUCAACUUUCGCAUUUUAUGCUAUUUAGUUCUUCUCGUAAUUAAACACUUAAUCGAUAAAAUUUUCGUAUCAAAAUUUUUACACGACAUGUCUAUCUUGAUAUAGACCAUAUUAUAAAAUAAAAAUAAAAUUUAUUUUCGAAUCGAAUUUGUGGUCCAAAAUCACUGUUCUGAUUUUACUAAAAAAUGGGCUGUUACAAGAUUAACUUAGAGAGAUGAUAAGAGAAGAUUAAACCUAUGAAAAUCGAUGCAAAAUCUGUUACCAGUAAACCAAGGAAUCAAUUAAUCAAGACUCAAAAAUAAAAUCAAAACCUAGCCUUGAAGAAACACAACACUAGAAAUGAAUCAUCUUUGCAUCAUAGUCAAACUAAAAACCCUUUAAAUAUUGCCAAAAAUUCAAGAAAAUAAUUUUUUUCAUGUAAAACUUAAAUUUUUUUGUGUAUUUAAUCUUUUUUUUUUCAAUGUACCCGCAAAGGAUGUUUUGACAUAGCAUGGUGAACAUUCAGACUUGUAUUUAGUUCGAAACAGAUAUAGAAUGUUGUUAAAUCCCACCUCUUUAGAUCAACAGCAUAAUAAUAUUUACGACCUCAUAUGGAAGUUUCAAUGUUUGUAUAAGGUAAAAAUUUUGUUGUGGAAGUUUGUUUAAAAUUACAUCACUAUAAUGCAAAUCUUUACAGUAAAUGAGUUAUUAAAACAUCUUGCUAUCCUUGUUACAAAAUCGAUGUUAAAAACCCCACUAAUUCUAGUUGUGGUUGUGUUUAUGCUAGUUCUAUCUAGAAACAUUUGGCUAUUUUUUGAUCAGGGAAUGUAAACCAAUUAGACUUAGAUGAUUUGCUACACUGGCUUUUCUAUCAUAGUAAUAGCAGUAAACAAAUUGAAAUUGUUAUAACAAUAUGGUCAUUAUGGUACUCUAGAAACAAGCUUUUACAUGAGGGCAUGAAUUAAAGUGUUGACGAAUUGGUUACCUUUAUUCGAGGUCAAUGCUCGAAACUUGAAACUCUUUUUCGGUCACUAAAUUAUCACACCCUCAUACGGAUGUACUUUGGGAGCCUCCAGCUCAGCCGAAUGUUAAAGUAAAUGUCGAUGCAAGCUUUUCACCUAUAGAAAAUAAAUCUAGUUCAGGUGUGGUAAUUCGUGAUGGUAAAGGACAAAUUAUGGGCUCGUGUCCUAGAACAAAUUACCAGAUUCUUUUAGUUUUUAUUGUGAAAGCCACAACGAUUGUUCAAGGACUAUAGUUCGCAACUGGUUUGGGACUCUGAUUAUUUAGAAAUUGGUUCACUCACUUGGGAUGUGAAAUUGUUGGCCAAAAAUUUCAUUUCCUAUCAUUUCCACUUCAUCGGCCGAAAUGGAAACCAAACAGUGCAUGCAAUGGCUCUAGAAGACAUGAGAAGAUUCGACAAUCGAUAUUGGAUGGAGGAUGCACCCUAGAAAGUUUUUCAUUUUGCUAUUGUUGAUCGAAGGUUUCUUGACGCUUUUUAGUCUUUAAUGUCGGUGUUGAUUUGGGAAUAUGUUGUUAUAGACAAUGGUGCUGUAACGCCCCAAAAUUUUUAAUUUUGAAUUUUUAAAUCAUGUAAAAUGAGUUAGUUUGGUUUAGUGGUUAAGUAUUCUAUUUUUGUGCCUAAGGUUGUAACACCCCUAACUCGUAUCUGUCGCUGGAAUAGGGUUACAAAGUAUUACCGAAAUUUACAGAUCAAGUAAACAAAAAUUUCACAUCAUACAGUAUUCGUAUCAGAAAUCAAUCAUAAAGUCCCUUAUAUGAACCUUCGAGGUCCAAAAUACACAUUAGUAAUAAGUCGAGACUAAACUGGGUACUCAGAAAAUUUUUCGAAAAACAUCAAAAUUAUUCCAAAGUGCAGGGGACAUAUGCCCGUGUAGCCAGGCUAUGUGUCUCACACGGUCAAGAGACACGCCUGUGUUUCAAGCCGUGUGGACGAAAAUAAGGACACACAGCUGUGUUACAGCCUGUGUCUAAAUUAGGAAGCUCUCUAACUUGGGUCACACGGCCAAGCCACACGCCCGUGUGCUAGGCUAUAUGAGCAUAAUGACUUGUAUUAAUAAGGUGGAGGGGUCACACGGCCAAGCCACACACUCGUCUGCUAGGCUGUGUGAACAUUCUGUUUUACUCAAAUUCAAAAAUACAGGGGACACACACACGGCUGAGACACACAUCUGUGUCUCUGCCCGUGUGGAUGAAAAUAGACUAUUUCUAAGCCACAUUUCUCACCCCAAAUUUGCCAUCAACUAAUCAAACAUUUUUGAACAUCAACAUACCAUAAUAAGGCAUCCAUAUCAAGCCAAAAUCAAGUUUUAUUCAUAACAUAUCUCUACUUAUUCCUUAUUAUCCAAUUUACCAAAUUGAUCAAAAAUCACAUGUAUACUUAUUUAUAUCAAACAUACUAGCUCAACCUAAUCAUCAACAUACCUAUAAAUUAUCCAUCACUCAACCAUAUAAAACACACGACAAACAUGAUAAGGCCAUACAUAUAUACACAUUAAAAUAUGUCCAACUCAAGCCAUUCCAAUGGCUAUUUACAACAAAAUAUUUAUAAGCCAACAUUGGCCAAAUUACCCUAUACAUGCCAUUAUAACAAAAAUUAGUUUUCUAUAUGUACCGAAAUGGGCCGAUGGAUAGUGUGAUGUAGCUCCAACCAAUUUUCAACCUUAACGAGCUUUCAAGUUACUAUAAAAUAGGGGAAAUAAAAUAGAGUAAGUAUUUAAUGCUUAGUAAACUCGUAUAACAUGGAAAAGUUAACUUACCAUUUAAUAACAUUUAAGGCAAAUAUACAAGAAAUAUCCAAAUCAACUUGGCCAAAAGCCUAAACACAUAUCCUCAUCAUGUUAGCCAUGUAAACACAUAUAAUAACCCAUAAACAUGGUUGAACAUAGUCACCAAGCAAGUUCCAUACAUGUAUCAUCCAUCUUAUAUUUCAACAUAUCAUGUAAUAUCAGUUCCAUGUAAUUUCACAUAUACACUGAUAACAGUUCAUAUCGAAUUUACAUUUUCUUAUAACAGAACAUUACCCAUUGAACUAUUUAAAUAUCAUUGGAUACAUGGGUAGUACACACGAAGUGUACAAAUUUGUAAUCAGUCAAUUCAUAUACAGGUAUGCCCAUACGAGAAUGUAAUCAGGAAGCUCUUUCGAGCCAUAUGACGGGAAGCUUAUGUGAGCCAUGUAAAGGGAAACUCAUAAGAGCCAAUAUCGGGAAGCUCAUGCGAGUCAAUAUCAAAAAGCUCCAGAGAGCCAUAUAUUGGGAUUCUCAUAAGAGCUAAUAACGGGACGCUCUUGCAAGCUGUGGUGUGUCUGCAACACAUGCAAGACCACAACUAAUCGGGAACCCUUAAUGACAAUGUCAUUUGUAUCCAUCGAAUUUCUUAAGUUUAAACAGGACUUAGCACUUGUCAAAUAUUAUCGGAUAUGUGAUCCAUACUUAUACAUGACAAUUUUAUACAUUUCAAAUACAUAACAUUCAAUUCAAACAUAUAAAUAUACAAUUUAAUUACACGAACUUACCUCGACAAAUGUUCGUAGACUUGUAAGCUACUAAUCCUAUACUUUUUCUUUUCCUUGUUCUAACUCUGUAUUAGGUCUAUUCGGAUCUAUAUGAAUGAAUUUAACUCAAUUUAAUACAAUUCAUACUCAAUUCAAUCCAAUACACAUCUUUGGAAAAAUUACUAUUUUGCCCCUAUACUUUUAAUUAAUUACGAUUUUGUCCUUAGGCUCAGAAAAUAAAAUUCAUACAAUUUAAUCCUUAUUCCAAGCCUAGUCGAUUUUUAUAUAUCACAAUAGUAGCCCCUGUAUUUCAUAAAAUUUAGAUUUUUUCCAUGAAUUUUCCAUCUUUAUAAUUUAGUCCCUAAAUCACAAUUUCAUCAAAAUUCACUUUACAAAAGUUGUUUAUCUAUCAACAACCUUUCAUUUUCUACCAUAAAACUUCAUAAUUCAACUAUAUUCAUCCAUGAAAAAACUGUAAUCCUUUGAUAGUUUUGCAAAUUAAUCCUUGAGAUAGCUAAAUUAAGCUAUUACGAUCUUGAAAACAUAAAAAUUAUUAAAAACGGGACAAGAAUACAUACCUAAUUAAGCCAAAAUAACUUGCUUGAAGUAAACACCCAUAACUAGGGUUUCCAUAUCUUUUAUUUAGGAAAGAUGAUGAAAAUGAUGAUAUUAGAUUUUUUUUCUUUUAUUUAAUAUUACUUUAAUACCUAAUUUCCAAAAUUAAUCUUAACAAUUGGCUAAAUUCCAUUGAUGACUAAUCAUACUUAUCUAAUAACUCCUCUAAAUGGUCUAUUUUCCAUAUAAGGACCUCAAAUUUUGAAUUCCAUAGCUAUUUGACCCCUUUAGCUACUAGAAUUCAACUUUUGCACUUUAUGCAAUUUCGUCCUUUACAUCAAAUUAGACAUGUAAUCAGUAAAAUUUUUUUACGAAAUUCUCAUACGACAUUUCUAUCGUAAUGCAGAUCAAGAAAUGAUAUUAAAAUAAUUUUUCUUCCGGAUUCGGAUUUGUGGUCCUGAAACCACUAUUUUGAUUUCAUUGAAAACGGGCUGUUACAAAGGUCCUGUGUUCAAAUCCCUUCCUUGAAUUUUAGUUAUUUUUGUUCCAAAUGCUAUCCUUAAACAUCUAACUUAUUUAUUAUUUUUUCUCAACCAUUGAUAAGAAUAAUCCUGCUUGUUCAGUGGUAAGGCUUCAACUUACCUAUUUGUGUUCAAAUCCCAUGCGUGCAAAACGAAAAAUAAUUUUGGUUCUCCCUAAGUGUGCCACCCAUGUGGUUAGUGGUUGGGUCAAAUUCAAAUUCUAAAAAAUAUGAUAUAUAUAGCAAACAGAUUUGUGGGUAGUUUUUAAAAAAAAUUGAGAAAAUCCCUCCUCAAAAUUUUCCGUGUAGUGUUUUCGAUCGAAUAGACUAUAUUUCAAUCCUUCUGUAAGUUUCAAAUAUCCCUAUCUGUAUUAAGGUUUUUACGUAUUUCUGGACAAGAUAGAGAUUUUAGUGGUUCAACGAUUCUCAUUUUAAUUGGUUCUAUGAAUCUAUUUAGGUGAAUAUCGCGCGACAAAGACUCCUCUAAUGGUUUAAGUGUUGAUAAAAGCUGUUGUUUCUUUCAAGGGUAAGUGAUCAAUGUCCUAUUUAAAGCCAAAUUUUUAAUCGUUUGUGCCUGAAUUAGUGAUUUGAUUUCAUAUAUCAUUACUAAUUAGUCCGUUUUAAAUACUGGUUUUAAGGUUUAAAAGCGUGUCAUAUCGUCUUUUUCUAGAAACAAUAAGGUAUGUACCUUUUGUCUCAAAAAAUAGGAAACAACACGAAGUCGAAAAACUUAUUGUCGACCCCAUACGACUGUAUGCCAAACCGUGUGAGCCACAUGGGCUGGGCUAGAUAGGCAAUGUGGGCCACACAUGUAUGUAGGCUCAUUUUUAGUAAAAUUUAAUAGAACCAUAUUUGAUGUACGUUCCAAGGUUAACUACUUUGUAGGGUCUGUUUUGUGAAAUGUGUGACUUAUAUAUAAAUAAAAUAUGAUAUUCUUCCUCUGUAUAUGUGAAUUUUGAAAGCAUGUUAGCAUGUUCUGAUAUGUAUAACAUGUAUGAUUUGUGUGCAUCUGGAUAUUUGGUUAGUGAUUGCAUGUGCAUUAGGGUGGGAUAAUGAUGUGAUGAAAGAAGUGUUGGCAGUUUAAUGAUUUGCCUUAUCUUUUGGUUUAAACCACAUAUCUGUUCUGGUGGCUUGACCACACUCAUCUGAUUCUAGCAGAUUACCACACUAUUUCUGACAGCUUGACUGCACUAUUCUGAAAAGUGACAUAUGCUCACUUAUAGGUGUGUGGGGUUGGAUGGGUAUUUAUUACCCAAAUAGGUCUGUAGGGAUGGACAGAAUGAUGUGUAGUGGAUGGAGGUAGGGUCUCUAUCUGUUCUGUAUUAAGUGUUGCAUCGCAUGAUAUGCCACGCCAUCCGUGUUUGAUUUGAUAAUUUUGUUGCAUUGCUUCAUAUGCCAUGCUGUGUAUUCUAUUCAGUAUCUGACUUUUAUGUGAAUUAUGCUAUCUAUUCUACUUUUAUAGGCUAAGUUACACGUUGAGCUUUGUAAGCUCACCCAAAUUUUUUGAUAAUCAUCAAACUUAGGAUCAGGUGGUGCAUAUGAGCUUAGAUUGAUUUUCUAGUUAAUAAUAAUACGCUUUAUGUUUUUAAACUAUUUCAGGCUUUUUUUUGGACUUCUGUGGACUGUGUAACUGUUUAGGACUUUGUUUUUCGUUUUUGAUUUUCUUUCAAAAGUAAUUAUUAUUUCAAACUGCAAAAUUAUAUAUUUUUACAAGUUAAGUCAUAGUUUUCAAAUUUUAAUAUUUUGAAAUUUCCACUGCAAAACAAAGUAAUCAAUUAAACAAUUUUCUGUAAAAUAAAUAACUUAAAACACAAAUUUUCUAAAAACUAGAAAGAGGUUUGUAAAAAAUAAGUUUUAAGAUCAUCUGAUUUUCAAGAGUUACAUUAGAGUUUCUAAACAAGCUCAUGUAAUUCCUCAAGAUUCGACUAUAACAUUUAUGCCGUGUUUGAGGUGUUAAAAGAUGUUUCCCUAAUUUUACUUUCUUUGGCUUUUGUUCUGUUCAAGGCAAAAUUAUAAUUAGGUUGAAGAAGGAUUAUCGAUUGAGGUUGAAUCUCUAGUUCGACAGAGAUUGAAGGGCUCACUUGUUCAGACGAUGAGUUUGCUCUUCUUUUUUACUAUAUGUUUUUCCAGUCAUUUAUUUUUCCUUUAUGUUUCUAUGUUUUCUAAGCUUACCCUCAAAACUUGUAACAACUUUCUCUCCUGUAUUUUGUCUUUACUUUAAUAAAUGAACCAAUCAAUUUUUAGUAAAUAUAUAUAUUUAUAAUUUUAUAUAAUUUUCAAUUUUUUAAAAGAAAUUUAAUUUUUAAUAAUUUUUUGUAUAGAAUUAGAGUUAAUUUGAUAGAAAGUAUAAAAAUUGAGAAUUAAAAUUAUUAUUAUACUGAUUAAAAAAGUGUCAUGUUACUGUUCCAUUAAUUACUUAAUGGUUGGGUGACCAGAAAAAAUAACUUCCAAAAUAUUAGUGACCAAAUGGUCAUUUUUAUAGUUAAAAAACCAAAAUUAAAACUUAUCCAUAAUUAAGUGAUUGUUGUAGUUUUCCCUAAAAGAUAAGAUAUGGGUACCGCUGUAAAUCUGCCUAUCCCAUCUAUCUGACUGCAGUCCUUUUGGUAUUUUAAGGUUUUGGGAUAAAAUAUUUAAAAUAUGUUAUAGGUUAUUGCACUCUUCUUAAUUUUGAAAUUUAAUCCUAAUAUUUUUAUUUCUAGAAAUUUAGUUCUUAUAUUUUUAUUUUUAGAAAUGUAGUCUCCAGAUUUUAAAAUUCAAGUAUAUUUGUUAACACUAUUAUUUUUUUCAUUAAAUUUAUCGGUGUAACAUUUUGAAAUAAAAAAAUACUUACUUAGUAACAAUGUAACGAAAAAUAACGUUCUAAUAAACCUAAAUUUCACAAAAUAAUCUUAAUAGUGUAGCAGUUGAACCUGAAUUUUAAAAUAUAAAAAGUUGAAGGACUAAAAUCCUAAAAAUAAAAUAUAAGUACUAAAUUCUAAAUUUAAGAAGAGUACAAGGACCUAUAAUACAUUUUAACCAUAAAAAACGAGUAAAAAAAACAA